UAUAUUUACGGAUGAAUACAGAGCAUAUCCCAUCACGAUGAACCCGGAUUGUAUCCAGAGGUGCGAGUGGGAAGAAAAUCGAAUAAGAAGAGGAGAAGAGAACAAUGGAUGAAAAGUAUCCUUUCCCAAGCAGCAGAUCAAUUCAAAGGCGCAUCUCUCUCCCUCUCUCUCAACAUCGCAAUCAUCCUACUCAAUUUCACGAUCACGAGCGCACUCUAUUGUAGUUCCUUCUGAUUAGAUCUCCGUCAAAUCCAUUUCACAUCGCCAUCAUAUAAUGAACUCAUGGAGAUUUGGGAACCCGAUGAUUCGAUCAACUGAAACGAAUGAAAGCAAAUUUGGAGGCGGUGUUGAGGACGAAUCUCACCAGCAGAGCUGAAAAAGGUAAAGGCUGGUGAUGGCUCACAUCCACGGAGUCCUUGCAAUGUUGCCCAUGGAUGCUGGAUCUUGUUUUUCUUCUUUGUCUUCUCUUUCUCAGCAUGAUCGAAGAGUUAAGUGGCAGUGGACGGCUUAAGGAUGCAUCCUGCAGGCUACAAAUAAUAGUAAAUGGUGUUUUGGGGAAUCACACCUUUAUAUAAACAGUACAGAUAGGAUGCCAACAAAAUAUGCAGCAAUUCGAGUGUAGGCAUUACCUUUGGCAAUGGUUUUGAUGCGAGAUUCUUGAUGCCGCUAACAAUCACCGGACGCCAAGAAUUUGCCUGGGGUAUUUUGUGGCCCUGCGCAGAUCCAGUGCAAUACACACAUAAGGAAUUCAUGGAACCAAUAAGAGCUAACUUUGUUUCAGAUAAAAAGAAUUCUAAACAGAAUUGGAGCAUGUACCUUAGAGAGGUCGCUCUCCAGCUUCUCAGACUAAAAGGAGAUGUCCUGUCGAAGAUUCGAAAGUACAACAGUAGUUCGUACAGGACAGAGACUAUUAAGCCCCCAGGCAUAUGUCCUGUUCAACACGUUGGUCUAAUUCUGGUAGACUAGGACGAGCAGAAAAGAUACCUUCCACCUUCCUGAGACGGCCUAAUUCUUCGAGCCCAUUAAGGCUUAUUAUCCGGUUGCAAUGAAAAACUUUCAGGACUUCCAAAAGCUUUAAAUCUUCAAGACCAUCAAUCUUUGCUAAAUCACAGUCCUUUAGUUCUAGUUCUGACAGCUGUUUCAGACUAGAAAAUUUUGGCUCUGGAAUCUUGCAGUGCUUGAGACGCAGAGUCCAUAAGCUUGAGGACGAGGGAAGUUGUGUGAGGACUAGCUCCUUCAUAUAGGAUGAAGAGAGUUCCCGGAGAUAAGUAAGGGCACUAAAAUUCCUGGGGAGUUUGGUAACAUUUGGAAGGGACAAUUCCAAGGUCUCUACACUUGUUAAACUCGUGAUCCACCCAAUAUUUGGGAUCUGAUUCGAUGACCCUGCUUCUGGCUGCUCAUCAUCAUUCAAGCAUAGCUCUUUUAGAUUCAUCAGAUUUGUCAAUUCAGGGACUGCCAUGAUUUUAGAUCCCCAGUAGAGAGUGAGUAAACUGGAGGGUAACUUUGGUAGUGCUUGAAGUUAUUUGCAUUUACGUACGUCUAGGGUUUGGAUGCAAGAUAGAUGGCAAAUCCUCUGAGGCAGCCCGGCCACAUUGGAUGACGAUAAUCUCAAAAUUCUCAAAGAAGAUAGUCCUGAAAUAUCACAAUGAAUGUCCCAUUCCAAAUUUAUGCAGAAAGAGAGAUCUAUCUCCUCCAGGUUCUUUAAGUUCACAAUAUCUUCAGGAAAUUUUGGUAGGAAAGUGUGCGCCAUCUUCAGCGUCUUCAACCUCCUCAAAUUCUCAACUGACUCUGGCAAUUCUGUGAUUUUAGUAAGUGAAAGGUCCAUUACCUCCAGCAGAUCCAGCUUCCCGAUGGAAGUUGAAAGUUGAAUCAACUUCUGACAAUCCCUUAAAGAAAGUCUCUCGAGUGUCCGAGGAAAUUCAAAAGCAAGUGGAAGCCCAUCAAUAUCAGCACCAUCCAAAUCAAGGCUUGAGAGUUUCCUUAGGCGGCCAAUUGUGGAUAUAUCUCGCAAACGUUUACAGUUACAAGCACUAAGUUUUUCAAGAUUCUUCAAAGACCCUUCCUGGCAAUAAAUUUCUUGGAUGCCAGUUCCAUCAAUCAGAAGUUCCGUUAAAAAUUUCAUGCAGUACAGUUCUUGAGGCAACUUCCUGACUUGGCUGCAGUUUCUCAAAUUUAAGGAUCUCAACUUCUUGAGAUUACUGAUGAAUUGCCUAAUUUGAGAUAACCGAGAACAAUCUUCCAUUAUCAACAUCUCUAAAUUGAUGGGAGCUGGAAAGUUCAAUGAUGGAUGCAACUGAACACAUCCUUGUAGGUUCAAGACUUACAAUUUAUCCACCUUCUGCAAUGCAUGUGCAAAAGAAGAUAUCAAACCUUACUCGCUCAUAUCUAUCAUCUUAACACGAGAUUUAAAAAGCAAAUAUUGGCCAUACCUCUCCAAUUCCUUCCCAGAAUUUUGAAACCCUGGUAACUGGACUACAAGACAGAUCGAGAAUCACUAACUCCGUCAAAUGCAUAUUACAAAGCUCAGGAAUUGAAUGGCACUCUCGCCAAUCAAGCCACCUCAACUUCUGAGGAAGCUUCAUAGUAUCUCCCAGGAUGUUAGCCCCGUCCAGUCUGAGGUACCUCAAAUUCGACAUUUCCCAAAAUUGUUCACAAGUAAAACUGUCGGUGCUGCCCUCUUCAACUGUGAGACCAAUGCCUUGGACACUAAUAGUACCCUGUCAAGUCUCGGUUGGGAAAGAACAUACGAGUAAGUUGGAAAACUUUAAUUUCUCUUACUGCUUUUAAUGAAAUGACACAAAUCAUAAUUACAAAAUCAGUAGGUAUCCACUACGCGUUCUAAAUCAUGUUAGAAAAAAAUCCCUUUUUUAUGUUAUCUAUGAAUGGUUUAUCUGAACGCUUUUGUGACCUUCUGAAAAAAAAAUUUAGAGGCUUUGCAUACUUACCUGACCGUCGUUUAGAAAGGAAAGUGCAUCGCUGUGAUUCCAAAACCUGCAGCGCUGAUUAAGAUGUUUCCUCUUGACAAGCUCCCUGCCAAACUCUCUCAACAGAUCGUGCAUUCUUAAUUCAUUAUUUUCUCCAUCUUCCAAGAAAUGCAUGUCGCGAAGUUGAUUUAUUCCUUCAAGAGGAUCGCCAUCCCAAGCCUCCUCCCACAUGUAAGGAGGAAUCCUCUUAUCCUUGCCAAUAAAAAAACAAGCUAUGUCGAGGAAUAUCUCCUUUGCAGUAUCAUCCAAAGAUGUGUAACUGACCUGGAAGGCAGCUGCUACUUUUUUAUGUAGUGGGCGUUUUUUUAAGGAUUUCAACUUGCUACUCCAUAACUCUCUGUUCUUAUUUUUCUUUAAAUAUUCUGCCUGAAGCUUAAUAGCCAAGGGAAGCCUUCCCAGAGCUUCGACGAUGUCUGGGGACAAGAUAUCGCACUCGGAGACAUCUUGGGAAGCAUCCCCUUGAAAAACACAAUUACGAAAGAGUUGAAGAGCAUGAUGAUGACUCAUUGGUUUAACCUCGUACACUUCAGCUGCUCUAUCUUUUUCUUCUUCCCCAAAGUCGAAAACCUUCAAAACAUCUCUUCUAUCUGUGGUCACAAUGAUUCUACUUCCCGGACCAAACCAAGUAAGGUCGCCAGCCAAUGCUUCAAUUUGUUCAUCCUCACGCACAUCGCCAAGCACAAUGAGAACCUUCGUCUUAGAAAAGAGAUAUUUUAUUUUUUUAACUUUACCAGAAAAUCUCAGUGGUUCAUGUAUUUCCUUUUGAAGUUCAGCAAUCAACAGUCCUAGGGAAAACUCGACUCCUUCCGAAUUUAUACCUUUCAGGAAGCUACAUGCAUCGAUCAACUUGUGGAUCUUGUUGAAGACAACCUUGGCAAGUGUAGUCUUUCCAACACCCGGCAUUCUGCAUAUUCCGACAACACGUUUAUCUUCUCCACAUACUUUCAUCGCUUUUCCAUGGCUGUAGACAACACCAAGCUUUGUCAUCAUCUCUUGAACAUGAAGAUCGAUUCCAACUAGUUUGUCGGUCACGUCUUGGUCAUCCUUCCUCAACUCCUGCCAGACACGGGUCAUAACUUUGUCUAGGAGGUCGGUCACAUGCCUGCAAAACAUGAGUGACGAAGCACAAGGACAACAACAGAGUUACCAAAAAUAUUAAGCUGUAGACAAAAAUCAAGCGGGCAUUGAACCGACGAAAAAUAAAUUAAUUUACAAGGGCAGGGGGAAUCUUCAAUUUAAGUGGAGAGCAAGAUUUAAUGCACAGAGCAAUUUUGACAUUGACAUCAUCAUGCUAUCUGCAUAACAAAAGAUCUAGUCAAGGGGGAACGAAGAGCGCGUGGUGGACCAGGUCGGCUGAUCUAACUCCCAGCUAUGUCAUGAGUCGAGUUAAUUUUCAACUGGCCAUUUUAAUCAACUCACUGGUUACUUGAAAGGUAUCAAGAACUACAACCUGUUAAAUUAUCAGCCCAUUUCACAAGAAUAACUUUAAAGAUCUCUCUAGCGUGCAUCAUCAUCGAUGUGAUUAUAUAUGACAUUUAUUAGAAAAGUUUCGGAUUCGUUCUCACACCAUUAUAAACUAUUUUUCUUUCCAUCUAUCUAGGAAAGAAAAAAGAAACCAGAAGUAAAAGAAUUACCCCCCGUUUAUGGUCGCCCGAUCAAAUCCGCUCAAUUCCACGACCUCUCGAAGAACCUCCUUCCAUUUGUCGAUGGUCUCUGAGUCGACUUUUUUAUAUGCAUCAUGUUUAUUGAAGGACGUUGCAAAAUCCCCCUCCAGGUUCUUUACAGCAUGGGGCCUAACAUUAUAGAAAAUUGGGAUAAUAAUCUGUCCAUUUGAUUUUCUGCACUCCCACAUUUGUACCGCCUCCAUAAGGCAACUUCUACGGGAAGCAUAAUCCUUAGAGAAGACGGUUAUUGAGAUCGUCGACUGCUUGAUUGCGUUUUUUAGCUUCGGAUGGAUCUCUUCUCCGGCACGGAGCUCUUCGUCAUCUCUAAAGACUUUGAUUCCUGCCUUUGUCAAUCUGCUAUGAAGGUGAUCUGUGACCAAUGAAGAUAAUUCCUGUCAAACCAAGGAAACUAAAGUAAACAUAGUGUUCCAGACCAAGUCUUUAUGGUUCUGGCCAAAAAAAAAAAAGUUUCUUGGUUCCGAUGGAGCCGAGCCUAACACAGCAAGCUGACUGCAACUGAAUCUUGCAGCUCAUGCAUUUUGGCUGUUUUAAGAUCCAUUAUUUUCAGAACUUUCGUAAUACUCACACGUUGAUUAGUGAAUUCCCACGUAAUCUUUUUAUAAUUUUCUCAAAUUUAAAUGGUAUCUCAAAUUUUAGGGGAAAGCAAAACAAUACUUAACAGACCCAGCGUACAACAUCAAUAGUGCUUGAAGUUUUGAUACGAUCUGGUAAUUUUGAUUUGAUUCAAUCGUUCACGUCAAAGGAGAAUUGUAACAUUUCAGACGAUGUUUAGCAAUUUGAGGGGCUGAACCACAAGCAGAGGAUCGAUACCGCCAUAUUCAUAUCGAAGAAAUAAUAAUACAAAUCUCAGAGAUCCAGAGGAAACAAACCGGGCAUUUUCUCUUCCUUCCAGCAGCCACAUCUUCAGGAGCCAUAACUCGGAGAAUUAUUAGAAACACCCCGCCCGGACCAAUUCGCUCGCUCGCUCUCUCUCUCCCUCUCCCGUUGGGCAUAGGAGGUCUAUAGACAUUUUCAGACAACAUUAUAAGUCUUUCUCCAUUACAAAAAGUCGAGAAAAAAACAAAGAGACGAAAAGGACUUUUCAGUGGUUGGAAUCGAUAAAGCAGAUACAGUGAACUGAUUGGUGGCCCUCUCAAGUCAGUUCCAUUCAAUCGGAUCGAUAAAGACGAUGCAAUGAAGUGAUCGGUUGUCCUGUCAAGUCCUGGUUUUAUGUUUUAUUUUUACUUUCUCACCUUGGCAAACGAGGAUGGAUUCCACGCAGGUCUCACAGUACGAGUUCUCCAGUCUGGAGCUAAACUCGGCCAGGGUCCUCCAGCUGGGACCCAAAGUUGAAUAUGCACCGUUCGAGUCCGAGUCCAGGUAGAUUCUUUAAUUAUAAAAGUUGUUAAAGCACAGAUAUCUUGGUAAUACUUCAAACCACCGGAAUAUCUAGCUUUGAGAAAAUAUUGUGUACACAAGAGCACCACAUCAUAUGAGGCCCAUCUGUAGAAAUUUUGAAAACGCCUCGACGUGUCUGGCAGCGUUUGUUUGUAUUUCUUUUUUGUGUUUUUAAACACUUUUUCUGUUUUUUUGUUCCUGGGAACAAAAAAGGAACAGAAACGCGUUUGGGUGCGUUUCUGUUCCUUUUUUGUUCUUUUGUUCCCAGAAACAAAAAAGAAACAGAAACAAAACUUAGAAAUAUUUUUUUAUUUUUUCUUCUUUUUCUUCUUAUUUUCUUUCUUUUUUCUUUCGCCGGUCGCCGGCCUCGGCCAUGGUCGGCGACCGGCCAAAAGAAGAAAAAAGAAAAAAAGGAAAAAUAAGAAAAAAAUAGAAAAAAUAAAAGAAAUAAAAAAAUUAUACAAAUUUACCAAACGUGUUUCUAUUUAUUUUUUGUUCCUGGAACAAGUUUACCAAACGCGUUUUUUUGUUCAGAAAUUGUUCCCAGGAACAGAAACACUUUUUUCUAUUUCUGUUCCCUGGAACAAUUUUUAAACAGAAACGCAAACAAACGCACCCUCUGUCUCCUCUCUUCGUUCAAUGUGCCGUGAGAGGGUCCCACCUGUACUGUAAAGAACGAGGCACUCUCUCUCUCUCUUCUUUCAUAUGCAUUAUUUUCUCCCAGAUAUGUGAGAGAGAGAGAUAGACAGAGACAGAGGGAGAGCGAGAGCCUGGUCAUGGCGGAAACCAUGGAAGCCCCAGGGCACAACCCUAAAGCUCCUCGAGCACGACCGCGCCAUGCUCUCAAUUGCCACGGGCCAGUGAGGUGUCUCACUAGACGUCUGCGAGGUCGAGACCUCACCAGAUCGGUGAGCUUGAGCAUUGCCAGCGCCAGACCUCGGCAAGCUCGAGCUUCGCCAGCGUCCAACGAGCUUGUCCCUCGCCUGGCUGGUUGCCAGCCACCAGCCGACAUAACGAAGAAGAAAGAAAAAAAUAAAUAAUUAAUAAUUAAUUAUAAUUUUGAUUUUUAAAAAUCUUUUUAUACGCCUGGUGUUUUGGAAAUGGGUUUUAAACUCUAAUUUAAACUCAUUUAUUUUAGUCUUAAAACUCAUUUACGAUAAACACUUCAAAAUCGGAGUGAUUCAUGGUUCAUUUAUAUUUAAGAUUCAAUCUGACAAGUUUGUUUGAUGGCAAUUUCCUCGUGAAUACUUGUUGCACAUUCUGAUCAGGAAAGGCUUGCAGCGUUUGGCGGACUGCUCCUCAUAUUACGUAAAAGCAUCUUCUAGGUGAGACGACAUAGGAAAAAAUUCUAAAAAAAAAAUCGUAAGUAUCUCUAACAAUCUAAAAUUAAAACACUUAUUCUCGAGUAUAUUAGACCUGGAUUGUGGGUUAAAAAAAGAGAGUAACAGAGGAAGCUUAGGUGCUGCAUGGCAAUGUUUCUAUUCCUCAAAAUUUCUGUUUUUUGGUUCCCUGGAACAAAAAAAGAACAGAAACCUGUUUGGUAACGCCAAGUUGUUUUUCUAUUCCCGGGAAUAGAAAGUUAGCCCGGGAAUAGAUUUGGAGCAGAAAUGAGAAGUAAAAAAAAUUUGCUUCUUGUCCCGAGAACAAUUUCUAGAAAUAAGCUGAUUUUCUUUUUUAAUUUUCUUUUAUUUCUUUUUCUUGCCGCGACUACCGUCAACCGCCAGGAGCCAUCGCUUACUGCCGCCGCCGCCGCCGCCUCACGGCCGGCAGUGACGGUCGGCGGUCGGCAGUCGUGAGGCGGCGGCGGCUGGAGGGCCGGCGGCCGCGACCGGCGGGCGGGCGGCGGCGAUCCAUUGGCAAGAAUAAAAAAUGAAUAAAUACAAACAAUAAAUUGUUGCGUUACCAAACGCAUUUCUAUUCUUUUUCUAUUCCAAGAGUAGAAAUUUUGUGUCGUUAUCAAACGGGUUCUUUUACUCAGAAAUUGUUCCCCAGAGCAGAAAUAGAAAAGAACUAUUUCUGAAAAAAAAAAAACUCUUCCCAGGAAGGAAAGCGUUGUCAUGCGCAGCCUUAAGGAAUUGAUGGGCAGUUGAGGAAGAGAGAGAGAUUACGGUAUAUAUACAAAUGUUAUAAUUUGUACACAAGCUCCUAAAGUUUCUCCUGUAAAUUUAUUUAUCCAUUGACUUUCAAAUACUCGUAAAUUGUUUUUGGGAAUAAAAUAAAAAAGAAUAAGUUCCAAUCAGAAACUGUUUCCGAAAACAGAAUGAUUAUCAAAUGCAUCAUAACUACUGAUGCUUGAACUUUAGCCAACUAAUUCAAGGUUCCAUUUUUUAAAUGUACCAAAAUAAAUAAAUAAAAUAAAUAUCAAGAAUGCCAAUUCGUCCAUUUUCCAAUUUGCAUGAGUCUAAUUCAUCGGACCUCAGCCCGCAAGGUUAGCCCAUAAACCCCACUCGAAGCCCAUUAUCCAAAUUCCAUCACUCUUACCAACCGAUAAAACACACCCGGGAUCCGGAUCGUAAUGAUGUACAGCUAAUUCAAAGAGCAUGCCGGUAGAACUUUGGAUUCUUUUCAAGUUGAACAACGGACGAUAUGAAUUUUGCCGACAAAUCGAGAACUCAGCAGGACAAAAUGAUCUAACCGCGCCUUCAACUUGCAAAAGGCACGGCGAAAUACCAUCUGGACACUCCAUGAGGCCGAGGAUGAGGUGGGCAUUAAAGGUUCUGCAAUCUAAAACAUUUACAUUCUGUGAUGCUCUCCAUUGUGGACAUGAGGGGUUAAUUGUCCUACAUUGGGACAUCACACAGUGCAUGCCAUCUUUUCUGACCUGAAACAAUGCAUUUCCUUCCAUUGUCUACGGUAGAGGAACGCAACAGAGAAAGAUUGAACCAAGGGGGUCCGGCACCUCAGAGAAGAACUUAUCAUAUAACCUGAACAGAGAAUUUCACUGACAAUCGGAGACAUGAAGAUGCUCAUGCUCCAAGAGCUACAAGAUGAGCAGAAGAGUCAACGGGAGGAAGAGGGAAAGAAGAAGAUAAACAUAGAAACGAAGAAAGAAAAUGAAAAAGAAAAAAAGUCUUUGGACUAAGAUGCCCCUAAUUAUGAUUUGGAAAGUGGCAUGUGAGAUAUGCAUGCUCACUAGGUUUUUAUUUGAGACAAAGUCCACCAUGAAUUUUUUUUUUUGGUAAAAAAAAAUGAGCUCACUUUAAUUUUAUUUGAAAUUUUUCGGGUGUUCUUUCAUCCAAAAAGAUGAGAUAAAUAAUUAUUUAAUUGGCAUAUAAUCGAAUAGCAACAAGCUUACUAAGACGUUAGAUUGUUAACUUUUAUGACAGGUGAUGUUGCCUUGCUAAAAAAUAUCAAAUAAAUGAGUGUGUUUGGACUCAAUGAAGGAAAGGUAAAGCAGUUUCGAUGUAUUUUGGAACCCACCUAAUGCUUACAACAAGACAAGCCACUCGCGAAUUGAAAAGAAGGCAGAGGGUAAAUACGGUAGAUGGAUACCAGACGACAGAACAUGGUAUAUAUGUCAAAACACAUUCCCCGCAUUUAGGCCACAACUCCUGGAUACUGCAAGGAUAAAUCUGAAAAUAGAAGACAUGAUCAUGGAGAAAGCACUUUAAUCGGUCUAUUCACUUGUUCUCUUUUAACUAUUGAACUAAGACAAGCUUGAGACAUAAACAUCCUACAAGACAUAGCAAGCCUCAAGAAAGAUAAGUUACUUGCCUAAUAAUUAUGAAAUGGCCAGAAAAGAGUACUCAAGUUGGUUUCUCUUUUUGGAUUAUUGCUUGCUAAUGGAUCACACUAGAUUUCCUUAUUUCUCCCUUUCUUUCCCCUUGUCUACUUCUAGUGCGACUUUGGGACCGGAAGAACCUCAAAACACAGUUGCAAUCAACAAUUUCAGGGAUGGCCAUCCUUGGACGGCACUGGAAUGUCAUGAUAUUUUUAUGAGGCUCCGGAACUCCUCAAGUUAGAAGCCGUACUGCAAUAAAACAAAACCUAUCUGUCAGCCGGUAUCAAUCUUAUGGGACUGAAAGUGCUAAGAAAGGAGAGGUUUCUACGCAAUAUAAAUAGAACAGAGUGUUAAAAUGGAAUGUUUUCCAUGACCUUUUAUUCUUUUUUUUUUUUUUGAAUGUUCUAAAAACAAAUUUAUCCUUUCUCUGAAACGCCUAUAUCUAAUAUAGGCCUAAUUACCCAAAAAAAAAAAAAAACCACCAAGAUGAACGUGCCUUACUUGGUUUCUCCCGCACCUAAGUCCCAAUGAUAAGAAUGAACUCACCAAAUUAAAUAAUGGAAAGAGUAGUAGAAGAUUAGAUAAACAAGAAAAAAAAAAGUGAGAACAGAUGACACCCCAUUAGAGACUCUGCUAAUCUGUAAGUAAUCUGCCUUCUGUAUUCAUGGGCUUUAGGGUGUAUAAUGUUCUGAAUGCCGGGUUGGGAGUGGGUGGAGAGAGAGAGAUGGUCAGCGAGAAAAUUCAGAAGGAAAAGUUAACGGCGAUCUCCCAGUCCCGUCUUGUUUGUUAUUCUUCACUCUGUUAUUUGGAAGGAGAAGUGAGCCUAUCAUUUACAUGUUCUCUUCCUCAUGAUUUAGGUUGUGGAAUACCGAUAUAUAUAUUAGUUUUUCUAUUUUGAAAACCCUAAUUAACUCUCUCUCAUGGUCGGCGCGCCUCCUUCAGUCCUCAACACUCCUCAGGCACUUUCCCUCAAAAAGAAACCCUAACCUUUGGUCCAUUCUUAAUCCUCCUCACGCAAGAUCCUCUUAAUUCUCGCGCCUCGUCUUGCUCUCAGUCGCCUCUCGGCUAAACUUUCACCUCCAGCCCUCUAUCCCUACAUCACAGUCGUGGCCUUGCAUACGACCCUCCCUCGCGGUCAUGGCCUCACCUCUCCCUUACUCUCGACUCAAUGUAAUGGCCGUUCUCUUGCUAUUAUUGCUUGAUUUCUGUCGCUGGAAUGGGAUUUCUUAUGGGAACGCGGCGUUAGUUAUGCUAGAAAUUAUCCAACACUCAAUUUGGUGUCUUCGCACUUUUAUGGGAAAAGUUUCGCAGUCUUUUUUUCAUUCAAUUUCUUUUACGUUUCAUAAAACAUGGAAAACUAACAACAUUGAAACACACUAAAAGUCGAACAAGAUAUAUCAAUAUGAUAUUAAUAGAGUAAGAACCCGAACUUUGUCGGGCAAAAUUAAAUACCGCCUUUACAUUAAGCCUUGAACAGGAUCCCAGCCAUGCCCGACAUAAAAAAUGCAAUUAGUCUAGGCUAAUGAACGCAAAUUUCCCUAAACUUUGGCGAUAAUGAAAUGUUAAACCUAGAUAUGAAAUUGAGUUUAAAUAAACUAAAUACCGUGAUGAAAUUCUUACCUAAAUGCAAUUCCUUUUUUUUUUUAAAAUCUUUUUCAUCUCCAAUAUUUUAUAUUUUCCUCAUGGAAAAAACAGACUAGAAUCUAAGAUAACAUCCAAGGGAGACACGGACCAAGGCCCAGUCCGGAUGAGGGCGCACAUUACACCCCCAAUAAAUCACACAGGAUAGACUUGUGUCAUGGACAGGAUUCUCCCGUGCUUAAGUAUCCUUGUGAGUAGAGCUUGGUGUGAUUGAAGUGAAGAAUGAGUGAUGUAGAAGGGACGAUACAACUAGUUCUUAGGAGUGGCGUCAGAGUAUUUGUGCUAGGAAUUCUAUAAUAGAACAAUUAUAACUACUAGGAGUUUUAAAAGCAGGUUUGGCCUCCCGUGUAUAGACUAAUCAAUAGUUGAUGUUGCUUUCCCAAUGAGACCAUGGCAAGCUGAAAUCACUUGUUGCACCUUAAUGUUCUAUGUGUCUCGCGCAAAACAUUGGAUGCCCGAGCUAAACUAAGUGUGAUGCAAUCCUACGUGAUGAUGCAUCGCCAUACUCUUCUUAGGAACAAUUAUAAACAGAAGGCUAGUACAGUGUUUUCGGCUCACUAGGUGCUGCAAAGGCUGUUUCAUGGCCAAGAAACUAUCGGUCCAUGACACUUGAAUGGCGAUUGCAUAAGUGCUCAAUGCAAAAUGAAUGGGCGAAUACUAAGGCUCUGUUUGUUUCGCAGAAAAUAAAUGAUUCAAAAGAUAUUUUUUUCUUCUAAAAAUGCUCAUUUGUAUAACUCGAAAUAAUUAAUUAACAAAAUAAAUUAAUCAAUGAUCACAAUUCAUGUCUAGAUAUUUUUGUGAAUGAUAAAAAAUAUUUUUCAUUUAUUUAUUUUUGUAAGUGAUAAAAACGAUCAAUUUUAAAAAUUGUUUUUCGAAUAAUUUAUUUUUCGCAAAAUAAACGAAACCUAAUUCUAACAUCACUAGACAUCAAUAUAAACAUGGAUAUGAGAAAAUCAACUAACUCGACAUGAUGAGGUUCACCGCUAAGGGGGAACACGGCUUUGAGGCAAAUUCGUUGUUUUUGGGUAAGCAAACAUAAUGGCCGGUUUUGAUGAGAACAUUAAGAUGCAAGUAUCAUAGGUCAAUAGUUCCUUGGCCAUGGAAUACCCCGUGUAGCUUUUGAGGAGCGGAAUUCGCCAGGCCAACCUUCCUUUUAUAGUUGUUUCAAUGAACAAUACGACGAAUAGUACUUUUAUACGAGAUCGUACCACGCCCAACUUUACUUAGGCGUCUAGUCCAUCAAGUGAGACAACAGAUCUCUUUAGGCUCAAUAAUUGGUUUCAACCUCCCAUGGCCUCAUCAAGAGAGUGGCAUCAACUCUUGACUAGUAUGUGCAUGAGAGGCUAACUCCGUCUUCAAAGCUCCUAAGUAAUAUAAUCAUUUCUAUCCUAGAACUCUUAGCACCAAUCAUCCUGAUCUCACUCCCAGUUGUGUUUAUCCUCUUUGCAUCCUCACUCUUUAUUCGAUAACCCCCGGCUCCGGUAUGGGAGAAUCAUAGACUGUGACACAAACACAUGAUUUAAGCAUUAAACAAGACAUAAUCAAACCUCAUAUCCAGGCUAAUCAAACUGGUGGUACCGAGAUAAUGAGUUUGCAACACCCAAUAGGGCGAGAUAGACUAACAUACUUGGCUUUAAACUACAAUUUCGCGGUCGGCAGAUCUGAUGAACAAUAGAUGAUAGGGAGCACACGAAAAACAUUAGACUCCUACAUUAAAUGAUGGAAGGAAAUAAAUGAACAAGCCUGGAUGGACCUCUCUCAAAUUUCUCACUCUCGUUUCCUUCUCAACUCACUCUCUCGUGCUCUCACGGCCAAACUCACUCUCAUUCACUCACCCACGGUUUGGGAGAGCUGUGGGAGAUGUUCUCCAGCUCACUCUCUAUUUCCCUCACUCCCUCUCUCUUUCAUGGAUUGAAUGGUUACGAAGUGAAGAAAUUUAUUCUUUAUACUCCCCACUCCCCAAUUUAUGCUCACCGUUUGGACCCAUUUUUGGGGUACAAUAUGGUGAGGUCUUUUGUCCGAUGGUUUGUACCAUGCAUGGGGUUAUUGGCCGGUCAAAGGGGAGAUGAUUUGUCCAGGGGAGAGGAUUUGUCCACUGGUUCGUGCCAUACUCAAAAGAGGAAGCCCUUUUGCCUAAGGGUUUGUACCAUGCUUGGGGUUCAAAGGAAGUCUAUUGCCCCUUGGAUUUAGAGGUGUAUGGCCGACCAAGGAGAUCCUAUUUUGACCAAUUUGGUUCAAAUUUAAUGUGCCAUUGUUUCCCUAUACGGUAUACCUAAAAAAGCCUUAUUUGCUUGUCCAGUAUUUUCCUAUUUAAUCACCAACGUAUCUUUCCGAUCAGGACGUAGACAAACUGCAGGUCGAUCUAUGCGCUUUCUCUAAGUUCUGCCGUUUGUUCCUUAGCUCCUUAGGAAUGAAGGGGAAGACAUAAGGACGGGCUUUUCGGGCUAAGGUAAGAAAGUCAGCCUUUACGACUGUGAAAGCAAUUCCUUCGUGGGACUUGGAUUAGCGGCAUAUCCACAAAGGAGGCAAAUUAAAAGGGCUAAUAAUGCGAAAAUGUGAAGCAAAAUGGGUGAUUCGAGAGUUAUCAUUAUUUGGACGAAUUUUAAAAGUAAAGGAUACGCAAAAAUGAGAUAUAUGAACUCGAGUCCACGCAAAGUGCAAUAUGCAAGUUUAUGCAAUAUAGAUAUUUUUGGUUCGGGAUCAAAUUCCAAAUGAAUUCGAUCCCUAAUUUUUCUUAUGAAAAGCACAAAUAGUCUAUAAGCAAAAAUUUAAGUGUAAAAACUAUAUUUAAAUUGAAAGAAGAACCAGAAAAGUUGAACAGCAUGUAAUGAAAAAUAAAUGUAAAAAUUAACCACGUCACUCAUGUCAAAAGAUGCAAAACAUCCUUCCCUUUCAGAUAAGCCUACGACAGCAUCGAUUUGGCAGGGGAAUUCGUAAACUUGAUCUAGAAGUGAGGAGACACAUGGUAACUAAAAAUUUGACAAAUCAACUAAAGGCAUAACGUCAUAAACCAUAGGUAAAGAAAGAAUGAGAACUCCAAACAUCAAAGUGACCCAAUAUUCCAAGUGACAAAUCUGCCAGAAAGUAGCAUACACUUGAGGCGUUACAGAUUUUUCCAGCUGAAUUUUGUUAGGAGAAAAUCAACUGGUGCACAACUUUCCUUUCGGAAGAGACCGAUGUGCUCACCCGGAGGGGCUGCUUUUUGCUCACGGCGGUUGAUUUUGGCCUCAACUUGUCUUCAGGGGGAAUUCAAUAGAAUCAAGCUUGAAAUUGACUCCAACGAAUUUGCCUUAUUCGCCUGCUCCCCUAGCUUCCCUUAACAAGGUGGAUGGCCAUGCACAGAUAUCAGUUAGAACUGAGGAGACUCCAGCAUCACGUAUUUGGAAAACGAGCCAUUACAUACUUCAAUGCAUCCUGUACUUGCGCCGACUUCUCAGCCGGACAUUCACUGAUAUUCAGCUUUUCCAAAGAUGUUAAUUUUUCUAGGCCUUCAAUUUGACUGAUCUUUUUGCAUCGAAUGAUCUCUAAAACUUUCAGCGACUUCAAGUUUGAUAGAUCAGGUAAACUGAGGUCAUCACAGUCAGAUAGAAUCAAACUCCUCAGUGAGGUUAUCUGGCCAAUCCCAUUGAGAUUUUGUAUUUUGCAGUUUGAUAUAUCUAGCCUCUUCAGGGCUUCAAGCCCUUCAAGCCCUUCAAUCUCUUCUAUCGCAGAGUGGUAGAGCUUGAACGAUAACAGCUUCUUGGGAAGCUCAGAUACAUCUCUACAGCUCAAACCAGGGGGGGUAAGCAUUUUGAGCCUUUUGAGGGGAGGAAUAUCCGUAGGCCCAAACUUCAGCUUGAUAACUUGCGAAAGAGAAAGUUCUAGUUUCCUCAGUCUGGGAAACGAUAUCGAGAAGGAUUGUUUGUCAAUCAUUCGUUUCACGUUGGAUUCUGGCAUUGGCAGUUUGGAGGGAGGUUGGCGUGCCUCCCAGUCCCCAUCACUUAGGCACAGCUCCUCCAACUCCUUCAAAUCUUCAAGAAGGGGUAUCGCUUUCAUCCUUUCAGAACUCACACGCAGACAAAUUAGAGACGGGGGAAGCUUCGGCAACUCUUCAAUUUCAUCGCACUGAAUUAAAUCCAGGGUGUGAAGACCACCGAUGGUGGAGAUUGCAGGGGGUAGGCUAGAUAUACUGGAAUGGCCCAGCGUCAAUGAUCUCAGACAAUGUAGUCCCUUAAUAUCAUGGGGAAUGGCCCCCUUCAAACUCCAACACCAGGACGCAUGUAGUUCUUCGAGCUUGGUUAGAUACCCAAUCUGCCCAGGAAAUGCUCGAAUGAAAGAUGAGUCCAUUCUCAGCACUUUCAAGCUUUUCAGAUUUCCUAUUGAAUCUGGGAGUCCAGAGACACUAGUCGCCGAUAUAUCCAACUCCUCUAAUGACCCAAUUUCACCGAUGGAAUAUGGAAGUUUCUCCAAACAACGGCAAUCCCUCAAUGACAAGCAUCUUAGCUUUUGCAGCUUUCCCAGUGAGCUCGGGAGCUUAGAAAUUUUGGCACCUUCUAAUUGGAAUUCAGAGAGAGCAGUCAGAUAACAAAUUGAACUGGGCAGGUGAGUCAAUGGGAAGCAAUUUAAGCCACUGAGAAUUUCGAGUUGCUUCAAAUUGCCUAUGGAGAUGGGGAUCUGCCGUACAGAAGUCCCGUCAAUAAAAAGCUCUUUCAGAGCUGUCGUACAACCUAGUUCCACUGGCAACCAGUUCAAUUGGGAGCAGAACUUCAAAUUCAGGUAAACUAAAUGUUUCAAAUUGCCAAUUGAAGGAUCUAGCUUCACCAAAUGAGAACAUCGUUCAAGAAUCAGGAUUUCCAAAUCUUUGUAAUCAGAGAAGUCAGGAGUGAACAGUAAGUCAGAACACCCGGUAAGAUUCAAGACUUUCAAUUUCUUCAUCUGCAAAGCCAAAAGGGAAAACACGCACAUGGUCAAUUCGCAGAUAUUUAAUUCAACAAAGCAACUAUAAAAUAACCAAAUGAAUACCAAACCACCUUGAUUUUACUCCAACCUCCCCAUUCUUCCGUGACUUUGCUCCAAGACAGAUCAAGAAUAACUAACUCUCUUAAUACAAAAUUUUCUGCUCUAAAAUCCAGAGGAAACCUUUGCCAACAAAGCCACCUUAAACUCGGAAAUACACCUGCAAAAUCUCCGGAAACUUCUGCACCAUCCAACUUGAGAAAACUUAUGGCUGGCAUGAACGCAAAAUUUACAGCUGUUAAUAUGCAUAAAUCAUGAGAUUCAACCUCUCCGAUUCCCUACAUAUAAAAUAAGUAUCAUUAUCAUCAGAAGCUGUAAACCAAAAUACCAAUCAGGAAAAAAGGAUGCUUUUCCUUGCCCCGCAUGCUAAAUAGUACAUACAUAAUAUUAUUCCCUCAGAAAAUGUGACAUAAAAAGAAUAAUGCAGCCCAUAUGUCAAGGAUGUUUGUUUGCCGAAGACAAACUGAACCAAAGUUUUACCUUCUCCCUGUUCAUUGCUUUUCGAAUCAUAUCCUGUGUGAAAAAUCUACGUGAACUUGGAUCUCCAGAUCCCUCUUGCUUAAAAAUUCUUUUGCCAAGCAUCUCAGCAAUCUGUGCAUCUGCAGUUCAUUGUUUUCUCCAAUUUUUGCCAGGGGCAUUAGAAUGCAACCAGAAGAUGGAAGGUAACAAUUGGACCACAUAUAUGAAGCAAUUCGGGCAUCCACACCAGAGAUAAAACAUGCAAUGUCCAGAUAUAUAUCUUUUUGCCGAUGAUCCAGUUCUCCGUAACAUAUAUCCAAUAGCUCUUGAAGGCCAACCAUAGUCUUUUGAGAACUCAUCAGACGUGCUUUCAUUGCCUUCUCCAUCUUUUCCCAUUCUUGUAUUGAUUUACCCCGCAAAAAUGAACCGAUGACUUCAACUGCUAAUGGUAGUUUCUUUGUAGCAUCGACAAUGCAGUUUGAGAGUCCAUCAUAAUCAGGCAUGGAAGAUUGCAUCCUGAAUGCAUGCUUGCAGAAAAGUUCAAAAGCUUGACCAUCAUCCAACUCACUAACCUUGUAGGUGGGAGCCUUGUCGGAAUCAUACCCUUCGAGAAUUUCCUCAUUUUGAGAAGUCACAAUUACUCGACUACCUGGACCAAACCAAUGAAGCUGGUCUCCUACAAUAGCAUGAAGAUCGGAUGGCUUUUCCACGGCAUCGACAACUAUUAGAACUUUCAUUUCACAAAAUAUAUCCACGAAAUCUUUUAUUGUUUCAUCAAAAGAAGGAUCUUCAUGAUUUCGUUCAAGGAUAUCACGUAUCAACUUAUUUUGCAAAAACUGCAUUCCACCAGAACUUUGUGUGGUUUCUUCGACCUCUGCAAGAAAGCUACAACUGUCGAAACAAGAAGAGAUCUGGUCGUAUACAGCCUUGGCGAGAGUCGUCUUGCCAAUUCCAUCAGUACCAUAGAUUCCAAUAAUGCGCACCUCAUCAUUACCUUCCAUCUCCAGUAAGUCGGUGAUUUGUUUGGCACGAUCAUCAAUUCCAACCAAAUUCUGAACAGCUGCAAUUGCGUAAUUCCUAUCCGAGGCUCUCAUGUCUACUGUUCGCUGUCCAGCUUCAUCUUUCAUAUUCUCCAUGCUCUGCAAUAAAAAGAUAAUUUCUUCACCAAAGUAUUAUCAUAGAUGGAAAAAAGAACAAACGUCACCUGAUCAGUCUCUCUUUUCUAACAUGGCAUCACUUCCACACAUGAGAUUGGAAAUCAUUUUCCGAAUGAGAUUUAACCCUAGGAAACAUUUUUGGUCACAUAUCACCAAAUAAGGGAAAAAUUAACAAUUUUCUUGAAAAAUUUCCCAGAAAGGUUUUUUCCAUUGUCAUGAAGUUUUCCCCCAAUAAACGCACCCUUAGACUCAGUUCGUUUGGUGGAAAAUGUGACAUUUCUGGAAAAUGCUUUCCAAGAAAAUGAUAAUACUUCCUGAUGUUUAGCUGAAACAUGAAAAUGGAGUGAAAAUAUUUUCCGUUAUUCGGUAACGAAAAUCAUUUUCUCCAUGCACUCAAUAGUUAGAGAACAAGUUGAAGAGAUCGACGGAUGCGGUCGGCGAGGGAGAGAAGGCCGUGAACAGGGUCGACGCCGACGGGCUGUAGCUAUUGUUCGGGGGCCAGAACGGGCUCAAGUCUUGCAACAUGUGGGGCUCCGUCGCCGGCGGGACCGCCGGCGUCAGUAUCAUCAGCCCGUCGUCGCCGGCCACCGCCGACGGCCCGCCCAUGAACAGGGUCGACGCCGACGGGCUGUUGUAGCUGUGGUUCCUGCGCCAGAACGAGCUCAAGUCUUGCAACAUGUAGGGCUCCGUCGCCGGCGAGAAGAAAUCCGCGGAUAUCGCCGGCGGGGCAGCCGGCGUCAGUAUCAUCAGCCCGUCGUCGCCGGCCACCGCCGAAGGCCCGCCCAUGAACAGGGUCGACGCCGACGGGCUGUUGUAGCUGUGGUUCCUGGGCCAGAACGGGCUCAAGUCUUGCAACAUGUGGGGCUCCGUCGCCGGCGAGAAGAAACCCGGGGAUAUCGCCGGCGGGGCCGCCGGCGUCAGUAUCCCCUGACUCUGGGCCAGCUGGACGUCUCCCAACAUACACAUCAGCUCGUCGUCGCCGGCCACCGCCGACGGCCCGCCCAUCUCCGCGGCGGCGGCGGCAAAGCCCUUUUCCCUGCCCGUCGGGCUGGUCUGCUCUAUCGCCGCCACUCUGGCCGCCGGGGACACGUACCCGGAGGAGGUGGAGGAGGACCCCGAGAGCUGCUGGACGAUGGACAUGAAGUUCCGCUCCUCGACGUGGAUGACCUUCGGCGAGAUGUCGAAGAUGAUCGUGGGCUGCUGCCGGUCCGCCCCCGCCACCGCCGCCGGCGCCGGCAAGUGGGUCGGGCGAGGGACCCGCGAGGAUGAGGCCGCCGGGUGGGGCAGCUGGUGAGGGCGGGGCGGCUUCUGGACGGCGUGGGACUGCUUGGCGACCCGGAGCGGGGAGGGCCGGGGGCCCUGGAGGGGGAGCUCCUUCUUGGGCGGCGACGGCAGCGGCGGCUGCCUUCCUCCGCCGGAGGGAUAGGAAGGCUCCAUGAUUGAGGCUAUAUCGGGUCGGUCUUGAUGGGGGAGGAGGAAGGAAAAGGAAGUGGGGGAUGAAGAAGAGGCCGAGAUUUUGGUGGGCAGCGGUCAAAAUGGAUGCUGAAGCUAAGAGCAGAGCAGAGCAGAGCAGAUAGAAUAGAGAGAGAGAGCAUUACAUUUAUGAGUGGUUAAAAGUCAACAAUUCAUCGAAAGGGUCCUCCUGUAAUUUUCCAAGGCCCCGCAUUCGUUGUUUUAUUAUUAUUGGCACUGAGAUUAUGCAAGGAGGAUGAUGGUUGGCUGAGGUGGGCAGAACGCCCCUGCUCAUUUCGUCAAUGGGGCGCACCGUCCUCCUCCUUCUAGGGAGAUUAAGGAAAGAUUAGAGCUUUCCACAUUGAUAACCCGUUUUUUUAUAUGAAUCCAGACUGAUCCUUAACAGGCUUAAAGAAGAAAAAAUAGGAGAAAUAACUCAUGAGAGAUUGCACUCCCCAAUGUCGCUUUCUGUGUAUUUUCAUCUGAAUAGGGAAGAGAAAAAUCUAACUUUGUUAUAAUUAGAGCAUAUCUAACUUAGCUAUAAGAAUAAAUAAGUAUGGUUUCUUUUUCUCUGUUAAAUUAUGCCUCGAGUUUGAAUAUUUGCAAAAAUGUGAUUCGCUUGGACAAAUAGAAGUUCGUGAGACUCCAUGAAGAUUUACAAAAGAAAAUAAUAACAAAAAUGAGGAAAGUUCUUUGCUACGAAGCUUGCGGAAUCCGAAAUGAAGAAAAGAAAAGUGAAGCCCUGUACGUGGUUCCCUUCAGCAAUCGAAGAUUGGUUAAUGGUGGGGUUCAAGGUCAAACUUUUGACUUCGGGCACACUCGCGCACACACACGUUCGGUGUGAAGUCCUCUGCAUGCGUAAGAAUCCAAAAGUGGUGGUGGCCUUUGACCUGGGCCCACAUAUAAAAACACAUAUAAUUUCCUUCUUCGAGUGAGUGUGUGGCGUGGCCGAAGACCUACGUAAAAGAGAGAAGCCCCACGCCACUUGAGAGGACGCCGCUGCAGCUUUACGUAGAAGGGAGCCGCGAAGAUUCAUAAGCUGCCCGUGUGAAGCUUUGAUUAAAACGCGAAGCUAUACGUAGAGCGUUUUCUUUCAAACUUGAACGCAUGGCAAUUUUAUGUCAUAAGUUUAAAACUAAGUGAGUUGUUUAUUUAUAAAUAAUUUUGAUUUGAGGUUAAAUCUAGGUAUGGAAAACAUUGAGCGUUUGAGCGAUUAUAAACUCUGAUAUUCCGAUUAUAGUGGAUUAUUUACUGCUGACUCUUUCCGUGGACGUAAGUACCGAAACUCGGACCGAACCAUAUAAAUUUAUGGUAUCCUUAUUUUUCUCGUUAAUUUCUUCGAUGCCUUAUUUUUCUCGUUAAUUUCUUUGAUGAUUUCGUAUUGGCCUAAAUUGCAAAAUCAUAUCGUUUCCACAUAUUAUAUCCCAACACUCUCUCUUCCCAUUAUGCUAAAAGCAAAGUUCUAGCGUCUAGUAACCAGAAUUGGAAGAGCAACAUUCAUUUCCGAAUCAGUUUGACCGGUUUGAUGUACCCUUUUGGAAAACAAGGAUUUCAAAACUAAAAAAAAUUACCAAAUUUUGAUGAGGAAGUAAAUAUGGCCAGAGCCCAUGUUUAACUGUAUGCCGCCACGCCAUGGGAAAAUUCUUUGUUAUUACCUUUUCCAAUUGUUCGGAUCUCUCUCGUUGUCGUGUAUAAGAAUAUCUAAUCAAGAAAUGCAUGAGAUAUUAUGUCUAGUUUCGAGGAAGGGGAGGCCGUCUGGACCUCUCUUUCUUUGGCCUCCCUCAUAAUCUUUUUAUGUACUUCGACCUGUGAGCUAAAAAUUUAAAAUAAUUAAAAACUCAAUUUAAAAAAAAAAGGAAAAUGUGUUUGGUUAAAAAAAAAUACUUAGAUAUAAGUGAAAGAAACAAGAUCUAAAAAAUGAAAAACAUUUUUCCCACUUAUGUUUUUUUUUUUCAUUGGUAGAAAAUAUUUUCCUUGACUAGUUUAUUUUCUGUAAACCAAACGGCAAAAAAUCUAGCAAACGUUUUCCUGAAAGUUAUUUUCUAUUACAAGCCUUCACAUGUAAGAGGAAUCCUCUCAUCCUUUCCAAUAAAAAGGCAAAUUAUGAUGAGGAAUAUCUUCAUUGUAUGAAAAAACAAAGAAUUGUAAUUGACCUCGAUGGCAGCUUCUACUCCAUCCUUCAGCUGGUUAACAUCUUUGAGCUCAUUAAGGAUUGUUAUACCGCUGCCUCGAAUAAUAUUCAGGACUAGCAAAAGCUUUAAAUUUUCGCAUACGUCCAAUGCAACAGGAUGAGAGAAUAUUGGUAAAGUCGGACGAGAAGAAAAGAUACCUUCCACCUUCCUGAGACAUCGUAAGUCUUGGAGCCCAUUAAGGUUUAUUGUCCGUUUGCAAUGAAAAACUUUCAGGACUUCCAAAAGCUUUAAAUCUUCGAGACCAUCAAUCUCGCAGUGUUUGAGACGCAGAGUCCAUAAGUUUGAGGAGGGAAGUUGUGUGAGAUCUAGCUCCUUCAUGUAGGAUAAAGUGAGUUCCUGGAGCUUGGUAAGACCACGAAAAUCCCCAGGGAGAUUGGUGACAUUUGGAAGGGACAAUUCCAAGGUCUCUAGCCUUGUCAAUCCCAUGAUCCACCACAUAUUUGGGGUCUGAUUUGAUGACCCCGCUUCUAUCUGCUCAUCAACAUUCAAGCAUAGCUCUUUCAAAUUCGUCAGAUUUGUCAAUUUGAGGUCUGCCAUAAUUUUGGAUCCACAGCAGAGAGUGACUAAAUUGGAGGGCAACUCUGGUAGUGCUUGAAGUUGUUAAUGUUGGAGAAAACUUCCUUAUUUGUUUUGAAGUUAACAAAACGUUUCUAUCAGUUUAGUUUGAAGAUUUGCAGACUCUAUUGUCAAAGUCUGAAGACCUCCAUACUCAAGAUUUAAAGUCUACCCUCACUGAUAGCCUUCAAACCGAUGAAGAAAAGAUUUAUUCGUUGAAGAAGAUUUAUCCAGAUGCGAGUAUAUUUUUAAGGAUUUGGUUCGUACGGUUGACGAAGAUCUCACGGCUGGAGAUAGCUUUUCGUGAUCAAUUAUUCUAAUUGAAAUCAAUUCGGAUAAUUAGAUCUGUUGAUUGGCGAAGUAUACUUGGAAGGUUCUACUUAUGGAAACCUAGAUCCUGAUUGUAUGGGCGAACAUGAUUGGUGAGCUAUUAUCACAUUCCUUAAAUAACUCGAGAUCUCCCUAAUUGAUUUUGUCCAACGGGUAGAUUAGAAGAACUCUUUUGGAAGGUGCCAAUGGUUAAAAAGGCAUGGAGGAAUAUAUAAGGAGAACGCUCAAGUUAUUCAAGUGUGCGUAAAAGAAAAAUUCCAAAAUAUGAAACUCCUAGUUCUUUGCUGUUACAUUUGUUGAACUUAAGUUGUACUCAGAAUAGAGAUUAAAUACUUUUGAGACCUUGAGGAAGUGUAGCAGAGUUUCUACACUGUGGAAUCAAAGACGUGAGACUGUAAAAUCUCUUUUGGUUUUUAGUGGAAUUCAGCCCGUGGGCUGUCAGUGCAGGAGAAUGGACACAGGCUUGGUCUAAGCCGAACCAAACCUUAUGUUUCAAUUCUCUUUCCCUAAUCUCUUUACUUUAAUUCGUAAUCUUAUAUAUAUGUUUAUAGUCUUUUACAUCUUCAAUCUAUUAUCCUUAAAAGACAAUUUAAUUUGUUAAGUCUUGCAACAACUUUUUUUGUGACAUCCAAAUUUUCAGGUUUUAAUUGUGAUUGGAUAAAUUAGGCAUUUCAUCGACGCGACUACAGUGUUUUUUUCUGAGUUGGCCACUCAUGAGAUAACUAGACUAGCUGAGUGAGUUAUUAAGGACUUUAAGGCAAAUAGACUUGGGAAUUCGAUUAGAAAUCGAUUUCUCGACUGUACUUAUCUUUAGAGAUCAUUACAACUCAAUUAAAAAUCGAAUUAAGAUCAAAGAUAGGUUAGUUCGACUAAGAUGAAUGACCAAUCGUGGAUGACUCCACUAAAUUGGAAAACUCUCGUUGACUGGCACUAAUUUGAUUUUACUGUCGUUUUGAUACUCUGUGUUCGUAUUUGAAUCCUCGAGAUUUUUAUGACAACCGAGCAUCGACAAUGUGUUGAGUGGGUUCAUUAUAGCUCGAAGAAAAUCGACCAUGGGUCAUUUGUCCUAAAAAGUUCUGAAAACUACCUAGUAACCUAGGUCAUGCUAAAAACGCGUUGGAGUGAAAUUAACGAUCAAUUUAAGUUCGAUUUCAGAAAUUGGAAGUUCUGUAGUGUCACGAGCUAUUUUAGGAAGGUCGACUUAGUUUCAGAAGAUUUUUCGGAGAUUCUGAGAUUUUUACAAAAAAUCAUUGUGAACAAUUCGGAAAAUGAAUGGAAAUUCGGAUUGGCUAUUUUGAAGAGAUUUUUGACAUCUGGGGUAAGUGACUUGGUGAAUGAAAGUUGUUUGGGCUUUUUCUGAAUUCAAAUUGGACCUCAAUCGGAUUUGUUUGUUCAGAAAAUCGAAUACCGAGAAAAAUGAAUUAGAAUUUGGAAUCGAGGGAAAUUCGUGAGAUUGAAUGACCGUCUCAUUUUGGUCUUUAAUUGGACUUCGAAUUGGAGGAAUCAAAGAAGAAAUUGAAGCCAAAACUUAGUGCCAAAAAUGUGAAAUUCGGAUUUAAGCUUGGGGCUGCAUUUUUUACAUUUAAAUUGGAUUAUUUAUGGAAUUUUAGGCUAGAAAGAAUUAAGGGACAAUGAGAUAUUCAUGAAGACCAAAGGGGGACAAAGCUUUAAUGGAUUAAGAUAUUUCUUUGACUUUUGGCCUUUUCCUUCUAAGCUGCUCACGCAUGGCUCUGCUGGCCUGUCUCCUUCGAGUGGCUUCUCUUUCCUUUCCUUCGGCUUCUCUCUCUUAUCUUUUCUAUUAUGUGUUUACUUUCAUUUGUUCCUCUUUCCCUCGAGCAAAACCGAAGCACCAUCUUCUGUCUUUUUCCUUCCCAUCAUCGAAGCAACCCAUCCCCAUGUUUCCCUUAGCUUCAUGCAUUUCCAUUCAAAUUCAAGUCUCAGCCAGCAACUGCCACAUGUCCAGCGUGCGCCCAUCUUCAGUCAACAAUUAUCACUCGGUUGACCUCCCAAAGAACCCCACCAAGUGGACGUCAGCUGCUUCUCCAUAAUCGAAGAGUCCAGCGCUUGCAAGCUCACCGAAGUCCAGCUUCUUUGGCCAUGUCUUCUCUCGGUCAAAACCCUUGCCGUGGAGCUCCAUCGAAGACCGCCGAAUCAGCUCAUGUUUAGCUACUGCCACCUGCUCGUUUGUCAUCUUCUUCGGCCAAAGCUUCUCCAAACUUGCUUUGAUUGAAGACCGAGCAGCUUCCUACCGAACCGAAGACCGAAUCAGUUCAGCGCCUCCGCGCCCGCGGCCUAGCUUUCAUCUUGCCGUUCCCUUCCACCGAGGCCUCAACGAAUCGGUCCAACUUCACGUCUGAAAAUUGCAAGCCCAACAGCGAGCUUGUAGGCCGAUUUCGGCCCCAGUUGAGCUCGAUUGUCGAAACCGCUUUGAAGAGAACCAAGCUUUGUCGCAUGCUUGUCAAUUUGAUCCGAUAAAAUUUUUAAUCAGGUGAGUUUUACUCACUAUUGCCUUCUUAGUUUGCUAAUUAUACUUAAAUGUUGAUUAGAUUUAAUUAAUUGUAAUUGGGUGGAUAGAUUAGAUUAAAGUAAUUAAAUUAAAGACUCAUUGAUGCAUGUUCAUUAAAUUGAUUGUGCAUUUAACUAGUAAACAUGUCAUAUUAUUUAUUAGAUGCUUCUUGGGAUUUUUCCCGACCUUUAUCGGGUGUUAAUUAUGCAAUUCGGGCCUAAGUGGAAUUUUUAGUAAUUAAAUAUUAAUUUUCGAAAUUAAUUAUUUAAUUAUUUUUUUUUUCUGGAAAUUCAACUAGGAUGGCCAAUGACCAGGAUUUUAUGCUGAUGAUCGUGGUGCAGUCCGUUUAUUUAAUUGAGCUUUAUAUUGUGCUAAAUUGGAAUUUGUAUUUAUUUAUUCAAUUUUCGAAAUUAAUUAUUUAAUUAUUUAUUUUUCCGAAAAUUCAAAUGGGAUGGCUAGUGAUCGGAAUUUCGUGCUGAUUGUCGUAGAGCAGUUCGUUUAUUUAUUUGAGCUUUAAUUUGUGUCGAAUUGAUUUAAUGGUGCAUUUUGAAGUUAUGUUCUUAAUUAAUGCAAUUUUGACUAUGUGAUUGAGAAUUAAUCGGGUAUCGGUUGUCAGUAUCGAAAGUGAGUUGGUAAAUCACCUGGAGAAUGGAUGUGGCCUGGUGAAUUGGAAUGUCACUUGGGAAGGACACGUGGCUCGGUAAUUGGAUAUGUUACCUUGGCGAAAAGGUAGUCUUAGAGAAUGCACGUGGCUUGGAAACUCGGUAUGUCAUCCUGGAGAAUGCACGUGGCUCGGUGACAGGGUAUGACAUCAUAAAAUGGGCACAUGGGCUUGGUGAUUAGAUGCAUCACUUUGGCUGACUUGGCGCCUAAGAGAAGGCAUGUGGGCCCGGGCAUCAUAAAAAGGGCAUGUGGGCUCGGUGAAUUGAUGCAUCACUUUGGUGAACUAGUACCUAAGAGAAGGCACGUGAGCCCAAUGACUUAAGUGUGGCAUCAUAGAAGAGACACGUGGGCUCGGUAAUUUGAUGCAUCACUUUGGUGAACUAGUGCCUAAGAGAAUGCACGUGCGCUCGACAUCUAGAUAUGCAUUGUGGGGAUUGUAUGGUUUGUUUGAUAUGUAAUCGACUAGGUCGAUUGAUCAUUACUUUGAUCUAAUGUUGUGAAUUGACUGAUUGAAUGGAAAUGACCGUGAGUGGUCUUGUUGGCAUGUAAUCGACUAGGUCGAUUUGAUUGAUGCUUCGAUCAGUGAUGUGAUUACUUUGGUGCCUAUUCGAUAUGUGCUAAUAUGCAGGUGUAAUUUGAAGCCAAGGUAAGUCCUAUGACUCAUGUUAUGCAUAGGCAACCCUAAGGUGUAUUAGUUUACUAAUUGAGUCUUAGGGGGUAGAACUUGCGGAGACAUAGUCUCAUCCCGGUUGUGGGAUUAUAUUUCAGGCCCCUAGAUUUCCCGAAGACGAGCUGACAUUUGAAGCCGAGGAUGAGCGAGAAGAAGGAGAUGAAGAGUUUGAAGAAAAUGAGCCUAGUGGUGAAAGAUCUGAGGAGGAUCAGGAUAAUGAUCCCGAGCAUGACUCGGAUGAGAACUGAGAUCCUAUCCUCUUUUGUGAACCCUGUAUUUGUGUGGUCGUGAAUUUCAUUAUGAAAAUUAUGGCAUGCUUUUCUAUUCCAUUGUUUUAUUGUCUAAUGAUUUAUAACUGCUUCCGCAUGUGCAUAUAUAAAUGAAAGGGUCGACGAUACAUAGUCUCAAGAUAUCACAUUUUAAAAUCGACCAAAGGUAAGAGAUGUGCACGUGCCUGAGGAUCGAAACGUGACAUCUUUAAUACUUAUUCACCCUCCUCUAGGUGUUUUUACUAGUCCUAUCAGUUCACAUUUACAUACGUCAAGGGUUCAAAGAGAGGGAGACCGCAAAUGCCCCGAGGCAGCCCCGCCAUAAUGGAUGACGAUAAUCUCAAAAUUCUCAAGGAGGAUAGUCCUGAAAUAUCACAACUAUCUUGGGCCUCCAAAUUUGUGCAGCCAGAGAAAUCUAUCUCUUCCAGUUUCUCUAACUUCACAAUAUCUUUAGGAAAUUUUUGUAGGGGGAUGCAUUCCAUCUUCAGCGUCUUCAAAUUACUCAAAUCUUGACUGACUCUGGUAGUUGUGUGAUUCUAGUGUCUGAAAGGUCCAUUUCCUCCGGCUCCUUUAGCUUCCCAAUGGAAGAUGGAAGUUCACACAAUUUCUCACACUUCCUUAGAGAAAGUCUUUCAAGCUUCGGAGGAAAAUCAAAAAUUUCUGGAACCCAAUCAAUAUUAGCACCAUCCAGAGCAAGACUUUUGAGUUUCAUCAAGUGGCCAAUUGGGGAUAUGUCCUUCAACUUUUUACAAUUACGAGCACUAAGUACUUCAAGGUUCCUCAAAGAAUUAUUUUCGAUAUGAAUUGCUACAACGUCAGUUUCGUCAAUAAGAAGUUCCGUCAAAAAUUCCUUGCCACUCAGUUGUAGGAUCGGCAGCUGGACUGCCUUGUAGUUUCUCAAAUUCAAGGAUUUCAAGCGCUUCAGUUGCCUGAUGAACGCCCAAAGCGUAGGUGACCGAGUACAAUCUUCCAUUAUCAAUAUCUCCAAAUUAGUUGAAGCUGAAGACACUUAAAUUUUGACAAUCCUAAGGAAAUAAAAUAAAAAUUGCAUCAAAACAAGAAAAAGAAAAAAAACCAGGGAAAAUCAGUAUGAUUGAUUAUGCAUGGAAAUUUGAAAUUCUAAUGAAUAUUCAGAUUUUGAUAAAUGCGGAAAUAAUUUGGAGAUCAUGUGAACAAAGGGCAAAGAUUUUGAUAAAACUGAGAAAUCUAAGCAAGAUCGAGCUGAUUAUGAAAUUAUGCCAUAAUUUACAAAUCUCAUUUAAUGUGACAAGAGAUGGAAACUUAAAAAAUGACAUACAAAGCGGCCGUUUGGAAUUAUUAUACAAGAGAGGUUCAUUUUUCGCAACUGGGGAGGUUUUUUUCGAAAAAAAUGAGAGCAAAAAAAAUUAAAAAAAAAAUUCCAAAAAAAAUUUAAAAAAAUUCAGAAAAAAAAAAAAGAAAAGAGAUUUGUGUGAGAAAAUUCGAAAAAAGGGGGUGGAAAAGUAAAAAAGGUGUGAAGUGACUGGUCCGUGAAAAGUCGUGUGCGGGCGAAAAAAAAAAAAGGGAACGUGCGUCUGUUCGUCUUCCUCGGUGUCCCCCGCCCGUUCGCGUCGGCCGCCGCACCGGCCGUCUUGCUGGCACUGCCUCGCGCCGGUCACCGCAUCUCAAUCACCACCGCGCCUUUACCGUCGCUGCUCCACCGGACUCGCCCCCCGAUGCACAGCGCCGCCGUCGAAGCCCCCCUGCAACAGAUUGAAGCUCGCCGCUCCGAUCUGACAUCCCGCACCGGUGACCGGCGACCAGCAACAGCUCCGCGACUCGCGACCCAGCUCCGCCGCUGUCUCUCGCCUGAGCGCCCAUCUGCAGAUCCCGAAGCACCAGCGUCGCUCAUGCCGGCACCCCCCGACUCGCCACCAUCCUCUUUCCGGCGACCCAGCGUCCGACGCCUGCCGGUUCGCCUCAGCCCGACGAUCUACUGUCGCAACGCCUCUACCCGAGAUCCGCCGGUCCCUGCCGCGACCAGCAGGCGCCCGCAACUCAGCCGCCUCCCGAGAUCCCACAGCCGAGCCCCACACCACAGCCGACUCCCGUACCGUAGCCGACGCCGCCGCCCAACGACCCAUGCCGGAGCCCCCAACAGCCACCGGCCUCCUUCCGGCGAUCCAGCGCCUGACGCCCGCCGGUUUGCCUCAGCCUGACGCCCGUUGAUUGCUGCGCCGAGCUCCCGUGAAGCCGUCACCGCCCCUGCCCUCAGCGCCGCUAGCACGCCCGUCGCCGCCUAGCCCUAGCCGGAGCCCCGACGCCGACCGCCGCCCUUCCUCCGCCCGACGCACCCCCCCUGUCCCCGUCGUUUACCCCUAGUUAGUUUUUUUUUUAAUUUUUUACUUUUACUUUUUACUUUCUUUGCAUUUUAGUUUAUUUUACUCUUUUUAUUUGUUAUUUUAGUUUUCUGUUUAUCUUUUUUGGCUUUUUUAGUUUAGUUAUUUGAUUUGUAAUAUUGUGAAAAAAAUUAUAAUACUGGAUGUUAAUAUUUGUAAUUUUUAUAGGCAUUAUUCGUAGGGAUUUUGUUUGAAAUUAUUGUAAUUAUUAAUUUGAUCUGAAAGGCGUCGGAUUAUUUUUUAAAUUAUAUUAAUUUUUGGGCUUUUUUAGAAGAAUUUUAAUUGUUAAAUCACAAUAAUUAUUUAAUUUAGUCCGUAACAUUUCGAAUUAGAUUUUUAAUUAUUUUGAUUCAUUUUUGUGAUAAUUAGGGUUAGAAUAAUUGUUAAUUUUACUUGUGAGACAACAAAUUAUUUUUUCGAUUAUUUUAAUCAUUUAUUUGUUGACUAUAUUGAUUGUUUAGAUUUAAUUUUUGUUUAAUAAUUACUCAUCUUAAAAAAAACUAAAAAAAAAAAUCAAAAUCUUGCAUGAGCAUAUGGGACCUGUAGGUUUAAUAAAUUAGACACGUAAGUUUAGUAAAUUAAUUUUUUAGGACUAUAUUUUUAGGAUUGCAUUUUUGGAUAUCUUUUUAAAAUAGGUUAGGGUUAGUCUUAAACAACCUUCUUUUUUAUAGAGUCUUAAAUAAAAUUGGCAUAUUUUUAUAUUCUUUUUUUAAAUAAAAAAAUAAUAAAUAGUUUUCUAAGAUAAAAUGGGGUUUAAGUCAAAUUAAUCCCAAAAAUGAAUUAGGAAAUUAUUCCCUUUUAGAUAGCUUAAUUAGGGUUUUUAUUAAUUUCGAAUUUCAAUAAAUAAAAAAUACAAAAAUGCUAGGUGCACAUUAACUAGUUUGCAUAAUAUGAUUAUUAAAAUAUGUUCACUAGUAAAAUUAGGUCAUGAGGUGCAUGCUAACUAGUUUGCAUAAUAGGCCCAUUUAAUUAGGAUUUACAUAUUAAUAAGAUUAAGUUAUUUAGUUAAAAAUGCAUUUUUAUAAAAGAAUUCUAAUUUUUUAAGAAAAAAAAAUCCUUUGCUUUGUGUGAUUUGUUUUUGUGUGAUGCAAUUUAUUUAUUGAAUGUUUAAUAAUGGUAGAACACCCGUGUGGUCACCAUAUUUGCAUGGUAGUAAUUUAGAUCAAAAUAAAUCCAAAUUGCUUGCAAAAACAUUUUUCUUAAAAAAAUAUAACAAAAGAAAUGGUACUGAAAGGACAUUAGAAAACUCUAGUGUAAUCAAGUUUCCAUACCCUUAGUCUCUAGAUCAUAGGAGUAAAAUAAAUAUUUCAUUAUUUUACUUAGGUGUCUAAUCGACCUACCGUUAACCGAUUAGUGGCGAUUUUUAGUUAAUAAUCUUUUGCAUGUUUAACAAUUUAAACUUAAGUCGCGAUUUGGUAUGAGCUUGGAAGAGCCCGAGUUAAGUUUAAAAACUUAGCAGUCCAUUAACCUAGUUUUAGGUGGUGAACAAAAAAAAACAAGUCGCGACAGCUUGGCGACUCCGUUGAGGAUUUGUGUUAAAACACUUAGUGGAUUUAAGCCAAUUUUUCUUUUUCUUUCAAAAAAUGUUUUUUGUUUGGCAGCUAGGAUACCAGAUAUGUCCAUAACAUUUUUAAGGUGUUAAAUGUUCUUGCAGAUAAAAGGGAUAAAGGGAGUAGUCUUUGCUAACCCUUGUCUUAUAAGGAGGUGUAGGCAUGAAUGAUUUUAUUUUUCCGUGUUGUUUGCAUUUAAAUUGUUAUGCAUGUUUUAUUACUUUUAGCACUACAUUAUUGCACACACAACCUAUGACCAGACCUGGGCUGCGAUAAGUUUUUUAGGAUAGUGUUGAGAAUGAUACUUCCUUCAAAGCGAGACUGCUAUGUAGAUAUUAACAUUCUUUUCCCCGAAAUUUCUUUCAUGGUGUCGGAUGUGUUUGUCCAUAUCCGCGAGACUACGUGAUUAUUAGGCAUUCCAUUCAACUGAUCUAGAGUUAGGGGGACUUAACACGUUAAUGCGAGACUGCAACGGUCAGAUUAUCAUCUUAACUCUACUCUAUUAAGCCAUUUAAAGUAAAAAUCGAGGCUCACAUCUCAUGUGCAUGUCUAUGUGAUUGUCAUUGAUUUUCCUUGGUGAAGUAAGUCUUCUAUCCUUAUAUCAUGCAAUUUAUUUUGUCAUACUUUUGGAUCAGUCCAUGGCAAUCUAGGUUAAUCAUUAAUUUAAUUCAUUUGUCAAUUAGAAAUGAAAUGAGGAAAUUGCCAUGCAAUGAAUCAUUUGGGAAAAAAAAACUUUUGCAAAAUUUAUUUUCAAUUCAUGUCUUUAUUGUUCUCAUUAGGGAGUUUCAAAUUUUGGUCUUUCCUAAUUCGUGUUUAGGAAAUUUAAUUCUUGCUAGGGUGUCUUAUUUUUAUUUUUCUAGAUAUUUUUAGGAAAUUCCCUUCUUGCACAGACUUUUCAUGAAUAAAAAAAAUGAAAAAAAUCGAUUAGAUUGCUGUUAUGGACUAGCUCUUUAUUUACACCUCAUGCUUACAUGUUCUCAUUUAUUUGAAUUAGGUGAUUAUGGAGCGAUCUCGCUCACCCAUCGUAUACGGUCGAGAAUUAAAAUGGCGGAUCAAAAUGAUGUGUUGGACCGUAUCAUUGACAAUAUGAACAAGCAAAUUGCACACUUCCAAAGUCAAGUCGAUGAAUUGUCUGCUAUUGUGACUUUUCUUAUCAAGCAAAAGGGCAGUGAUGACAUAGGUAUUCUAUCUUCAGUGAGAAACUGCAACUCGAAGAAGAGAGCCAAGAGAACUUUUGAAUCGUCUCAUUAUCCUGAGGUACCUAAAUUUGAUAUCACCAUAAAGAGACUAAUGACAUAUCUAGAAUUAAGAAUCUCUGACUUGGAGGGUUCGCAUCACAAGAUCAAGGAGGGUGAAGAACUCAAGCACGCAUGAUUCAUGGUCUUAAGUAGAUCGCAUUCCUUAUUUAAUUAGGGGCAUGUUCAGUUGUACCUUCCCAUGUGUGGGGAUUUUUAUUGCUUUCAAGGAUUGGUUUUAAUUUCUUCCGUUUUGCUUUAAUGCUUGAAUAUCACAUUUUUCAUUCCAAUAAAUGUAAUUUGAUUGAUGAAUAUUAAUAAAAUUACGAGUUUUGUUUUGAGAAUAUGAUGGGAUACACCAAACUAGCCCGGUGACGAUAUCCAACAAUGAAAAGAAAACAUCAUCCAUUGAGAAAUUCUGAGAACUGGGCUCUUCAUGCUUCCUCAUCCAAAAAUUUUAAAAAUAAAAUAAAAUAAAAGAGAGAAUAAAAAAAAUCAUUUUUUAAGCCAUUUCCAAAAGCAUGCAUUAGGUUAGCUCUUUUUAAUUUUCUGACUCAUUUACUUCAUGUUUCAGAGCAUUACUUUUUCGGUUUGAUGAGAAGGCAUCUAAAAAAGGUAUCCUAGGUUGCAAUUGGCCCAACUGUCAAGGACAUAUUUCUAAAGAAUUAAUGUGACAAAUUGGGGAUAUGAUAGAUUUUGGUAGUGACUCGAUUGAGAUAAGAUCUUGACUCAAGCCAAAAAUCGAUAUUCCAUUUGCUUUUGCUUUGAUGUUGCAUAGUAUCAUAUUCAUGCACGUUCUCUUGUGCAGGGGCAAAAGUGGAUUUUUAGUCUUGAAUGAUAGGACAAUCCAAAGACAUUAACUAAUAAUGCAAUCCCAUUGUAGAGGAAUUCUUGAAUGAAUGCUUAAAAUCAUUUUGCAAUGUGGAAAACUGUUUGUUUUGAAGUUGACAAUUUUUCAUGCCUAAAACUGUUGAGCUUUUUUUAAAAAAAAGGAGGAUUUUGCAUGAUGACUCUUACAUGUUUUAUCCACCAAUUCCACUAAAGAAUAUCAAGAUGGACUAAUUUAAUGAAUGAUACGGGAUGGAUUAAGCAUACUAAAUGAGACAAGUUGGGAUGAUGAAAGUCAAAUCCUAUCCUACACACAGUCCCAUAUUCAUACACUUGUGAGAUGAGUGUAGGAAGGUUUAUAUUCACAAGGUAAAGAGUUCUCUCACAAAAAGUACAACAACCGAAAUGAUGAGAGGUAAUUCAUUUUUCUAUCCCAAACACUAUAGGUGAUCCAUUGCUUAACCUUUUUGAGCCCAUACACUUAUGGAUAUUCUUUUCAAAUUACUCAUGUCAAGAAUCACCCCACAUCGGGGCAACUGGGAGAUAAAAUGAGAUCAUGAGGUGAGGAAAAUGAAUUGAAAUUUUCUUGCUUUUACUUGCAUCAAUUUUUAAGUCAUGCUAUUACAUUGAAUCCAUGUGAUAAUUUAAGUGCAUUAGGAUGACGAAGAGCAUUUCUUUUCUAUCCUAUUGUGGCAUCCGAGAAUUUAGUCGACCCUCAAAUAUACGACGGCCCAUAACUAAGUGAUGGAAUUAUCAUUGGACUAUAUCAUUGGAAUUAUAUAUGAAUAUUACCUUGAUACCGCCAUUGGACCGAUGGGUCACGGUUAGAAAUGGUUCAAUCAUCGAAUAAGUCAUAGUCCCAUCCCUGCAUGCUAUCACCAAUGAGACCGAGGAUGUGCCAUAAAAUGUGUCGACAAGAUAUCUUCUAUGUUGGUUUUAGCCGUCCAAUCAUACCAUGCGAACCGAACCUCUCAUGCACAUUGUCGCGAUUCCGUGCAGCCACGUGAGUAAUGAUAUUUCAACCCAUGUACCUGCUGAAAAUAAGAAUAAAAUUUUGGAGAAGUUGAGCCGUGCGUAAGGACCCUGCACGUUUCUUCCUUAUGCAAAUUAGCAAGUGAAGAAAAUGAAUUUGAAUCACUAUGUAGCCUUGUCAAGUUCUUUUUCCAUGCAAGAAUUUCAGUUAUGAAUUUGUACAUGAGGUGGAUUGGAUAAGAGAAUAUUGGUUGAUUUCCAUGGAGACCUUGAAACCGAGAAUGCUCUAUCCAUGUAUGGAAAUUUAAGGACCAAUCUUUGGAAAAUUUGAGGCCGUGUAUUAAGGACCAUAUGGCCACAAAGAAAAUAAACAUAAAAGUAAUUUGCUGCCUCAAUUAAGCCAAGCUUCCCUUAAUUGUCGUCGGAAUGGGGUCAAUGAGUUCUGAAAUCUUGACCGAAGGAAGCCCAGCAACAGCCACGUUGCUUCCUUGGAGACAGCCAGCAAAGCUCAAGGAAGAGCAAGCUGAAGACACGUCCUCCCCAAGCUGUCUUCGGUUCUUACUGCUACCGAAGGUUUUGCACGCAAAUUGACUAGUUUAUCAAUUAAUUGAGAAGCUAGUACGCGGAUUAGUCGAGGAAGAGAGAGAGAGCGAGUGAGCAACGAGCGGAGAGAAAGGAGGGAAGAAGGCCGCCCUCUGCCGAGCGUGCGUGCUGUUGUGACCGUCGCCGUGCACCCCUCGCCGCCUCACCGCACGCCAUUGACACCGUAGGACUCGAGGCAAAUGAAAGUCCACUAAUCUAUGUGAUGCAAGAAAUGUCGAGAUGAAGGUUGAAUACUAAAGUGUAGGCGAUGAAAGUGAAUGUUGAACUAAGAAAACGAGAAGAUACUUUGGUAUUCCUACGUGUUCUUUUAGGGUCUUUUGAUCUAGAAUUAACAGUAGAUUUUAUGAACUCUAGAAGUAAAUUAGACAAGGUAUAGGUAUGAGAUGAUUUGAAUCUAUGCUGUCUAGAGUAAUUCGCACGUAGUCAGUAGCUUCGAUGUUUGUUUUUAGAAGUUUUAAUAUGAAUUUAGCUUUUAUUACUUCAUGAGAGUUGUGCGGAAUUGUUUAGAUUGUCACAUGUAUUCACGCUAGGUUUUUUGUAUUAGUAUAAUGAGUACAAGAUCGAUUUCGGUGUGUUGUUUGCUGUUCGCGGGUAAAACCAGAAGAAAAUUCUGAGUGUAUAUUAAAGUUCUUAUAGAAUUUUUGGGAAUUGGUUGAGCAGUAUGUUUUUAGCAAAAGCGUGACAUGCAUUUGUGCGUGCAUCAUUGAGAUUACAUCUUUAGUCAAUGAGGUCAGGGAACUUUAUAUUGUUGUUAGGGAAUGUCGAUUGAUGGAAUGAAAUUCGGGUUAAGUUAUGCGAGUUGAUAUUCUCUGUACGUGACUGCAUUUUGAUUGUGGGGGUUCUUAUUUUCAAUAUACUUGAGUAUACUUCUGAAGGUGAAUGCAUUUCGGCUAUUAUUUAGCAGCAUGAUGGUUUGGCAUUCGAUAAGUCACUUGGUACUGAGAUUUUGAUAAAAACUCAUUAUACUUCCAAUGUCAUUGCAUUAAAAAUAUCUUUGAUCUUGAAAUGAGUUAAGAUGUUAAUGAUGCUGUCAGACCGUUGAGUCGACGAUGCCCCGGGAGUCGGGAGGCCCAAAGGCUCGAGUGAGUCGAUGUCCUUUGGAUGCCUGGGGUCCGUAGUGCCCCAGAGGUUUUCCCCGGGAGCUUCGGGAUGCUUGGUAGUAUGCUUGUUGGUACGUAAAUUCGGAGGGUAGGGGUAACCAUUUUCAUGGAGAAUCCCGGCGAUUCCUCGUGAUGCCAGGUGGGGUGUGAGAUGCCUGGAUGUGUGACGUAACACGCUCUGGAUGCCCGGUGGCCCUGUGUGACUGAGUGCCGAAGACUUUCGCGAUGCUAGGGUGGGUGUGAAAUCCCAUAAGGACACAAACACUAGUCCUCUGGGGGGAUAAAACCUUUUGAAUGAUUAAAACUAAUGGUUCUACUAAGUGUGAGUGUGGUUUGGUUAUCAGACUAAAUUGAAUGGCAUGAAAUGAGACGUGUCAUAACAAUUUGGCCAUAUGCUCAGGACUUGUGUGACUGAACAUGAUGUAUCUUGUUGGUUGGAACUGCAUUGGUCAUUGCAUUAAAGAGUUUUAUGGUUUCGAUGCAUAACCAUUCCUUGAUAAACUGUCUUGUCUAUAUUGCAUAAAACUAGAUCAUGAUGGCCUACAUAGUAUAGUUUAAUGGAUCUUUUACUGCUGAGUGGUUGUAUUCACCCCAUUUGGGGACUAACAUUUCAGACUAGAAGAUAUGCCUCUGCUACUAGUCACCCCCGACACAUUUUAUGGUAUUCCGGUCGACCUUCAGUGUGAGUGUUCGAAGCACCACCAUCCUAAGAUACGAGGGUUGGUUUUGUUCGAGUGCGGGUACUAAUCAUGUAUGACGUUGGUCCUCCCGCCGGCCCAGUGAUCCAGGAGUUUCUGACUAGUUCGUCCGCCGUGAUGGGAGUAUGCUGGGGCCAUUGCUACCACUGCCAGCUGAUGGACCAAACUGGGUGUGAUCGAGAGUGAUGGUUAGCUGAAGAAGCAUUUUUGGACCGCCGACACUGAUUGAUGGAUCUAUGUACAUGGUCAUUAGAGAGUCAAGUACUUUUUGGAAAAUAGCUGAGUUUAGAAAAAUCUUGGCAUUUUGAUGUAUCGAUUAAGAUGUCCAUCAGGUUUAUGUAAAUAAAAGUGUCUGGCUUUUACCUAUAAAAAUGUGUGUGGUUAGUGUGCAUCAUUUCUGAGUAUGAGAUAGGGAGAGGUUGAAUAUGCUUCCGUUAUAUUUUUGUGCAGGGACCAAUAUAAGAAUUAUAAACCCACUAGGACUCAUGGACUUCCUGAAAAUUUCAUGGUAUCAAAGUAAUAGACCUUCAGGUAGAGAAAGAGCAAGUGAUCUGUGGCGACCUCAGCAGAUCGAGGACUGUUCAGGGGGUGCCACACCUACAUACUUAUAUCCUUUGCAUAGCCCACUUGAGCCUGCAAUUUUAUUUCUUUUAAAUCUAGUUGGUGAUCAUCUCUCAUACUGGGGCAAGGCAAAAGGCAAAUUGAAGACUCUUAAAAGUUCAAGCGUCAUUCAAAGUAUAAUUCCUUGACGCAUGCAUUGUGCGCUAGAAUGGAAAUUAAAAUAGAACUAAGAGGUAUGAAAAAACAAUGUGCCUGGUAAAAGUAAGACUAAUGCCCAUGAAAAAGAAGUGAAGAAAAAAUGCAUGAAAACUAGAGGCAUAAAAAAGCGGUGUGCCCGAUAAAAGCAAGGCCGAUGCCUAUAGAUGAAAAUGAAAAAAAAAGUCAAGAAAUGUGACUAUCAAUUGUAAAAGGUUGCAUCCCUCAUGGAGCAACAUUCAAAGAACGCAAAUACCGAGCUUUUACAGUUAGUGGUGAAAAAGAAAAUUGGUCGCAAUACCAAGAAAAUCAUCAACUUUCACCCUUAUACACAUCUUCGAGCCUAAUAAUCUUUUGUUUUUCAACCCAUGAACCAGCCUACGUUACGUCCCUUGUAAAGUCUCUUCUGAUUAUGGCACUUGAAUUUAACCUAAGGGUUCACAUGUUUUAAGCAUCGCUCGAAGAAGUGCGAGCAAGAUUAUUUAUUUCUCAUUUUGCAAGGUUCUUGACUUGUAAACCCGGAGAUGACUGCGAAGCUGUUCUUUCAAUAGCCUUGACUCAAACAGUCCAUUUUCAAGCCAUUAACCAAGCCCACAUUACGAUCCAUGUUAAAGACCCCUCAAAUUGGUAAGGUCGUACCACUUGUGAGAAUACUCGGACCCUUAUCGAUAUGGUGAAAUUGAGUGAUUCUCCUAAAAUUGCCUUUUUGAAUGAGAGUGAGUGAAAGUCCUUUCUAACUGAAGGUCUCUCAUUUAGUAUUUUUAGAAAAUCCAUGUCAUGAGUGAAAAUUGUCUUGAACGAUAAUUCUUACCAGUUGAAAUUUUGGGUGAUGCAAAGGUCAUUAUGCAUGAACCCCGAUUGAAUUGAUAAAAACUCUAGUGGAUUUUGAAGUGUGCAUUCCAUAAUAGCCUUAAUUGCUUAUUUCUUUGGUGAAAUUUUUUUAUUUCUACCAGAAGGUGAGAGGCCUCCAUAGGAUAUCUAAGUUUCAGAAGACAUAUCCCCAAGAAUCAGAGAUAUCACCAGGUAAGUAUAUCUCUACCCAUACUCUAAAUACUUGUCAUUGUGCAAGUAUUCUCUCUCAAGUGCAUCGACACUUGACUUGGCCAAAUUGUCCUUUAUAUUGACCUAGCAUGCUUUCGUAGCCCAGAGUCCCUUUCAUCGACCCAGCGUACUUUCCUAGCCCGGUGUCCUUUAAAUUGACCUGGUGUGCUUUCAUAGCCCAAUGUCCAUUUCAUCGACCCGGCAUGAUUCCGUAGCCCGGUGUCCUUUAUGUUGACCUAGCAUGCUUUUGUAGCUCAAAGUCCCUUUCAUCAACCCGGCGUGCUUUCGUAACUCAGUGUCCUUUAAAUUGACCUAGCGUGCUUUCGUAGCCCAGCGUCCAUUUCAUUGACCCAGCGUGCUUCCAUAGCCCGGUGUCCUUUAUGUUGAUCUGACAUGUUUUCGUAGCCUAGAGUUCCUUUCAUCGACCCAGCAUGCUUCCGUAGCCUAGUGUCAUUUAAAUUGACUUGGCAUGCUUUCGUAACCUAGAGUCCCUUUCACCGACCCAGCGUGCUUUCGUAGCCCGGUGUCCUUUAAAUUGACCCGGCGUGCUUUUUUAGCCUAGAGUCCGUUUCAUCGACCCGGCGUGCUUCCGUAACCUGGUGUCCCUUAUAUUGACUUGGCGUGCUUUCGUAGCCUAGAGUCCCUUUCAGCGACCCGGCGUGCUUUCGUAGCCCGGUGUCCAUUUAUAAUGACCCGACGUGCUUUCGUAACCCGGUGUCCAUUUAUAAUGACUUGGCGUGCUUUCAUAGCUCAGAGUCCAUUUUAUCGACUCGGCAUGCUUCCAUAGCCCGAUGUCAUUCUUUAUUGACCUGGCCUGCUUUUAUAGCCCGGUGUCCUUUGAUAUGACCCAGUGUGCUUCUAUAGCCUAGAGUCUCUCUAUCAAAUCGGUGUGCUUUCGUAGCCUGAAAUUCCCCUUCAUCAACAUGGUGUGCUUCCGUAGCUCAGAGUCACCUCAUUAAUUUAGGAAACAUAUCCCUAAGAAUCAGAGAUGUUGCUAGGUAAGUAUAUCUUUAUCCAUACUUUAAAUACUUGUCAUUGCAUAGGUAUUCCCUUUUGAUUAUACUGGCACUCAAUUGAGUUGUCCCCCAAAGAUUUUUCUCCAAGUUCAGUCUGAUUAAGGUGAUCGAAGAAAGGUUCGGGUCCUGGUCAAAUGAUCUAUGUUGCAACGCUAGGCAACUAAAGAAAGAUUCGGGUCCUAGCCAAGCAAAACCUCAAUUUAGGUGACCGUAAAAUGGUAACGGUCCUAGACCACAUUUAUUUCCCCUUUCAGGCGACCGUAGAAUGGUAUGGGUUCUGGAAAGUAAAUCUCCGUUUAGGCAACCGUAGAAUGGUUUGGGUCAUGGAAAAUCAUUUUUUUGUCAAGGCGACCGUAGAAUAGUAUGGGUCCUAGACAACAUUCAGGUGAUCGUAGAAUGGUACGAGUCCUGGAGAAUUAUUUUCUCAUCAAGGCGAUCGUAGAAUGGUACAAGUCCUAGACAACAUUCAGACGACCGUAGAAUGGUACGGGUCUUGGAAAAUGAAUCCCCAUUUAGGCGACCGUAAAAUGAUACAAGUCCUAGACACAACCAAAUGCCAUAUUAGGCAACCUUAGAAUAGUACAAGUCCUGGGAAAGCAGUCUCUUUGCGAAGCCAUGUUACUAUUCUGGGCGACUGUAGAAUGGUACGGGUCCUGGACAUGUAACACUAACUAUUUUGAAUUACUCUACCCUCCUUGAAGGUUAGUUAUUCCAGGUAGGUUCAUUUAUCGUUUGCAUUAGCAUUUCCAUGCAUCAUAUAAAUUGCAUUUCAAAAUGGGAUUCAUUUUCCAAAAAAAAAAUCAUUCAAUGCAUGAGCAUGAUCAAAAUUUAGUUCACAAUUUGUCUUUGAAGGCAACCUCUACGAGCUUACUUUCAAAUAGGAGCAGCUAUUGACACCUAAAUUUUGAUGACCCUAAGGAAAUAAAAUAAAAAUCCCAUCAAAACUAGAAAAAGAAAAAAAUGAGGAAAAUCAGUCUGAUUGAUUAUGCAUGGAAAUUUGAAAUUCUAAUAAAUAUUCAGAUUUUGAUAAAUGUGGAAAUAAUUAGGAGAUCAGAUGAACAAAUGGCAAAGAUUUUGAUAAAAUGGAGAAAUCUGAGUAAAAUUGAGCUGAUUGUGAAAUCAUGCCCUAAUUUACAGAUCUGAUUUAAUAUGACAGGAGAUGGAAAUAUAAAAAAUGCCAUACAAAACAGCCGUUUGGAAUCAUUAUAAAAGAGAGGUUCAUUUUUCAUAACUGGGGAGGUUUUUUCGAAAAAAAUUGAGAGUAAAAAAGAUUUAGAGAGAAAAAAAGAGAGAUUUUUGUGAGAAAAUUCGAAAAAAGGAGUGGAAAAGUCAAAAAGGUGUGAAGUGACUGGUCUGUGAAAAGUUAUGCGUGGGCGAAAAAGAAAAAAAAAAGGGGAAUGUGCGUCUGUUUGUCUUCCCCGGUGUCCCUCGCCCGUUGCCUCGGCCACCGCACCAGCCGUUGCAUUGACGCUGCCUCGCGCCAGUCAUCGCAUCUCAAUCACCACCGCACCUUUACCACCACUGCUCCAUCGGACUCGCCCCCCGAUGCACAGCACUGCCAUCGAAGUCCCCCUGCAACAGAUUGAAGCUCGCCGCUCUGAUCUCACAUCCUGCACCGGUGACCGGCGACCAAGAACAACUCCGCGACUCAUGACCCAACUCCAUCGUUGUCUCUCGCCCGAGCGACCCAUCUGCAGAUCCCGAAGCACCAGCGUCGCUCACGCUGGCACCCCUCGACUCGCCACCAUCCUCUUUCCGGCGACCCAGCGCCCAAUGCUUGCCAGCUUGCCUCAGCCCGACGAUCUGCCGUCGCGAUGCCUCUACCCGAGAUCCGCCGGUCCUCGCCACGACCAACAGCCGNNNNNNNNNNNNNNNNNNNNNNNNNNNNNNNNNNNNNNNNNNNNNNNNNNNNNNNNNNNNNNNNNNNNNNNNNNNNNNNNNNNNNNNNNNNNNNNNNNNNGGCAUUAUAUGUAGGGAUUUUCUCCAGAAUUAUUGUAAUUAUUAAUUUGAUAUGAGAGACGUCGGAUCAUUUUUUUUAAUUAUAUUAAUUUUUGGGCUUUUUUUAGUAGAAUUUCAAUUGUUAAAUCACAAUAAUUAUAAUUUGGUCCGUAGGACUUCAGAUCAAAUUUUUAAUUAUUUUGAUUUUCUUGUUGUGAUAAUUAGAGUUAGAAUAAUCGUUAAUUUGACCUGUGAGAUAGCAAGUUAUUUUUUCGAUUAUUGUAAUCCUUUAUUUUGUUGACUAUAUUGUUUGUUUAGAUUUAAUAUUUGUUUAAUAAUUACUUAUCUUAAAAAAAACUAAAAAAAAAUCAAAAUCUUGCAUGAGCAUAUGGGACCUAUAGGUUUAAUAAAUUAGACAUGUAGCUUUAGUAAAUUAAUUUUUUAGGACUAUAUUUUUAAGACUGCAUUUUUAGAUAUCUUUUUAAAAUAGGUGAGGGUUAGUCUUAAACAACCUUUUUUUUUAUAGUCUUAGAUCAAAUUAGCAUAUUUUCAGAUUCUUUUUUUUAAAAUAGUUUUCUAAGACAAAAUGGGGUUUAAGUCAAAUUAAUCCCAAAAAUGAAUUAGAAAAUUGUUCCCUUUUAGAUAGCUUAAUUAGGGUUUUUAUUAAUUUCGAAUUUCAAUAAAAAAAAUAUACAAAAAUACUAGGUGCAUAUUAACUAGUUUGCAUAAUAGGAUUAUUAGAAUAUGUUCACUAGUAAAAUUAGGUCAUGAGGUGCAUGCUAACUAGUUUGCAUAAUAGGCCCAUUUAAUUAGGAUUUACAUAUUAAUAAGAUUAAGUCAUUUGGUUAAAAAUGCAUUUUAUAAAAGAAUUCUAAUUUUUUAAGAAAAUAAAAAAAAUCCUUUGCUUUGUGUGAUACAAUUUAUUUAUUGAAUGUUUAAUAAUGGUAGAGCAUCCUUAUGGUCACCAUAUUUGCAUGGAAGUAAUUUAGGUUAAAAUAAAUCCAAGUUGCUUGCAAAAACUAAACAAUAUAAAAAAAAUAAAUGGUACAGAAAGGGUAUUAGAAAACUCUAGUGUAACCAAGUCCCCGUACCCUUAGUCUCUAGUUCGUAGGAGUAAAAUAAAUCUUCAUUUAUUUUACUUAGGUGUUUAAUUGACCUACCGUGAACCAAUUAGUAGCGACUCCUAAUUAAUAAUCUUUUGCAUGUUUAAAACUUUAGACUUAGUCGCGAUAUGGUAUGGACUUGGGAGAGCCCAAGCUAAGUUUGAAAACUUAACAGUCCAUUAACCUAGUUUUAGGUGGUGAACCCAAAAAAACAGGUUGCGACAAACACAAACCCUCUCUUUUGGAAUACACCAUCAGUAUAUGUGAGGGAAUUGGGUUAAUAGUAUAUACCCAAUAUUUCUAUGAUUUUCAAAAUUUCCGACAAACGUGAUUAUAAGUAAUGUCUAGAGGUUUUGUCUAUAAUCAAUCAUAGUUUUCGUAUUUGAUUUUUUAUGUUUUACAUUUGGUAUUAAAGCAUGUUUAGAACAUCUGCCUUGUUUUUGUUGAAUUUUUGGUGUAUUUUCGGGCAUUUUUUGAAGAUGAACAAUAACUCAAAGUUACCACCCGUGAUGGCGGCGUAAUGGUUGAGCUUCAGUUCUUUUCGGGAGAGGUAUGGAAUUUGAAUCCCUGCGUCGUCUACCUUGUUGAAAAGGAACCCACGACUUGCCCAGGGCAGAAAGGGUGGUGGUGACUCUCUUGCUCCUCCAAGUUUACUCCACCACAAAGCUACGCAUGGAGGUUUCCUGAGUAUCAAAAAAAAAAAAAAAAACAAUAACUCGGAGUUUUGAGGCCAAGAGAGAAACUCGCUAAUUCCGAGCAAAAUUCGGUGACCCACCGCUCAAUUUCAAACCCAUACAGUCGCAUCGCCAUAAGAAACAUUAGCAAUGAGUUAUUUUGGCAUAUCGGUGUUCGCCCGAGGCUAAUCAGGCGGUGGAAAUCAAGGUGGUUGAGGUUUUGCGUUUUUGGAAAUUUUCUUUUGAUUCGGGCCAAUUUCUUGCUCAUUUUCGCCGAAACUUGGACCCAUGUGGUCAUGCCGGCAUGGUUUCCAAAGCCACUAAUUUAUUUCGAUCUUAGAUGGGCUACCGGAGAAGAAACAGUGGUGAAAUCGCAACGGAAAACAGUGAAAUCAUGGCGGAAAUCGGCUUUGCGUGCGGGCCACGUGUGCGCCUCAGAUGGCGGAUGCAGGCGUGUGCUUAGACGUGCCGCAGCGUGCCUUUUUACUCUUUUGUCCCUAUGCCAUUUUUAAAUUCCCAUUUUGCCCUUUUUGCAAUUUUGCAAUCUUGCCUUUGGCCAAUUUUAUUUACUGUUCUGCCCCUUGGUACAUUUAUUUACUAUUUUGUUAUUUUAUACAUUUUUAAGAAUAUUUUAUAUAUUAAAUUGAAUGUCCAAUGAUCCAUAUAGUUAAUUAAUUAGAAAGUGGCCACAACAUCUUUAAUUAAUUAAAUUAUAUAUUAAGAGUCUCCAGAUCAUAUUUAGAAAUGGACAUUAAUUGUAAUUAAUUAUAUUAAUAUGAUGAAUUUUAUCCCACGGGAAUUUUCAUUGUAUUAAUAUGAUUGAUUAGAAUGAAAUAUCAUAUUAUUUUUCUUAAUUUACCCACAGGGAUUAAGAAAAGAUAUAUAAUAUGGUAGUUUCUUCAUAAUGUAAUUAUGAAUCUAUUUAAAUUAAAAACUUAGCCCAUAUGUAGUUUUUAUGUUAUGUGAUUCAUAUUCAUGACGUGUAUACAUUGGUAAAACAUGAUUUAUGUAUAUUUUGCCUCAACUUUUGUGACAUAAGCAUGAUUAUGUGAUGUGCAGUUUUGCAACCUGUGAAGUUCUCUAAAUUUAAGUGUGAUGUUCGGUGAGAACUGUAAAGUCUGGAACAAGUUAGUUCUUCUUCAAUUGGGAUGGAUGGACAUUGACUAUAUUAUAAAGAAAGAUGAACCACCUGCUCCUACUAAUUCGAGCACUGCAGCUGAGAUAGCCCAUCAGUCAAACUACAUAUGUGCAAUGUUUAUAAGAGCUAAAAUAUAUUCUAGUAUUUGUGGUUUGGUUACUCAGCAUAGCAAUGCUAAGACUUUAUUGGAGGCCAUAAAUGCGCAAUUUGAAACUUCUGAGAAGGCACAUGUCAUGAUCCUAAUUAUGAAUUUUGCAUCAUUGAAGCUCACUAGUGUUAGAAGUGUGCAUGAGUACAUCAUGCAAAUGAGAGAUAUUGUGGCUCAGCUUAAGAACCUUGAAAUUGAGAUAUCUGAAUAAUUUCUUGUGUAUUAUAUUCUGGACACUCUCCCACAACAGUAUGCGUCUUUCAAUAUCUCUUACAACACACAUAAGAAUAAAUAGUUAAUUAAUAAACUCAUGAUCAUAUGUGUUCAAGAGGAGGAAAGACUGAUUAUGGAAUUAGAAGAAAGUGCUCAUUUGGCAAUACAAGAAAAGAAUAAUGGUCAUGACAAGUAUAAGGGAAAAUGUAAAAUAUCUCCCCAAACUAACAUUAAGAAAUAAUCCAAAUGUUUCUUCUAUAAAAAUAAUGGGCAUAUAAGGAAUGAUUGCAUCAGAUUUAAGGCAUGACUUGAGAAAAUACGUAAUACAAUCUCUUGUAUUUGUUAUGAAUCUAAUAUGGCUGAUGUAAGUCACAACACUUGGUGGAUUGAUUCUAGAUCUACAAUUCAUAUUUUGAAUUCCUUGCAAGGUUUUCAAAACCACAGGAAACUAGUGGGAAGUGAACAAAGCAUAUAUUUAUGAAAUAAGAUGUGUUUGCAUGUGGAAGCUAUUGGAACAUGUAGACUAAUCCUCAAUAGUGACUUUAUUUUGAAUUUGGAAAUGACUUUUUAUGUUCCUAGUUUCUCUAGAAACUUAAUUUCAGUUUCAAAACUUGUACCUUUGGGCUAUUAUUUUAACUUUUCAGAUUCAAACUUUUGUUUAUCGUUUAAUUUGAAAUUGUUGGGAGUGGUAUUUUGGUUGAUGGUCUUUUUUGAAUUAAUUUCCAAGAAAAUGCCUAUUAUAAUAAGAUGCAUGUUCAUGAUAACGCUAGUAUGAAACGAUGUGUUUGGUAUAAAACAAUGUGUUGUGAAAAAACGUUCCUCUAUGUUGUGGCAUCGGAGAUUGUAACAUAUCUCCAAAGAAAGAAUGAAACAAUUGGUAAAUGAUGAAAUACUUAGUACUUUAAAUUUUACUAAUUGUGAUACUUGUGUGGAUUGUAUAAAGGGAAGCAGACCAAUAAGACAAAAAAAUGUGCCAAGAAGAGUACAGAAAUAUUAGAAAUUAUAUAUACAGAUAUUUGUAAUACAGAUAUGGACUCGUGUGGUUAGAAAUGCUUCAUCUCUUUCAUAGAUGAUUACUCGCGUUACAUGUAUCUUUAUUUGAUUUUUAAUAAACAUGAAGCAUUAGAUGCCUUUAAGGUGUUUAAGGCGGAAGUAAAGAAACAAUGCGGCAAACAAAUUAAGAUCGUGAGAUUAGAUAGAGGUGGAGACUUCUACGGUAUAUACAUUGAAAAUGGACAAGCACCUGGUCCAUUUGCAAAGUUUCUUCAAGAGCCUUAGAUAGUUGCCAAAUAUACUAUGCCUAUUUCUCUAGACCAAAAUGGUGUAGUGGAAAGAAGAAACCAAACCUUAUUGGACUUGGUACAGAGUAUGCUUAGUGGCUUUAAACUUCAUAAAUCCUUGUGGACUGAAGCACUUAAGACGGCAAUGUAUAUAUUAAACCAAGUUCCAACUAAGGCUACAAGAAAAGAAGUUUGACCUAAGGAUCAUAAGUAGGUAUUUUAUUAGAUAUGCCAUAAGAUCCAAGGGAUAGAGAUUUUAUUGUCUAUCUCACACAACUAGGAUUGUGGAAUCAAGAAAUGCUGAAUUUCUUGAAAAUAACUUGAUUAGUGGGAGUGAUCGUUCGAAGGACUUGGUUCCUAAGAAAUAUUAUACAGACACUCAACCUUCCACCUCAAGUUUAAGGUUGGUUGUUGUUCAUAAUGCCCCCUCAAUUCAACCGACUAUUGAACAACUAAUCGUUGAAGUUCCACAACCUGCCGAUAUUGAUCUAGUAGAUCCAGUUGUUUAACAAUUAUCAGAAACUGUUGAACAACAUGCUCCUCAAGAGAAUGUUAAUGCAACAUUGAAAAGAUCUGCUAGAAUAAGGAAAUCGACAAUUCCUAAUGAUUAUAUUGUGUAUUUUUAAGAUUUUUACUACAAUAUUUGAGUUGAGAAUGAUCCUGAAACGUUGUCAUAAGCUAUGAAUAGUGAUAAAUCCAAUUUGUGAUACAAUGCCAUGAAAGAAAAGAUGAAUUCUAUGGCAUCCAACGAAGUUUGGGAUUUGGUUGAGUUGCCUAAUGGUGCGAAGGCCAUUAGUUGUAAAUGGGUCUUCAAAACUAAGAAAGAUUCAUUGGGUAACAUUGAAAGAUAUAAAGCUAGACUUAUUGCCAAAUGAUUCAUUCAAAAGAAAGGAAUCGAUUACACGGAGACUUUUUCUCUUGUAUAUAAAAAAAGAUUUUCUUCGUAUUGUUUUAGCAUUGGUUGCCCAUUUUGAUAUGGAAUUACAUCAGAUGGAUGUGAAAACAUCAUUCCUCAAUGAAGAACUAGAGGAUGAGGUUUACAUGAAACAACCUAAAGGAUUCUCCUCUAGUAAAUGUGAGCAUUUGGUGUGCAAGCAUAAAAAAUCUAUAUAUGUCUUGAAACAAGCAUCUCGCCAAUGGUUCUUAGGGUUCCAUAAUGUUAUCUCUUCAUUCGGUUUUGUAAAGAAUGUUAUGGAUCAAUGUAUAUACCAAAAGGUCAGUGGGAGCAAAAUUUAUUUCCUUGUGCUAUAUGUGGAUGCUAUUCUACUUUCAACUAAUGAUAAAGGGUUGUUAUAUGAAGUGAAACAAUUUCUAUCUAAGAGUUUUGAUAUGAAGGAUAUGGGUGAAGUAUCUCAUGUCAUUGGCAUUAAGAUCUAUAGAGAUAGACCUCAAAGAAUUUUAGGACUAUCUCAAGAAACCUAUAUCAAGAAGGUUCUAGAGAGAUUUUGGUUAAAAGAUUGUUUACAAAGUAUAGCACCUAUUGUGAAGGAUGACUGGUUCAAUUUGAACCAAUGCCCGAAGAACGAUCUAGAAAGGGAACAAAUGAAUAACAUUCCAUAUGCUUCUGUCGUCGGAAGCUUUAUAUAUGCUCAGGUUUGCACUCAUUCUGACAUCGUUGUUGCUGUGAGAAUGUUGGGAAGAUAUCAGAGUAAUCCAAGUAUGGACCACUGGAAAGCUGCAUUUCUUAGAGGAUCCUACCAAGCUAGAGAAGAAAAGGAGUUUAGAAAGCCAUAGAGAGGUUUUUCACAAAACACUCACUUUACUUCAGGGGACUCUGCCCAACAAAAUACACCCUCCUCGCCUUAUAUAGGCAAUAAGAGGUCACAAGCCAACAAGCAAAGACCAAGCUAAUGAGUCCAGAUACAAACAGAGACACCGAAAACUUCCGGGAGAGAAUUAUUCGCACACUAUGAACAGUGACUGUAGUAUGAACAGUACUUUCCCUAGCCUAGUGCUACAGUAAAAAUGAAUAGUAUUUUCCCUAGCCUAGUGCUACAGUGAAAUUGCACGGACUUCAACGAUCUCGUCCGUCAUGAGCAUUGUAGUCAUAAUUGGAGUCAUCCGAGCUAUGUACUGUUGCUAGGCAAUGUUCAUCAUACUUUUGUUCAAAUGCUUCAAGGUCUUCUAGUGAUAGGAUUUAGUUGAGCUAAUGAGAUGUGGAUGCUGCUUCGUAAGCCCAGUGGGAUGCUUCUUCUUCAGCCCAGUUUGUGUUGUCAUCCUUUGCUGUGUUGGCAAGAAUGCUUGGCUGAGACCAAUUAGAUGGUUGUGCAUAGAAAGAUGUAUCUAUGCUUUGAGACGAGCGUCCUUGUUCAUAGGGAUCCUAGGACAAAGGACCUCCAAAACAUGCAUAGGGGUCCUGGGUGGAUUGGACAGUAUCAUCUGCUCCUGUCAUUUCAUGAUCUUAAGAUAAUGCAGCUUGUCUGUUUUGCCUGAGUGCAUACUUAGCUUUUGGUGCUAAGUUAUAAUGAUUCCACAUAGUGGGUACAUUAUUCCAUACAAUUUCGGGAAUGGUCUUGUUUUCCUGGCACAAGAUUCUCUAAAGUUCUCGGUAUUGGUGUUCACAAGAUCUAACAAAUCAUGGAUAAGAUUUGUGAAUCCGAGCUUCUUUGCUAUCCAAAUGAGGUUUAUAGGAUGUGGUUUCUAUUUCCUGUGGGGCAUUAAUUAUUUCUGAAAAAAAAUGCCAUGGACGUCUAAAAAACAGGAUGGUAUGGACUUCAGGAUUUGGUGUCAUGGUUCUUAGUUCUUUCUUCAAGAGAUGUUUCCAGUGAGUAGGAGGAUCGAACCAGUUGAGAAAGUCCAAAAGAUUUUGAUCACUUUCUCUCUCAAUAUUUUUCCUAAGUAAGAAAAUCCUGGUGAGGUUGGCAACGAAUUGGAAUUUCAAUAGUUAUCAAGUACUUAUUGGUUAAGUACCAUAAUAACGUUUUGAGUUGAUCAGGGAAAUCAUCUUCCUUCCAGAUAAGAGGAUGUAUGAAUAGAUAAUCCGAAUUUAACCCAAAAGGAUAAAGAAUCGAACCUCCAUUAAAUCUGAACAUAUCUGUGUGACAUUGCCACAUAAGGUUCUCCAGGUUCUCAACGAGAGUGUCAUUCUGGAUUUGUUGAAUAAUCUCCUGGGGAUAUUUCCAACUUGGCAAAUCUUUGAUCUUCUCAAUCUUAUAUUUCAUGCCAUGAUUGAGCAUAUGAAAAGUAGGCCUCUUGAUGUACAUGUUGAUUUCAGCUGGUGCUCUUGACCUAGACAGGAAGUCAGCAAGCACAUUCUUUUUUCUAGGAAUAUGUUUGGUUUCAAAAGAGUAUUUUGAAAACCAUUCAACCCAUCAAAGUAGUUGAGAAUUUGGAAUAUGUUUUUGUUUAAACUUGGUCAUCUGAGAAAAAGAUGCCAUGUUUAAUUCUACUAGGAAGUGAUGGCUGAUGAAAUGGAAUUCAAAUUUCUUGAUUCCAUUUUUUACUGCUAAGAUUUCUUUGAAAGUGGAAUGGUAAUGCAUUUCAGCUUGAGAAAAAUUUCCACUUUUGUGAGCACAAAGGUGUCUCUUACCAUCAAUUUCUUCAAACAAGAUAGCUGCCCAGUAUUCAUCACUGGCAUCAGUUUGAAGAAUUCUCUUCCCUGUUGAUGGUAUCUACAAUGGUGGGAGGUUCUGCAUUAUCUCCUUAAGUUCAACGACUACUUUAGUCUGAAUUUUUCCCCAAGGUGGGGGGUUCUUCUUUAGCAUAGAUUGUAAAUGAAUCAGGAGCUUUGCAAUAUUUGGGACAAAAUCUCUAAGAUAAUUGAUGAUCCCAAGAAAUUGCUGAACUUGUUUUGUGGUGAAAUUAUCUUCAAGAAACUUCAAUAAUUCUUGAGCAAUAUGUGGCCCGGGGUAGUACGUAUCUUUGUUGAUGUGCAUACCAAGAAAUUCAAUCUCUGUUUGGGCAAUGUUCAUUUUUCUUUGAGAAAGCAUGAUGCCAUGCUUCUUUACGAUUUCUGCAAACUGAUCAAGGAGUUGACAGUGUGACUGCUCAUCAAAACUGUAGAGCAGGAUGUCAUUGAUAUAUACUGUAGUACUUGAGAGAAUUGGUUGGAAGAUACGACACAUGGCUUUUUGGAAAAGGGAUGGUGCUACCUUUAGGCCAAAAGGAAAAAAAUUUCCACUGGAAGUGCUGGUUCGGAAUACAGAAUCCUGUUUUGGAUAUGUCUUCAGAAUGGAUGCCCAAUUGCCAAAAUCCGGCUUUGAGGUCCAACUUAGAAUAGAUAUGGGCCUUGGUUAGGCUAGUAAAGAGGGAAUCUCUAGAGGGUAAAGGGAAUUUAUCAUCUUGGAGAAAGAGGUUGAGAGGUUGAUAGUUGAUUACCAGUCUCAUUUUUCCUCUGUUUUGCUCAGCACACUUAUUGACAUAGAAGGCUUCGCAAGCCCAUUGAGAAUUGGAGACUUCAAUAAAGCCUUGUUGCAAUAGUUCUGAGCAUUCCCUUUGAGCUAAAGCCAAGUGUCCUAGCUUCAUUCUCAUAUGACUUGCCUUGGUUGGAUUUAUAUCUUCAUUCUUCUUGAAAGGAAGGCGAACAAAGAAUUCUGGAUUUUCUCACAAAGGAUGGGAACACUUUUGAGCGAAUUCCAAAUGGGAUUCCGAACAAGAUUCUAACAAUUUUUGCAUGAUUGGAUCUAAUAGACUCACCUGAAUGGAAAAAAGUCUUUGAAUAUUGACAAACUCAAAGAAUUGGUCUUUAUAUCUAAGAACUUUUCCUAGGAUGAUAUGAAGUUGGGAGAUUUGAGUCAUGAUAUCCCAACCAAUGAUUAAGUCUUUGUUGGGAAGACUAGAUCCAAAGAUUUUUGUGGUUAUAGAACACUGAGGGCAAUAUCGGACAUUUGUGGAGAAAGCGUCUCUUGAGGCAGAGUUGAAAUAUUGGACAUAAGGAGUCCAAUAUUCUUCAGGAAGUACUUUGGUAUCCAAAAUCGAACAGCUUGCCCCGGUAUCAAUGAGGGCAAUAAUAGUGAUAGGUUUAGCAAACUUUGAGGUGAGAAUUUUUAUAGUGAAAUGAGGACAGUGAGUUUGACUUGAGACUAUGUCAAGGCUUGGUUCUGCAUAUGUAGGUGAUAUGUGAAAAAUAUUUUCAGAUUCUGAAUCUGACUCAAUUUCACUGAAAGUGUGAUAACAUGGAAUGACACAAAGAGUUUGUUCAGAUGAUUCUUCAUCAGCAGAGAACAAUGAUUCGAUAUCAUCAUUUUCAAGAUAAAUUCAUGUUUCAUUCUCAAUUUGAUGUAUUGAAUGAUGCUGACAUUUUCUGGCUUGGGGACAGUUUUUGGCAAAAUGUCAUUUCUGAUUGCAGAUGUAGUAUCGAUUUGACUUUUUAUGGCAUGUGCAAUCCUUCCUUUUGCGUAGGUAGCACCAUUUCUUCUUUCUUCGGAAGUGCUUGUGGCCAUGUUUGGAUGAUCUCUUCAUCCAAUACUUCUUGAAGUGCUUCUUUUUUCGGGAAGCUUUUCCACAAGUACCAUCACAGUAUUUUUUGGAACAUUUGAUUUUUAGCUUCUGGUGGGAGCAGGCUGUUUCGAGUUCUCUAUCGUUUGUGAUGUAGGUGCAGACCAUUUGGCACUUUAGGCACAAUUCUUCAAGGCAUAGAUAGAUUUCUUUGUUGUAUUUCUCCUAAAAGAAUAUCAUGUACUCUCCUUUGUCUUCCAAAAAAUGAUCUUUCAACCAUCUGGGAUAAUUCUUUAGGGAUGGAAGUAAGGAAAACAUGCUUUAGAUUUGGAUCAGCUCCAAUCUGAUAAAAAAACUGAAGCAUUUCCGAUAAUGCUUAUCAAGAUGUUUCUUCUGGAGGAAGCAACAUUUUCUUUCAAAAAAUUAUCUUAUUUUCAUUUCUAUGAGGUCAAUGAGUUUUCCCAUAAAGAAAUGAUAUAAGAGAGUAAUGGCAUGGCUAAAAUCUGGUGACAUUAGAAAAUGAAUCUGGUCUUGUUCUGAUACUAAUUUCCACCAAAGUUUGAGGCUUCUUGUGAACCUUGUGACAAAGUUGUAAAGGACAUCAUUCAUAUCAUGGUUGGUGAUGGACUGAGUGUUCAGCCAAAUAUAAAUUCUUCAAGUCUUUCUGGCCAUUUAUGAUAGGGGAUAUCAUCGAUGGUGAAAAACUGCUUUGAUGACAUGGACACAUGGUGUCCCGGAUUAUUCUGAACAAUCUCUGGGUCAGAGUAAUUUGAUUCCAUUUUUUGAUCUGGAGGAUCAGCCAUGAAUAUAGAUGAAGUCACUGGUGCAAUAGGAAGGGAAUCAUCAAGGAUUGAAAAAAAUGAAGAUGAUGAAAAUGAUGUUGAAUCUGAUUCAAUUUCAGAAGUGGUAGGAACAGUUUGUUCAGUUGGAAAUAGAGUUUGAUCAUUUGGAAGGGCAGGAUCUGGCUGUUGGAUAACAGGAACAGGUUGCUCCUGAGUACCCAAAUCCUUUAGAAAAUGGAUUGGAUAACAUCAUAUGAUCUGGCCUUUCUUUUAUGAUGAUCGAACUUGAUUGUGUGGGCAUUUUCUCCUUUCCUUUGUCCUUCUGUAGAUUCUUAAGACGAUUCUGUACCUCUGCCAUAUCUGGUUCUUUUCUAAAAUAAUAUUCCGGAAUGGCAGCAAAGAUGGACGUCUGGGGUGGCAGAGGCAAAUACCCAUACAGGAGUUGCAAAUGGAUCAAAAGAUCUGAACCUUCCUUCUUCAAGGAGUUAGAAUUGUCCUUUGAGUUUUUCUAUUUCCGGUUUUGGGCUCUCCAGAUGAUGAUACCCUAGACGUUGUCCUGAUUCCAAGGCAUUUAGCCUCUUCUGGAACUCAGAAACCAUUUUCUUGGUGGUCUCAUCAUACUUUCGAAGAUCUUGUUGCACAUUUCCAAUCUUGGAAUCAAUUGCUUUGAAAGCAUUGUUUUGUGCUAACAGAGUCUCCGAUUGCCAAUUUAGAACGGCUUCAGCAGCAGGAGUCUUUCUCUAUCUCCCAUGCUCAUCCACAUCAGUAGGCAUAGCUAUCUUAGGAACAUGGCGAAUCUGCCUUGUGGAUCAAUGAAUUCCUCUGAAGCAGGAAACGAGAGUUUAAAACUUUCUCUAACAAGAGGGGGAAAGUCAAUGUAAUGAAACAUGGCAAUGGAGGAUAUGGGUGGUUUUUCUGCUGGAGCUUCAAGUGGGUAGGAGUGCUUCUUGGCCCACUUUAAGAUUGGCUUAUAGAAUGGGGAGAGAGCUUGUUUUUUCUGAGAAGGUGAUGAUGGAGGUGAUUUCGGUGGAUCUGGUGAAACUUGGGGUGUAGUACUAAAAUCUAGUGGUGGAGGUGGUGCAUAAGAAACCAUGAACUGGUAUUUAUCACACUCACCAAGAGUAUCAACGGAGGGAUCUCUGUUUAAGUACCUUUGGUACACCUUAUCUUUUGGCCUUUUCCAUUAAGGUGGAGGUUUGGCAAAAGGAUCUACCUCAUCUGGGGAAUUUGUACAAUAGGAACAUUGGCAGAAAUGAUCCCAAAAACAAUUACCAUAAUUGUCUUUGUAUCCUGUCCAUCACUGUUAAAGUGUCGAACAAGCUUUUUUGGAUCUGGCUCGGAAAUUGAUUCUGGAACGCAUGGUUCAAUCAUGAAUAAGGUCUGGAAGAUAGAAGGACUUUCUUCCUUUUCCUUGCUAAAUUUGAUGGAAACAGUUCCAUCUUUUUUUCGGACGAACUCAGAGUUCGUAGACUGGAAAGGCUUGUUAUGCUGGUGUAGCUUUUCAUAAUUGGUGAUUCAAGUCUCUGGCAGGAGCUUGGCCAACGUAUCCUUCGGGAUCUGCCUAAGAACAUGGAUGUAUGAUGCCUGAUCGUUCUGCAUGGAGAUAAACAAAGCAUCUUCGUUACCAUUGUUGAAGUUUAGAUCAAGAGCAUGGUUCUGUAUGUGAUAAACCAUCUAGUAAUGUAGAGUUGUAGCCAUAGAGUCAGCAGUUUAGGGAGCUCCAGUGAGCUGGACUUGGACUUUUAAGAAAGAGAGUAGCUGAGGGUCUAAAAGAGCAAUGUUAAAGUUUGGAUACAAAGGCACAAAGAUUGUUCCGGCAUUUAGAGUAGUUUGUACAAUACCAAUGCAAGCAUGCUGGUAUUGUAAAAACCUGGUAUUUAACAAUGCAAUUCUUGCCACAAUGGGCAAACCUUUACGACCAUGAAAGGUGAGAGCAAGAUGAACAGCGCCAUAGUGAACAUGAGUAUAUUCCUGUUGAGCCCAUUGUCUGGGGAAUUCUGGAAGGAUCUAGAGAGUAACAAAAUACUCCUUUUCAGUAGCAGGAACGAGGUGUUGGUCGAAUUUGGAGGAUUGGACGUACUCCUUUACUUGCUUUGGGGUUUGGUGAAUAAGCUGGCGAAUGGAGCGGAUAGGUGAAAAUAACGAGUUGGGUUUGGCAAAAGCAGAGUAAGGAUUCAUGAGAGGAAGUUGAGUUUCAAAAAUCAUGGUUUCAUCACUAAGAGAGACUUCGUAAAGAUAAUGUAUCUUAGAGGCAUUGAAAACACGAAAUUUUGAGGGUGUUGAAGAUGAUGGAGAGGGAGCAAGAGAAACUGAUGCUUCGAAGAUUUCUGGUUCUGUAGACAUGAUGUGAACAUAUCUUCUAAGCACUGGAUUCACCUACUAAGCGCAUGGAACAGAUAACAUUACAAACGAAACCGUGGCUCUGAUACCAUGAAUGGACUUAGACUUAAAACUAGGGAAUGAGAGUAAAUUUCCUGCAGGUAUGCAUCCCACAGUGGGCGAACAACUCCCAUUCAAGCAUUUCAAGGACAGCCUUUUAGUAGAAAACCACUCAGCCAUUUAGUUCAGCCUAGAGAUACUCAGAGAUACCAGGACGGAAACAUUUCUAAUCUACCCGAGCUGCAUUUCUUAGAGGAUCCUACCAGGCUGGAGAUACCUUCAAGGUACCAAAGAUUACAUACUUAUGUAUAGACGGACUGACAACCUGAAAGUAAUUAGUUAUUCGGAUACGGAUUUCGCGGGCUGCGUUGAUUCACGAAAAUCAACAUCUUGAUACAUUUUUACAUUAGCUGGUAGAACCGUGUUAUGGAGAAGUGCCAAGCAGACUCUGACUGCUACUUCCACUAUGGAGGCUAAGUUCGUUUCUUGUAUUGAGGCUAUCUUGAUGGUGUAUGGUUGAGCUUAGAAUUGUUGAUUUUAUCUCUAGGCCAUCAAGAAGAUAUUGUGACAAUUCAACUGCAGUUUUCAUGGCUAAAAAUGCCAAAAGUGGUAGUCGAAAUAAGCAUAUUGACAUCAAAUAUUUAGCCAUAAGGGAACUUGUUAAGGAGAAUAAAGUAGUCAUAGAACACAUUAGCACUGAAUUGACGAUAGCCGAUCAUUUAACUAAAGGCAUGUUAUCGAUGAAGUAUAAGGAUCAUGUAACUAGUAUGUGAAUAGCUCCCAUCAUGUGAUUUGUCGUCAUAUGGACAAUUUUUGUUGUAUGAAACUCUUCUUCUGUUGUAAUGUUGAUUCUUAAUUUUUGUGUACACAUUUUGCUAUUUAUGAGAAUAACAUUUAUCCUUAGUUUUGGAAUAAACAUGGGGUUUCAUUAAAAUAUGUUGUCACGUAUAGGCUAACAUUAAAGAAAUAAGAUGCAUUGUGAUACAUAGAAAAUAUUACUCAUUUUUAGAGGACAUGUCGCUAUCAUCCAUGUGUUUUGUUUCUUUUCAUUAAGCAUAAAUUUUUUCGUGGAAUUGGUUGGAUAAUCCGUAUGAUGAAAAUAAUGUAAUCAAGUGGGAGAAUGUUUUUUAUUUUUGUGAUCCCACAUUUUCGGACCCACAUUUUCUCUUUAAAGUGGUGUUUAUUUGAUAAGUAGUUUUUUUACAUUUCGUACAUUUUCGUGACAACUGCCCAUUUGAUAACCGCCUUGAUGGGAGAUGGUAUAUAAAAGGAACAAUCAUUCAUUUCUAACGAGGCAAUCAUAAGGUCUAACACAAACCCUAUCUUUUUUAAUACACCAUCAAUAUAUGUAAGGAAACUGGAUUAGUAGUGUGUACUAAAUAUUUCUUUGAUUUUCAGGAUUUUUCGACGAACAUGAAUAUGAACAAUGGCCAGAGGUUUAUCUAUAAUCAAUCCUGGUUUCGCAUUUGAUUUUUCAUGUCUUAAGCAUAUUGACGAGAUUUUGCCAGCCAAAAUUUUGAGGAGAAAAUCAACAGGCGCACAAGUUUCCUUUUAAACGUGCCCUUACAUCCUUCCGCGCAUUCUGUACUUGCACCGAGUUCUCAGCCGGACAUUCACUGACAUUCAGCUUUUCCAAAGACGUCAAUUUUUCUAGGCCUUCAAUUUGAUGGAUCAUUUCGCAUCGUCUGAUCUCUAAAACUUUCAGCGACUUCAAGUUUGAAAGAUCAGGUGAACUAUCGAGGUAAUCACAGUAGGAAAGAAUCAAACUACUCAGUGAGGUUAACUGGCCAAUCCCAUUCACAUUUCGUAUUUUGCAGUUAGAUAUAUGCAGCCUCUUAAGCGCUUUAAGCCCUUCAAGCUCUUCAAUCUCUUCUAUUGCAGAGGGUGGUCGGCGUGCUUUCGGGUCCCCAUCACUUAGGCACAGCUCCUCCAAUUCCUUUAAAUUUCCAAGAUGGCGUAUCGCUUUCAUCCUUUUAGAACUCACGCGCAGACAUAUUAGAGAAGGGGCAAGCUUCGGCAAUUUUUCAAUUUCAUUGCACUGAAUUAAAUCCAGGGUGUGAAGACCAGAGAUGGUGGAGACUUCAGGGGGUAGGCUAGAUAUACUGGAAUGCCCCAGCGUCAGUGAUCUAAGACGAUGUAGCGCCUCAAUAUCACCGGGAAUGGCCCCCUUCAAACUCGGGCACCACGAAGCGUGUAGUUCUUCGAGCUUGGUUAGAUUCCCAAUCUCCCCAGGAAUCGCUCGAAUGAAAGAAGAGUCCAUUCUCAGCACUCUCAAGCUUUUCAGCUUUCUUAUUGAAUCGGGGAGUUCAGGGAUACUAGUCGCCGAUAUAUCCAACUCCUCUAAUGACCUCAUUUCACCGAUAGAAUAUGGAAGUUUCCCCAAAUAACGGCAAUCCCUCAAUGACAAGCGUCUUAGCUUGAGCAGCUCCCCCAGUGAGCUCGGGAGCUUAGAAAUUUUGGCACCAUCUAAUGAGAGUUCGGAGAGAGCAGCCAGAUAACAAAUCGAACUGGGCAGGUGAGUCAAUGGGAAGCACUUCAAGCCACUGAGAAUUUCGAGUUGCUUCAAAUUGCCUAUGGAGAUGGGGAUCUGCCGUACAGAAGUCCCGUCAAGAAAAAGCUCUUUCAGAGCUGUCGUACAACCUAGUUCCACUGGCAACCCGUUCAAUUGGGAGCAGAACUUCAAAUUCAGGGAAACUAAACGUUUCAAAUUGCCAAUUGAAGGAUCUAGCUUCACCAAAUGAGAACAUCGUUCAAGAAUCAGGAUUUCCAAAUAUUCGUAACCAGAGAAGUCGGGAGUGAACAGUAAUACAGAGCACCCAGUAAGAUUCAAGACUUUCAAUUUAUUCAUCUGCAAAGCCAAAACGUAAAACACGCACAUGGUCAAUUCGCAAAUAUUUAAUUCGAGAAAACAAACAUAAAACAACCAAAUGAAUACCAAACCACCUUGAUUUCACUCCAACCUCCCCAUUCUUCCGUGACUUUGCUCCAGGACAGAUCAAGAAUGACCAACUCUGUUAACAAAAAAUUUUUGGCACUAAAAUCCAGAGGACACCUUUGCCAACACAGCCACCUUAAACUAGCUAAUGCACCUUCAAAGUUUCCGGAAACUUUGGCAUUAUCCAGCCUGAGAAACCUUAGUUCUGGCAUCAUCUGAAAAUCUCCAGCUGUGUAGUCAAGGCAGAGAGCUUCAACGUUUUCCAUUUCCUAAAAUUGACAAAGUAACAUAAUCAUCAGAAGCUGUAAGCCCCAAUACCCAUCCGAAAAGAGGAUACUUUCCUUGCCCUAUGUGCUAAACUGUACAUAUAUGAUAUGAUUCCUUGACAAAAAAUGGAAAAAAAAAAUGUAGCCUGUAUGUCGAGGCGUUUGUUUUGCCGAUAACAAACUGAACCGAAAGUUCUUACCUUCUCCUCUACGUAAAAUUUUCUCCCAAUUGGAUCUCCAGAUCCCUCUUGCUCAAACAUUUUUUUGCCAAGGCGUCUCAGUAAUCUGUGCAUCUGCAAUUCAUUGUUUUCUCCAAUUUUUGCCAGGGGCACCAGAAUGCAACCAGAGGAUGGAUAACAAUUGGGCCACAUAUAUGAAGCAAUUCGGGCAUCCACACCAGAGAUGAAACAUGCUAUGUCCAGAAAUAUAUCUUUUUGCCGAUGAUCCAGUUCUCCGUAACAUAUAUCCAAUAGCUCUUGAAGGCCAACCAUAGUCUUUUGAGAACUCAUCGGACGUGCUUUCAUUGCCUUCUCCAUCUUUUCCCAUUCUUGUAUUGAUUUACCCCGCAAAAAUGAACCGAUGACUUCAACUGCUAAUGGUAGUUUCUUUGUAGCAUUGACAAUGCGGUUUGAGAGUCCAUCAUAAUCAGGCAUGGAAGAUUGCAUCCUGAAAACAUGCUUGCAGAAAAGUUCAAAAGCUUGACCAUCAUCCAACUCACUAACCUUAUAGGUGGCAGCCUUGUCGGAAUCAUACCCUCCGAGAAUUUCCUCAUUUUGAGAAGUCACAAUUACUCGACUACCUGGACCAAACCAAUGAAGCUGGUCUCCUACAAUAGCAUGAAGAUCGGAUGGCUUUUCCACGGCAUCGACAACUAUUAGAACUUUCAUUUCACAAAAUAUAUCCACGAAAUCUUUUAUUGUUUCAUCAAAAGAAAGAUCUACGUGAUCUCGUUCAAGGAUAUCACAUAUAAACUUAUUUUGCAAAAACUGAAUACCACAAGAAUUUUGGGUGGUUUCUUCGACCUCUGCGAGAAAGCUACAACUGUCGAAACAAGAAGAGAUCUGGUCGUAUACAGCCUUGGCAAGAGUCGUCUUGCCAAUUCCAUCAAUUCCAUAGAUUCCAAUAAUGCACACCUCAUCAUUGACUUCCAUUUCCAGUAAGUCGAUGAUUUGUUUUGCACGAUCAUCAAUUCCAACUACAUUCUGAACAGCUGCAAUUGCACAAUAAUUUCUAUCGGAAGUUUCCCCGUCUGCCGGUUGCUCUCUACCGUCAUCUUCCAUUUUCUUCAUCCUCUGCAAGAGAAACAGAAUUUUCACCUAAGUAUAAUCGUAGACGGUGAAAAGAACAAACAUCACCCGAUCAGUGUCUCUCUUAUAACAUUCCUUUAGUUCCACGCAUAGAUACAAGAUAUUCAUUUGUCAUCAAAUUAUUCUUUUUGAUACAAAAAUACGCAGACACUUAUUCUAUCAAUCUCUCAUCCAUAAUUCAAUAUCUACACACACAAUAUAAAUAAGGAAACUUAGGUAGUAUUGUAAUCAAAUUAGGUCUCCAUUUGUUUCGUGAAAAAUGAACGAUUUGGAUAGAAAUGAUUACUCGUAUUGCUUGAAAUAAUUAGUUAAUUAAAAAUAUUUUCAUUAUCGACAACAAUUUAUGCCUAAAUAAUUGGGUGUAUGAUGAAAAUAUUUUUUAUUUAUUCAUUCUUGUAAGCGAUACAAGUAGUCAAUUUUAGAAAAAAAAAAUUCAAAUCUUUUAUUUUUCAUGAAACAAACAGAGCCUAAAUGACACUAGAUCUUGGAAGUUGGGUGCUUAAUUUACUGACCAGAUAUUUCAACAUUCAAGAAAUCAUGAUAUGCACAUCACAACAAUGUUCACGGUAAUUAAUUAUUUCUGUUCUAAUCUCUGAAGUGUAAACAAGCUCCCAACAGCAAAUGAGCAUUAUGCAAAUAGGACCAACGUCUUAAAAUUCAGAUGGUAGACUAGACUCCGACUAUGCAAUGAUCGAUAUUCAGUUUACCUCCAAAUACAUACAAAUUUUCUUCGGUUCCUUCUGCAUCAUCUUUCCCCACAUUUUCUUGUGUUGUUGUUUCUUAGUCGAAUGAUCUACAUCCAAUUUUCGGAGAUAGUGGGUCUUGGACUAAUGGAAAGCAAUGCCUAAAUAUUCUCACCGAAAUCCAAAUACAAGUAUGUUCCGAUACCACACUCUCGUUUACAGGUACUGAGCUUUUCUUGAUUGGUUCCUUCCUGUCACUUGGUUACUUUACUUAUAAUUAUAUCCUUAAAUUGAAUGUCAAUUAUCAAUUUAAAAUAUUGUCUAUUCGGUGUGGAUUUUUGCAAAUUUCUUGUUCAGUUCAUGUGUUUCCUGUUUACAUUGGCACUUACAUGAUUUUCCUGAGGCAAGCACAAAUUGACAAAGAUCGACAAUCGACAAAGAAUUGAAAAUGAUUGCUAUGUGGGCGAGUGAUUGGCAUCCAUAUUUGAAGGGAUAAAAGAAGACUAGGGGAAUGAGGUAAAACAUGCUGCUAUGGUAAAAAAAAGUUGGAAUCUUUUCGGAGAAAGGUAAAAUUAUUUUUCGUGAUCUUCAUUUUGGUCCAAUUCUUCCUCAUUUAAGCCCCAGAUCAAUUUUUUUUUUUUUUCAAAUUCAACCCUUCGAUGACUUUUUGAUGCAAAACCUGCUGGAAAAUGAACAACGCCCUACUCUACAUGGCACCUGCAUGUCAGCACACGUUUAUUUAUCAAGCGCAUCUACAUAAAAGUCAUUAAGAGGACGAAAUCAAAGGGAAAAAGGCAAUACUUGUUCAGAGAUUAAGAUGAAAGUAAGGUACAUGGACCAAAAUAAAGAGUCGCAAAUAAUAUGAGGACCAAAAAAUAUUUUUCCGUUUUCCUGACUAAAUACUAAAUAUAACAAUCUUACAGACCAGACAUAGUAUACGUAGAAUUACUUUUGAAAUCAUUUUUUCAUUAUUUACGGUCUUGACCGAGAAUAAUUCAAACGCAUACUACUCAAAACCAAAAUGGAAACAACUAAUAAAUCAUUUGUUCCUCUUUCUAGCUAAAAGCAAAAUCCACUCCAAAUAUUCCCCAUGUAAAAGCAAAAGGCUGUCGAAAAAUGGGAAACGAACACGCACCUCCUCCAAGAAGAGCAAAAAAAAAAAAAGGGAAGAGUCUUGCUAUUCUAAUUCCAUAUCCAGUUCCGUUUCUUUUUCUAAAUUUUACGUUAUUAUAUUAGUGAACUUUAAUUCUUCAUCAUAUUUUCACUUUAAUUACAUUAAUCUAUUCUUUUUGGAUAGUUUUGUCAUACUUCAUGUACUACUAUCUUUUAAUGAUAAUUAUUUAUUUCAAUUAUAUAUAAUUUCAAUAGGAACUAAAAAAGAGUUCUAUCUUCUACUUUUCGAAUGAAAAGUCUAUAACCAUAGGAUACAUUGUUUCAAAUCAGUUUACGAAAAUUUGUAUGCUGUUCUAUUCUUUCUUAAUUUAAAGUAAUAUGCUUCUAUAUUAGCUAGUGUCUCUUUUCAUAAGUUGCACUUUUUAGCGAAAUAAUGUUUUCCCACAUAUAAAAGUUACAUCCUGAUAUUUUUAUGAAUAUUUAUUCCAGCAAUAUGUGGCUUAAUUUACUUUGUAAUAGUCAUGUAUUACGAAAAUACGUUAUUCUCCUGUGGUGACAAUAUGCUGUAAUACUAAAAUCACAUAAUCGACUAGUCAAGCCCAUUGGCAGCAAAAAAUAAAAUAAAAUUAGUCAAGCCCACUACAUAUGCAUGUAUCCGCAGAAGAGCAAAUAAACGGGUAAAGCAAUUAUUUGUUUGUUUUUUUUUUUUUUGGUAAAAGGUAAAGCAAUUAUUUGUUAACCGCUAUACAUGCUGGAAAACUAAUUAAUGCAACAUAAUCAAAGUUUUUUUUCGGUGGGGCGAAGAUGGGGUUAUCUACUGCUGUUAAAAGUUUACGGGUUAUUUGCGCAACAGCGACAAAGUUCAAGAGGGCACUUUAUACUAACCCUAGAAAUUAUAACAUCAAAAGAAACACAUUACAUUAUAUCCAACACUCAAUAAUAUAACAACGAAAUAAAUUUAAAAAUUGCAAAGAUGAAACUUUUGUUUGUAAAUGUAUUUCAUUUCUACAAAACAAGUUUUCAAAUUAAAAGGAACACGUCAAAGGAACGUUAGUUUAUUUGAAAUUAUUUAAACAUCAUCUCUAAUAAAAUUUUGUCAUUGGAUUAAAAGAUAUUUUUUUCAUCCAUGUAAAUUUCAGAGCAAUAUUUAACUUUUUACAAUGUGUAAUUUUUCUGAAUUAUAGCAUCAAAUUGAAAUUAGAACAAAUAAAUUUUCAAACCCGUACAUUCACGUACGGCUACUGUAUAUUAAUGAAGAUGUCACACCUUGCUUGGUUUAUCCAGAAGAGUCUCCUCUUUGUAACGCUUCAAGGAUGUUGCACCUCGUUUGAUGAAGUCCCCACACCCCGAUAUUUCGACGAGGCAAUCAUCCGGUAUAUUUGUGCAAAAUGCAUCGAUCACUUUUGUCAAAGACAUGCACUCUUUGACAUCCAAGGAUUUCAGAGACUCUAGCUCACGAAGGCCCUCAACAUUAAUAAGUACAUUGCACUGUUGGAUUACCAAUUCCUCCAGGUUCUUCAAGUUUGAUAAGCCACCUAUUCUUAUAAGAGAUUCACACCCAGAAACCCUCAAGGAUUUCAAUGAUGUGGAAAGACCCAAAACCUGUAUCUCAACUAGCUUUGGACAAAGUGACACCCACGCCUGGCGUAAUUUCCUUAAUUCCAAAGGAAUGUAUAAUCUCUCAAGUUGUUUACAACCAUCAAUAUUUAAUUUCUUUAAUCGUGGAAGUUUUUCUAGUGGAAUGGCUUCCACUUCACACCGAUAGAACUCUAAAGUCGACAAAUUUUCCAAACUCCAAUGGGAGGACGGAAGCUGCACAAGGGUUUCUAGGUCUAGGUAACACAAAGUAAGCUCUUCUAGAUGAAAAAGAGAAGCCAACUCUUGAGGUGCAAGUACAUUUAGCAGAUUUAACUCUAACUUUUUCAGUCUAGAUAACCUCCCAAUCCACCUUAAGUCACAUGAUGGUAAUAGGUUUGACUUGCCUGUAUUACGAGAAUCAUCACUUAGUAGCAGUUCAACCAAAUUAGUAAGGUUUGAUAGAUUGGGGACUGAGAGCAAUGAUUUAGAUUGAAGAAAUAGAAAGGUCAAACUUGUGGGAAGCUCCGGCAACACUUGAAUCCCAUGACAAUCUCUUAAAUUCAGGAUUGCUAAAGAUGACAAUUCUCUAAUUCCAACUGAAAUUUCUCCUUUCAUUUCAACACACCUAGAGAGAUCCAACUCCUCAAGAUUUUUCAACAUGUCGAUGCCACUAGGUAAUUGCCAAACAUGCUCCAAAGGAGACAAUCCACUUAUUGAUAAACACAAUACACGUAAAGAUUUUAACUUUUCAAUGGAGGCGGGAAGUUCCGUUAGCCUCGUAUCUCUCAAAAGAAAAGACUCAAGUUUCACUAGAUCUUGGAUGGAGUUAGGAAGUUUGAUAAUACCCGUAUAUGAUAAGUUUAGUUCUAUCAAUGUGGUUAUAUUCCCAAUUGAGCUUGGAAGUUCUCUCAACCUAGAACAUCCCAACAAUGAGAAGCGCUCAAGCUUCCCUAGUGCCCCCACUUCUUCAGGCAAAACUGUAAGACCCUUGCACUCUUCAAUCUCUAACUCAAUCAAUGACGGUAGAUAUCCAAUGAAGCUUUCAAUUUCCUUUAGCCUACUACAACUUGCAAGAGUCAACCUCUCUAAACCCAAGCCUUUAGAGAAAUCUGGGGUUGUUGUUAUACCAUGACAUUCAACAAGUGAUAGGACUUUCAAAUUGUGCGCCCUCUGUAAAAAUGGAUGGCAUAUUAAGAGUAAGAUCCAUUCAUAGUAUAUAUUGGGACUAUUAGACUAGAGGUAAUAUAUAUAGUUUACCUUGAUCAAGUCCCAUGCUUUUGAAUCAUCAGUGAAGCCGUUCUUGUCAAGCUUAAAAACAAGAAGAUAAUCCAAAUGCAUAUUGUUUGCCUUAAAACCCUGAUGAGGAGAACACCAAGAAAUCCAUCUCAACUUCGAACGACAUUUGGCAAAAUCCCCAGUGCAAGUUCCAUUGCCUAACUUGAGGAGUCUUAGAUUCUGGAGCCUUUCAAACUCUUCAUUUCUAAUCUCUACGAAGUCAUCUAGUCCAUCUAUAUCAAGUGCUUCAACCUUGUCCUUCCUCUGCAAGUGAAAUUUUGCAACGAUGUCAAGAAGUUAGUCAACUUCCAACUGCUAUGUUUUGCAACUUAUGGGUAGGAAAAAAAUGAUAAAGAUCCUUAAAAAAAUUAAAAGUUCCUUAAUCCCAAGAUAAACAACUUCUAUUUCAAAAUGAGAUGCUGCUUACCUCCAGAGUUCCCAUGAUUUUCAUGGCCUCUUUCGCAAUCCACAACCUACUUUGCUUUUUGAGGUCACCUUGACUGUCUUCACGGACAAUUUGCCUUCCCAAUGCUAUUAAUUGAUUAUGCAUCCAAAGCUUACCAUUGUCCAAUACCUUUAUCAAGCACUUCUGGGUAAGGAUGUUAAUUCCUAUUAUGGGAUCAAGUCGACAAUCGUCCCACGCAUAAAUUGCAUACGUCUUCUUCUCAUUGAAAAAGAAGCAUGCUAUAUCAAGAAAAAUUUGUUUCUCAAAUUUGUCUAGGCCAUCAUAGCUAAUUUGCAACUUCUUUCGAACCUCUCUAUUAGGUGCAUUCCUUAAGUUGACCAACAUCCCUUGCCAAAAUUCUUUGCCUUGACCCUUAAGUAAUGAACCUAUCACUUCAAUAGCCAAAGGAAGUUGUUCCGUGGUUGAGACAAUUUCAUUUGAAAGUUUACGAUAAUCAUUGAGAGGGAAGUCCCUAUCAAAAGCAUGCCGACAAAAAAGCUGAAGUGCAACAUCAUCAUCCAUCUUUGGUAUCUCAUACCAUCGAAUGUCACUAUUAAACCACUUACCUGGCAUAAUAGUUUGGUCUCUCGUUGUAAUGAUUAUGCGGGAUCCUGGAGCUAAUGGACGUCUUCCUAUUAGGUACUCAAUGUGCCAUUUUUCAGCAACAUCAUCUAGAAUCACAAGGACCUUCUUAGUACUGAGUACUUCUUCGAUCAUCAUCAUUCCAUGUUCAUAAUUAUUCACAAUUUCCAUAGGUUUAAUACCAACAAUGUCAGAUAGUAAAUUCUUUUGUAGCUCGACUAUGCCCUUGGUCAACGAGCAUUCUCGAACAUUCUCAAGGAAGCAACAAGUAUUUCCAAAGUGUGAAGAUAGUGUAUUGAAGACAACCUUGACAACAGUUGUUUUACCGAUGCCACCCAUUCCAUAAAUUCCAAUAAGCUGCACAUUUGGAUGGUCGACAUCUAAUAAUUCUGUCAACUCUUUUAUCUGAUCAUCAAGUCCAACUAAAUGUUCAGUCACUACUUUUUUUCUUGUUGCCAGCUUCACUAAAACCUUGUCAACAAUCGAUUCAACUAUCAAUGCUGGGCUGCCAUGUACAAAAGCGCAUUCAUUAGUUGACUAGAUUAACUUGAUAAGAUUGAAGUACAUCACGAACGAUAUUUAAAUUCACUGAAUUAAUAGUAGUAUUGGAUAGUUUAGUAGUAUUCACUUGAUAUCUUUUUCGCGUAUGACCAAAGAAAUUUCUGAAGACUACAAUAUUUGUCUAAAUGGUGGCCAAAGUUUACCAAUUGGCUACUAUAUCAUGUAUAAGCAAAAUUUCGGCAUUUAUAGCUAAGUCUGAAAAAGAUUUCAGCAUUCGCAAUAGGAGAAUCAUGAUCCCAUAGAAUGUAGACAAAGUCAUGUAUUGAAAACUGCAACCUGCCGAAUAAAAAUAUAAUCCUGAAACCUGUAACUAUUCCCCAGCCCCAACAAUAUAGUAGUUGUAACAUUUGUGUUGUUUAACUUAUGCAUGUAAGUUUUCUAUGGAUCUGAUUAUGAGUAUUAUUGCAUCUAAAGAGCCAUGUCACAUCAAGAUUUGUUCAAAAUUAAAAAUCAAGAAACCCGACUCCCGUGAGGUUAAUUUGGUGAUUAAGAAAUGAAUACGUGUAUGGAUUAGGCGCACAAUACAGGUAUGAUUUUCCACACCAACAAGCAGAAACAUUUGUAUGGUUGAGCCACCUGUUUGGGCGUUGGUUUGUACCUUAAUUGGUCCACAGAAUUAUUAACAUAAGUCGUAGUUUUGGAAUUUAACUAUUUAAGAUGCACUUCCUUGUUAAUAUAGAAACAAUGGCCCUGUCAGUUUGCUUCCAAUAGCUCCAUCUGUUUGGGGCAUUGACUACAUUACUCAAAAAGUAUAAGAGGUUUUUUUUUUUUUUUUUUUUUGAACAACAAAAAGUAUAAGAGGUUGCCACCCGAAAAAGUGGUGCAAAAAGAGCUCAUUUACAUUGGAGAAGAUAAUGGGCGUUCACAUGUUAUAUUAAUGCAUGGUAGGCGUUAAUUCACCGUAAGUUAGGUUUAAAUUUAUCAAUUGACAACCAAAUUAUGUGUUGUUAUUGAUAAACGAUGAUAAGCAUAUUCAGUUGCUAAUAUAAAAGCCAUGUGAUGACCCACAAAACAAGAAACAAAUGCCAUGCGGGGCCACGUCACUACUAUGUUGCCUCCCAGCUCAUCCAUAGCUCACGUUCAAGUCGUGUGGCCCAAUAUUCAUUUCCGCGUUUAUUAGUUUGUAUUAGACUAGACUUCCUACUUUGCCUAAGACAAGGAAAAUAGCCCGUCAUGCUUUACAUGUUCUCAGGAUACUGUUGCUUCUAUCGAAAAUUUAGAUAUGAUUUUUCUUCACCAAAUCUUAGUUUCCUUAUGUGAUUGGUGUUUCCUGAGCACUCAGAUAUGUCUAAAAUAAAGACGGCACCAGAUGCCAUCUCUGAUUUUUUUCGUCUUUUCCCCAUUAAUGGAAAAUGGAAACUGAUAUGAAUGCAAAUUAUAUGGAUGAAUGCAAAAUCUGAAGUUGAUUUUGGUUAUCAUCCCAGAUGAUAAACACAAGUGGCUGCCAUCGAAUAUUUCGUAGCCUUACGAGACAGGGAACAGAUAAAAAUGGCUGAGAGCAAAGGAUGUAAAGUCGAAUGAGAGCAGCAAUUUCAAUAUCUCUCCCACUUGAAAAAAGGAAUAAAAGAAAUCAUUUGACAGGGCAACGUUGCAUCAGCCAAAACAAAAUAAGGACUAGGUAAGGAUCUUAAAAGAGUAUUAUUACCUUUGAUUUCCAUCCCAGUGCCAUCCCUUGAUUCCACCUACUUCUGCAAGAGCCGCUUUCCACCUCUCUACUUCGUCUGGAAACAGCUCCUUGUGUUUCAGUAGAGCAUCAUCAUAUAGUCGAGUCUUAAGUUUAACAUCAUCAGGUUUCACGCCAUAAAAAACAGGUAAAAUACUUUUUGUACCCUUCGACAUAGACACGCUGUCGACUAUAUGCCUAAGCUCACGGAGGCACCAUAUACUGGAAGCAUAAGUCCGAGAGAAGAUGGGUAUGUAGAUUAUGGGGUCAUCAAUAGCAUGAAGAAGGUCUCCACCAAUCGCUUUGCGGACACUGAGUUUCUCAUCAUCCAUGAAUACGCGGACUCCAACAUUUAUCAAUCCGUGAUAGAGGAAAUCUGUGAAUCCAUAACGGGUGUCGGGUCCUCUGAAAUUUAGGGACACUUGAUACUUACCUCCUGAUACUUGUGCAACAUCACUACUUGAUCCGGCCUCUGAGUAUGCCAUAGCUGGGAAGCUUAUUACGAUCCAGAUGAUCUCUCACCGAAAGAGAAAAAAGUUCGGUGUGGCGGGGGCUGAGCUGAAGGAAUGAGCUGAGGUUUCAGAUAUGAACUAGGCAAAUGAGUAAGGAUGCCCUAAAACUAGGAAAUUUUCAAAGACUACUUGGGAGACCGCACAGCCAAUCUAAAGGUUUUUUUGUUUUAAAAUCUUUGGAGGAAAGGCAUCGGUCAUUUAACUAAUGCGAAUCGUUGAAUCAAGUCUCUCAAUCUUUUUUUUUUUUUUUUGGCAAGUGGGUGUCGAAACUAUAUAUUUUUUGUUCGACUUGGCCAUUCCCUUAAAAUUAUAAAAGGAGAGCUGAUCUCAUCAUUAGAUGCUGAUGUUGGACCUUACGAGGCAAUUAUAAUACAUAAACUUAUUUUAAUAAUUUUAAUAAACUUGAAGAAAACAACAACGAGAAAAAAGAAGGAAAAAUCAAGAGGGGGCAAAGAGAGAGAGAGAGAGCGCGUGGGCAUGGGGAGACAGUGCUCCGGCAGCGUGGAUUCUACCGCGUGUUCAGUAAAUUCACUGCCAAGCGCGUGAACACGCCGUGUCGUUUGGUUGCUUAAAAGUGAAAGGCGCUUGCGUUUCUUUUCUUUCAUUUAAUUUUUUAUGGAUAUAAAAGGCUUUGUGCAUCAACGGCAAAAAAACAAAAAACAAAAAACAAAAAAAAGGUCAUAUGCUAUCGUACUUUGAGAUGGUUCUUUAUAUGGGCAGUGAAAAUUGUGAGACACAUAAUUGAAUAUGAAGUUGCUAAAUAUAUAGGAAUUGCUUUAAUUAGGUGAUGAUUUUACCAAUAAGGACCAUGAAUGAUUUUUCCAGAUCAUCCAAUCACCGCAAAACUCAUCCCAAUUUAUUGAAACCCAAACAAAAGAAAAAAAAUUGAGAAAAAAAUCACUACACAGUCCUCACAAAUUAUACAGGUGAAGAACGAAGAAUGGACCAACCACCCCCAAAAAUCCAAACAAUCUCACCGCGCACUCCAGCGAAUCGCCAAAUUUUCCCGCUAAAGUGAGACAAAAAGGAAAAGGAUAAAUAGAAAAGAUUAACACUACAAAACUCUAAAAUGGUACAAAAUAAAUUUUUGAUCACUAAAACCCCAAACUGAUACACUUAUAAUAAAUUUAUUUAAAACUAAUUUUUUGAUCACCAAAAAUCCUAAACUAGUCACUCCGUUAGUUUUCGUUAAAUUGAAUUAAUAUCACGAAAAAUCACAAAACGGAUGGUGAACCCCAAACUAUAACUCAGCAAUUUUAUGAUAAAAUUUAACGGAAAUUUACAACAGAUAAAUUUAUUACAUGUCUAUCGCGUUGGGAUUUUUGGUAGUCGAAAAAUUAAUUUUCAAUAAAUUUAUUAUAGAUAUUUUAAUUUGAUAUUUUUCGUGAUAUUAAUUCGAUAGAAAAAAGAAAAAAAAAAGCAUAUGAAGUAGCUCCAUUUUUUUUUUGUCACUUGAAGCAACACCAUCGGCUAACCCUUAUUAUUGCUGCGCCCAAACAAAUAAACGAUCGAUGGUGUUCAUACAGAUAACGUACGACUCCACGAGCUCUUGCCUUACUCCCUCAUCUCGUCCUCUUCCUCCUCCAUUUCUUACUCCCACCCUGUUAGGGUCAUCUACCUGCAGCACUAGACUACAUCGUCACCGUUGUCAGUAGCGGCUCCUAGAUUGUUCCAUUGAUGAUUGUUAUCCGACGAUAGUCGAAGGGCUUAAUUAAACAUUUUGUAAUAGUUCAAGGAUUUUUGAUAAUUUUAUUUACACUAGGCCAAUAGCCUCACGACAUUAUCAAGAACUAUUUCAGGAAUGAUAUCUUCUAGAGCUUUGUAGCUUUAAUGACCUAGGAAGACAUUUUGCAUUAAAAUAUUUUGUACACACUCAACAUUUUGUCAAAAAAUUGUACAUAUGCGGAGAACCAAAACUAAACAAGCCUACCUCAUUGUAACUUUUUGCAUUUGCGGUCAGUUCAUCUCUCUUUUCAUCCUGCACGCAUCCUUGUGAUGGAGAAGGAAAAAGAAAGAAUGUGCCACAAGUAAUGAUUAACAAUUAGUCUUCAAAUCUCCUAGAACAAAGGAAGGGGACACAAGGAAAACAAAAAAGCCAAAAAAAAAAAAAAAGCCAAUAUUCAUGCAUAUGGUCUUAAUACUCCUAGUCAUCUUGCGAUUGUAACCACUAAAAUCAAACCGUACCUUCACAUGUCCAAAUCAAAGCUCAACAAAGUGAAUCAGAUGAUACUAUCAUAAUUGUACACUAAAUUUUUUCAUGGUCACAAUAUACUAAAAACACUACACUAGAGAUAGAGAAUGAUAUACAAUUUGCUCAAAAUACAACGUUGAACAUUUUUGGCUUAUUCUAUAUUUUUCCUCCAACCCUUUUGAUUUCUAGGAUCUUCUCUUAUGCAGACAUCUUUAAUCUUCCCGUUAAAGAUAGUCUUGAGAAGCAAGUAUCCGUUGGGAUUCUUCACUAGCUGCUGUUUUGAAACUAGAUUACCCAUACAGCCCUUUCUCAUAAGCAUUAGCAAGUUUUCCCAAAAUAUGUUACGCCGCUGUUGUCACAUUGCCAUAGCUCUGACAAUUCUGACAAAAGUUGUUUCUAGUUUUCUAACAAUCUUCGGUUCUCCUCCUCUGAUUUUCCAACUACCAACGGCUAUAUUAACGUCUCCAACAAACAUUGGUAGAUGAAAGUUAUCCCAGCAUUGUCGGUGACUCGAUCUUUUCGUAAGUGACAUAAACAUUAUCAUGAGUCGAUUAUCAUGGUCAGUUGGUGCUAUUUACGUACAGGCCAUAGAAGGACAUCUUGCAAUCUUUUUUCCAAUGAAGUCACAUCAUGGAUAUUAUCCGUAUCCUUAAUAAAUCAUCACAAACAUAUGUAAUUUUCAUAAUAUAUAUUAUUUCAAUAAUAGUUUUGGGAUCAUUAAAAAUCCUAUGGAUGUUUCUCCAAUAAUCUUCCUCAUACCAUCCACAAAUGUGAUAAAGGCAUUGUAUUGAAUUUCUCUAGUAAAGUAAUAUAUGCAUGAGUAGUGAUUAUUGAUAAAGCAUACUUAAACAGAUUUCGAAAUCUUCAAAAGGUUUACAAAUAUCUUCAAUGUAGUCGCUUGUAUUAUCAAUUUUUAGCUCUUCGACUUGCUCCUAAAGUUUCUUAUUCAUUUUUGACAUGUAAUUUAGGGCAAUGCCUAGUGAGACGGUCUUGAUUUGUCUCUUUUCUAAUCUUUGCAGUAAAUAGAUUCGUUGACAUGGUUAUUGUAGCUAAACUCGGUGGAGAAGAGGAACCAAAUUCUGAAAAGACUGAAUAUCAAAAGUCAAAAGCGUUAAGAGUGAUUUAUUGUUUAUUUUUUCAAGCAAGAAAAUAUCCUUAACAAUACAACUUAAAUAUGUGACAAGAUAUUGUAAGUGGCAGAGUGCCCUUACUACCACAAUUUACAGAGAUUUAGCCCUUAUCGUUUCGAUUCGUUGAUAUUGAAACAUUUCAAUGUUAAUACAGGCCUCUAUUAGCAUGAACUAAGGCCUUGAAUUGUAUUCUGUUCAAGUACUUGCGCUGGACUUGUUAAGUCAAAAGCGUUAAGAGUGAUUUCUUGUUUAAUUUGAUUAUUAUUCAAUCAUAUCAUUACUGUUGUUCGGAACAAAAUAAAUAAAUAAAUCAUUUUUCAUUGGAAUUUAUUCAUGGGAAUAUAAUCGUUACCAAACGCGUCUUAAAUAUAUCUUAUUAGUGAUAAAACCCCUUGUAGCCAAAGCUCGAAGUAAUCUUCACAUUUGGGUUUUCCACGAUAUUAAAAUAAUCCACUGAAAAAUCAUAGGAUACUGCUAAAUCUUUUUGUAAGCAAAAAUGCUGGAGUUUGUUCCUCAAUCGUCCCGUCCUCGUUUAAUUUUGGUUCUUUCCCCGUACGGCGACAAUUAUAAUAAACCAAACUCACUUUCAACCUUUAAGUUUGGCCCGAACUCUGAUGUCGGCAAGAUUACCCAAGAAAAAAAAGAGAGAAGAAGCUAUAAAACAAGCAUCUUCAAUUUAAUUAUUGAAAGCAAACCAAAUCUUCCCGGAUCCUACUGCCCCACCGAAGAAAGAAUUGCGCUCGAGAACAUUUGGUCUUCUUAAUUUCACAUUUGGAGUUGAUUGUGGACAAACGGAGAAAGGUCAAGAAAAAACGAAAGAGACGGUCCACGAAAGCGCCUUAGGUCAUUUAUGACUUUCUUAAUAAACCUGUUACACGGUACACGUUAUUAUAAUGUUUAUGUAAUUUAAUAUUUUAUAGUAAUUAUUUAGGUACGUAUGAUGUCGGGAGAGGGUUAAGAAAAAAAGCAAGAGAGAGUAGAAAAACAGCUUAGGUCGUCAGUGACCUUUUCUAAUAAGCAUGGCGGUGAUCCAUAUUAUGACAAUGUUAGAGCCUGAAAUGAAAAUUUCAAAUUAUCACUGAAAGUAUAAAAGUUCCCUCACUAAAAUAAAAUUUACGUAAUCAAUGACUUUUUCAAAUUAUUUGGGUAGAUGUUAUUUUUUAAAUAUCAAAUAAUUAGGUUAGUGUCAAUCACAUUUUGAUUAAAUGUAAUAAACUUACCCGACCAUUAUCACAAGUAGAAGGCAAACAAGUAAAUGUUUAGAGAAAUUCGAUGAUGACUGCGUAUAUAUUUAAAAUAAGUACACCGAUAUAUAAUACUUAAAAAAAAAUUAUAUAAGACGCUUUGUAAUAAAUGAAUAUAAUAGAGUUACCAAUCCUUAUAGGUAGAAGGGGAAAAAAAUGCAUGUUCAAGAGAAAUCUAUUGCAUGAUUGUCUGUAUUUCAAAAAAAAGGAAACACAUAAUAUUUGAUGACUCUUAUGAUUGAAAAAUAGCAUGGCCAUCCGUUAGAACAUAAUUAUUUGCCGAAUUUCAAUGUUUAUUGGGUCAUGAUUCCGAAUAUUUUGAAAAUAAAUGUCUAAAAAGAAUAAUUUAUUAAUAUGUAUAUCCUAUUGAAAAUUAUGAUGAGGUUUUGAAAGAGCUUAGCGAAGUAGUGAAACGUAUCAUGGUAUAACAUUUCAUAAUCACCUGGUAUUUCACAAACAAUAAAUGUGAAAAGAUUAAUCUCAUAUAUGACGAUAAAAAUAACAAGUGAUCAUCGUCACGAAAGAGAAUUAUAUAACAUACUUUUGUCACUACCAUGAUCUCCACCGAUUCUAAGCCGUCACCAACACACGUCGCUCUCUAUUCCGCGUCCGCGUUCUUGCCAUCCAACGGCCCAACACUCUUCAUGCCGAUCGAACGGCUGCUAUGCCAUUGCAUGCUGCACGGACAGCGCAAAAUAAUUGUGCGCGUGAUUCCCUAGAGUAACAGUACUCGCGAGGACGAGGAGCUCUGCAGGGAGGGUACAGGGGCCUUUUUGACUUGACCCUGCUUUUCCUAUUACGAAAAAAGAGAACCAAUGUGCGUACGCCUUCUUUAAUGGUGGAAGGAGAAGAUAAAGAAAAAGAAAAACAGACAGUACUUUCUUCUUUUCAGAAAAGAGAGAGUGCCUUUUUUUUUUUUUUUUUGUGGUCGUGAAAGAGACAGUACCUGAUAAAGCAUUGAUCCAUGAAUUGGUUUACAUUUGGAAGGACUUGCCCUUUUUCUAGCCACCGCGGGAAAAAAAAAAGUACUAUUAAAAAUUAUUAAUAUUAGUGUCGGCCGGUAAAAAUUAAUUAAACAGAUUACACUGACACAAAAAAUAUUUAAAAUCGAAUCAACAUAAUUAUAAUAAAUUUUAACUUAUUAUGGUAAUUUUCUCUUUUCUAAGCCGCACCUUGAGUAUGUAAGAAAAAGUGAAGGCUCUCUUUCUUUCUUCAAUUUUGGGUUUAGUCUUAAUUACAAUAAGUCUCAGACUUUUUUUAGUAAUUUCUUCUUUUCUAAACCGCACCUUGAGUUUGUGGAUGGAUAAAGUUGGCAAAGAAAAAGUGAGGGCUCUGUUCAGUCCUAAUUAUGUUCUAAACUGUUUGGGUUAUUACCCUGAAAAACCUCAAACUGGUACACUUGUGAUAAAUUUACUCAAAACUAUCUUUUUUACCACCAAAAACCCCAAACUGGUACUUUUUUGACAAAUUUACCCCAAACUGGUACAUUUGUGACAAAUUUACCCUCUAUUAGUUUUUGUUAAAUUUUAAUUAAAUCAAAUGACACGUGAUAGUUAAUUGGUAUAUCGAUUUAGGAUUUUACACUUUGUUUGUCACAGUUUACAAUUUUUGUGAUUUUUUGUGGUAUUAAUCCAAUUUACUGCAGGGUAUAAUUGUCACAAAUUUACCAGUUUGAGGUUUUUUGUGGUUGAAUAAAUUAGUUUGGGGUAAAUUUGUCAUAAAUGUACCACUUUAGGGUUUUUAAUGGUCAGUCAGGGUUAAUUUGUCACAGGUGUACCAGUUUGGAGUUUUUUAUGGUCAAAAAAAUAGUUUGGGGCAAAUUUGUCACAUGUGUACCAGUUUAGGGUUUUUCAGGAUAUUAACCCAAACUUUUUAAAUUUUUUUACUAUAGUUUUAAAUCUGCUUGAUGUCCAAUAAUUGCUGCUUUUUUUUCUUUAAAAUUAUCAACAUUAGGGCCAAUUAAAUAUCAACAUGCUUACCUUCAUAUAAAGUAACAAUAGUCUAUUUUUUCUUUUUGGUAAAGAAAAGUAACAAUAGUCUGUUGAUAUUGAUAAUUUUGAAAAAACUAGUUGCAAUUUUUGGACAUGAGAUAAAUUUGGGACUAUAGUGAAAGUUAGUGAAAUUUUUAGAUAAAAUAAUUUCGGAGCAGAAUUGAGAUUGAACCUAAAUUGAUGAUUUUUAAGAGAAUCAAGCCAAAAAAACCAAAAGAGAGGGUACUUAAAAGCGGUAGGUGAUCAAUGACGUUUAUUAUAAAUGGGUUAGGUGAAGAAAUUUUUAAAUUUUGAUGAAGCAAAACAUAAGAGAACAUACUUAUAAACUGGUUGAUCUAGGUGCAUUCAAUAAUAUUUUUAUUCUAAAAAAUAAUUUAUUGUUAAAGAUAUUUUUUUCUAUUUUUAUUUCUUGGAAUAGUUUCUGAUUAGAAAAAUGCAUUUCGUAACUAAAUAAAAUUUCUAUUGUCGAAAUAGAAAAUAAAUAAGAAUGCGUUUGAUAUGACUUAAAUUUUUUUUUGCGAUGUAAAAUCUCUUUUAAUUUUUUAAUGAUUUUUGAAAUUUUUAUUUUUUUCUUCUCUUGUUCCAACAGCCAAUGAUGGUGGUGAUGAUCGGUUAAGAGAAUAUAAAAAAAAAGAAAGAAGAUAACUUAUUCAAGAAAUUAUUCUUGAGAACAAGAAAAUGACUUAUUUUAUAAAUUAUUUUCGAGAAUAAAAAGUAAUUUAUUUAUUUAUUAUUUCUAUUCCACAACUACUCUCUAAUUAUUUAUCUAUUUUUAAAAAAUAAAAUAAAAAAGAAGAAAAAUUAGAAUGUUACCAAACGGGAUUAGAGUCGCCGCCAGACUACCCCUUACAUCGACUUUUCUUGGAUGCAAUCUACAAGCGACCUUGGGUAAGUCACGCGUGUGGCUGUGAGCUCCGGCGCGUGUGUGGAUGGCGCGUGAGUAGUUAGCAAAGAGAGAGAGAGAGAGAGACGUCGGGUCAUGACGUUGACGACAAGAAAAGAGAGGGGCGGUGGGUGGUGAGCACUGAGCAGCAAAAGAGGAUAAGGAAGAAAGACAGAAGUCCAAAAAAGUGGCUCCCCAAGAAUUAAAUUAAAUUAAAAUAUAUUCGAUUUUUACAGUGGAGCCCACCUUUUUUAUUUUUAAUAAAGAGAAUGGUUAAUAUCCUAAAAACCUCAAACUGGUAUAUUUGUGAUAAAUUUACCCCAAACUAUUUUUUUGACCAUGAAAAACCCCAAACUAGUAUAUUUUUGACAAAUUUACCCCGACUGACUAAAAAAAAAACCCUAAACUGGUACAUUUAUGACAAAUUUACCCCAAACUAAUUUAUUCAACUGCAAAAAACCCCAAAAUGGUAAAUUUGUGACAAAUAUACCAUAUGCUAAAUUGGAUUGAUACCACAAAAAAAUCACAAAAAUUGUAAACGGUGACAAACGGAAUGUGAAAUCCUAAAUCGGUAUAUCGGUCAACUAUCACGUGUCAUUUAACUUAAUAAUUUAAGAAUAAAAUUUAACGAAAACUAACAGACGGUAAAUUUGUCACAAGUGUACCAGUUUGGGGUAAAUUUGUCAAAUGUAUACCAGUUUGGGGUUUUUGGUGGUCAAAAAAAUAGUUUGGGGUAAAUUUAUCACAAAUGUACCAGUUUAGGGUUUUUAAGGGUAUUAACCCUAAAGAGAAAUACUCAAAUCAAGGAUCAAGACAAUGUACAGGAUCCAUGAAUUGACCCACAUUCUAAUAAAGUUGGGAAAUAAAAAGAAAAUUCAAUUUUUCACUGGAAUCACAAAAGUUCCCCUCACUAAGAGGUAACCAGUGAAUUUUUAUUUUUAUUUUUAUUUUUGUGGAUGGACACUAGAAUUUCAUUGUUGGAUCUUAGCAAAUUAAUUUCAUAAAUCACACUGAAAUCACGUUUUUGUCAAUCGAAUUUUUAUAAUGCAGCCCAACUUUCCUUAUAAAUUAUGUCAUAUAGAAUUAAAAAAACCAAUUAAAUGAUCUAAUGUUGUUAAAUUUGAUGGUGCAAAUAAUGAAAUAUUUAUCUUGCAUAUAAUUCACACGCAGUGUUUUCCCUUGACUGUUGACACGUUGUUUUCUACCAUUUAGAAGUAAUAAAGCUUUUCCCAUGGUCAUGGUAUCUAAAAGCUGAAUCCCACGCGCUUAUGGAUGGAACAUUUCUUUUUGAAAAGUGAUUUAGGAACUAGUUUUCCAGGAGGAUUACUUCUUAACCCCCAACGAUCUUAGUGAUUUCCUAACUAGCCAUCCAAACGUGUUGGUUAAUCUUUUACCUAAACUUAUUUAAAAUCUUGCAGUGAUUUUGGAAAAGAUUUCCCAUUGCAACAGAAAAAUAUUACGAAAACAAGUGAGCAUUUCAUGCAGUGGCUUAAUGUAUUGUUGUUUUAAAUUGAGUCAAAUUUGAAAUAUAGCUUAUCACGUGUAAGUAUAUAAUUUUACUUAAUAAGGAAACUGAGUAAAUUGAAGAAUGAAAAGAUAAAAUGAGAUAUGCAUUGUAUAAAAAAUACAUACAUACAGUUUACGUAGCCUUUCUUGCUAAUGCCAAAUUUGCUUAACAUGAGCUCACGACGGAUUGAUUAGCUGAAAAACCAAAAGACAUAACUUAGAAAUAAUGUGUAUGUGCGCAUGCCGUUCUAUAUAUAAUUUUUGCUAUUAAAUUUCUCUUAAUCUAAGUAAAGAAUAUUUCCUACAAGAAAAUUUAUUUAAGUAAGAUAAAAUUAAAAUAAAUUAGUUUACAACAGAUCGGUAGUUUGAAUAUUCGAGAAACUCAUGAAUUUUAACUCAUAUGGUGCAAGUAAUUUAACGCAAUGUAUAAAGGAAUUUCUUAUCAUGAAUUCGAUUAACAAAAUCUAAAGAUAUAUGUUGUUUAGCCGAUAAACUAUCAAUAAUUUGAUAGCUUAAUUUGCUCAUGCAAUUUCAUUCAAUGUAAUAUAGAAACAUUCUACUGAAUAAAGAGUUCACUUAAUUUAGAAAAGAAUCGCAGAAACUUAAAAAAUCAUAGACUAUUUAAAAUAUAACAAAUUGUGUUUUUGUCACUUUAAUAUUACAAUAAAAGUAAAUAAUCAAUGAAUAAAAGCUGUAUAUUUUUAACAUGAAUUUUUUGUUGUUUCAUAAUCAAGUAAAUCUGAAAUCCAUUUACAUGGAAUUUACAAUGAAAUUAUAGAGUCAAAAGACUUAAAGAACUAAAAAUAAUUUAACAUGUUGCAUAAUGAUUCAUAGAGAUUCAUAUAAAUACAAAGUAGGUUUUUUUUUCGGCAAAAAAAAAAUUUCAGUCAUUUGCCAUAAUCAAAUAUGAGAGGAAUAUUGAAAACUUCCAAGCAAAGCAAAUCCCUAAAUAGCUGAAUAAAACAAAACAUUGAAAAUAAAAGAGUAUAGUUUGUGGUUAAAAGGAAGCUCUUAUCCCAUAAAAACCAUAUUUGUCAUGGCAUAAAAAAAAAUCAACGGCGGAUCACCGAAACUGUUAAUGAUGGACAUACACCGAAAUUUUCGCUCCAUAAAUCACAACUUGCAGUACACGUGUAGAUUCAACAUUCUAUCAUCAUUAUAUGGAAACAACAAUAACAAUAUGAUUAAAUAAUAAUUAAAUGAGAAAUACAAGGGUUGAUCUAUAUAUAUACUCUUUUUUUAAUCAAUAUAUUCUAAUCAAGACCAAAACAAGGUGCAAAAGAUUGAAAGAAAUCCCUUAUUUUGAGUUCCUCUCAUAUGAAAUUGAGAGUGGGCCCUGCAUUCUUGCAAAACAAUCGAAUUGAGGGUCUAGAGGAAUUGGCCAUUUAAUCUUGUAAACUAAUCAAGAUUGGAAUUGGAAAAAGGGAUACGAGCAAAGAACACGAAAUCAUUCUGCUCCGAUGGAGACACGAGAAGAGGCUGGGGCAAUUAAGUAGGUGAAGUGGUUGGAAUUUGCAAGCUAUUCCAACCACGGUUGAUGUGAUUAGUCGGUCCAUGUGAUAAAGAAAACUCACUUUCAAUCUUUGGGCCAUAAACUGAUUAAGCAACAUUACCAGAUAACGAAAACAAAAAAAGGGAAUAAAAUAUAAAGCAAGGAUGGAAAAUUUUUAAACCAAACCGGAUCUUCCCGGCUCCCACUACCACUUAAGAGAGGAGCACUUUUUUUUGCUAUAAAAAAGAGAGAGGAGCACAAACAAACCUUAAUUCCACAAUCUGAGUUCGUAGACCGUGCAACCAAAAAAAAAAAAAAGUUCGUAAACCUCACUUGAUCCUCGAUGGAGGGAGUAGGUAAAAAAAAUGGUUAAUACAUUGAAAAACCCCAAACUGGUAUACCUGUGACAAAUUUACCCCAAAUUAUUUUUUUGAUCACCAAAAAUCCCAAACUAGUAUACCUUUGACAAAUUUACCCUAAACUGGUACACUUGUGAUAAAUUUACCCUCUGUUAGUUUUAGUUAAAUUUUCUUGUUAAAUUAUAAAGUUAAAUAACACGUGACAAUUGACCGGUAUAUCAAUUUGGGAUUUUACAGUCUGUUUGUUACAGUUUAUAAUUUUUGUGAUUUUUUUGUGGUAUUAAUCUAAUUUUUCGGAGGGUAUAUUAGUCACAAAUUUACCAGUUUGAGGUUUUUUGUGGUCGAAUAAAUUAGUUUGGGAUAAAUUUGUUAUAAAUGUACUAGUUUAGGGUUUUUUUUUUUUUUAUAGUUAAUCGGGAUAAAUGUGUCACAGAUGUACUAGUUUGGGGUUUUUCAUGAUAAAAAAAAUAGUUUAGGUAAAUUUGUCACAAAUGUACCAGUUUGGGGUUUUUUAAGGUAUUAACCCUAAAAAAAAUACUUAAUUUAAUGAAAAAACACUCAAUUUAAGAUAAUCUCAUUUAUAAUCCAAACGUUUCUUUAUCUCAAGAAAAAAAUCACAAACUUUCACUACAAUCAUAAGUCUACCCUACGUCCAAAAAUCACCGCUUAUUUCUUUGAAAUUAUCAACAUUAGGACCAGUUAGAGAUUUAUUAUAUGAUCUUGCAUUUUUAUCAACACCUUCACUUUUGUAUGGAGUAAUGACAGUCUCUUGAUGUUGAUAAUUUUAAGAAAAUCAGUGUUGAUUUUUGGAUGUAGGAUAGAUUCGAGACUAUAAUAAAAGCCGGUGCUUUAAUUUUUGGUAAAAAAAGGUAGAUGCAAAAGAGUGGGUUUCGACUCCUACGCCCUGCAAGAGGUAGGACAAAAGUCUGAAAGUGAGUAUAGAGUAGGCAUAGAGUAUGACUGACCAAAAAAAUUAAGAUUCACCUAAAGUUUGCAGAUUUUUUUAGGAAAUUAGAUUAGAAAACAAUAGAGCUAGUAUUUAUAUGUUGGAAAAAUCUAAAUAAGGAUAUGAAGUGUCUUUAUUUUCUUAAAUAAUGACUUGAAAUAGACUUUAUUUUAAAUAAGAGUUUAAAGUACCAUCAUUUUUUCAAAUAAAAACAUAAAAAAGGAUAUUAUUUCAAACAAGAAUCCAAAAUUGCCAUAUCAGUCUCUAAAAAUUGCAUAACUCAUAGACUGAUAAGGGUAAUUUCGUCAUUUAUUUUUUUCCUUUUUUCUUUAUUUUUCUAUAUUAGAUGAAAAAUAAAUUAAAAAGAAAAGGGAAGGGGCUGGGAAGACAACGAGGCCUUUGCAGGCCCUCCGUGCUGUCGCCCUACCAUCAAUGUUGCCACCCAACUAUCCCCCUUCCACGAUGGUGAGGGCAUUGGUGGCAAUGAGGGCUUAGCCUGCGCUUGAUUUCCCUUUCUUUUUCUUCUCCUUUAUUAAUAAUAAUAAUAAUAAAUUAAUUAUUUAAAUUUAGUUUGUUAUAUAAUUUUAAUAAUAUUUAAAAUUAAAAUUACAUUGAGCUAAAAUGUCUUUAACCGGUUGAAAUAUUUUACCUACCAAUGAGGUCAAGUCUUUCUUUGAAGUUGUCAUGGCUGCUUUAGCCCUUAUUUAAAACUGUUACAUUUAUUUAAAGUGAUCAUGGCCACUUUUGUCCUUAUUUAUGAUAAAAUUCACUUUGAACAUGAGGAAAUGGAAACACUUUAAAUUUUUAUUUAGAAAUUUUCCUUUAUAUACGGUAGGUACUACUCACGUUUUUCUACAAAGGUGCUAGGUGAUCCACGCGAAGGACCUUUUGAAUCUUGACUAAAGGUGAAAGCAAAAGAGAACGUACAAAAACGGGUGGAUCUACUAGUCGCCAUGUAUCCUUUUCGUCGACUUUUCUUGGACCCAAUCAACAAGCGAGUGCAAUAUUUGUCUAAGUUGCGCGCGUGCGGGUACAAUAUUAGGAAUUUUCCGCGGUAGGUUGUCAAUCACGUUUCUCUAUAAAGAUGUUGGGUGAUCCACGUGAAGGAACUUUUAAAUCUUGACUAAAGGUAAAAGCAAAAGAGAACGUACGUAAGAACGGGUUGAUCUACCAAUCGGCAUGGACCCUUUUUCCAUCGACUUUUUUGGACCCAAUCUGCAAGCGAGUAUAAUAUUUGCGCUUAGUCGCACGCGUGGGGUAUCGUAUGCUAUGCGCACGAGCAAAUACCCGCACGGGCGCGCGUAUGGCGCGUGAGUAGCGAGCGGAGAGAGAGAGAGAGAGAGAGACGUCGGGUCAUGUCGACGAGAAAUGACAAGGCAGUGGGGGGUGGACAGGGAAAGAGGAAAGGAUGAAAGAAAAAGGCCGAAAAGGAGUGGCUCCACCGGAAUAAAAUAAAACAAAAGUGCCCUUCAAUGAGUGGAAAUCAAUGUUCGACCCAAAAAAAAAGAAAAAGAAAAAAAAGGCAAUCGAUGGCUCUUUUUUUAAUGGCGCGGGUCGAUGCUAAUGUUUCAAUUUUGGAUCCUAAUGAAUUGUUUUUAAAAUUCACAUUGAAAUCAGGUUUUUUUCAAUCAAAUUUUUAUUGUAUGGCUCAAUUGACCUCAUAAAUUUCAUCAUAUAGAUUUCAAAAUCCAAUUAAAUGAUCUAAUUAUUUGUUAAAUUUGAAGGUGUAAAUAAUCGAAUAUGCAUCUUGCAUGUAAUUCACACUUAAAAGAGUUUUAUUCCUUGACCGUUAACCCAUUCCAAUCUAGAAAAAGAAUUUAGAUCUUGUAAAGGUAUCUAAAAAUUGAGCCCCACAAGCUUGUGGAUGGAACAUAUCCUUUUGGAAUUUGUCAAGGUCUUCAAGCAACGCUUUUUUAUUUGAUUAAAUUGUUUCCUUUGCGCGCAAGGUAAGUUAGGCUCACAUGACAACGCUUCUUGAUUGGGGAAGAGUUUUUUUUUUUUUUUUUUAUAGAAAUAGUUCUUUUCUAUUUCUAUUUCGAUGAACAAUUUCUAAGUAAAAGAACACGUUUGGUAACUACACAAAAUUUCUACUAUUGGAAUAAAAAGAAAUAGAAAUGUGUUUGGUAAUGCAAUAUAUUUUUUUUUGUAUUUAUUCAUUUUUUAUUUGUCGACCGCCAACCGUCGCCCGUCGUCACCUACUGCCGCUACUGCACGAUCGCCGGCGGUGGCAGCAGUGGGUAGCGAUGACGGGCGGGCAGCGAGAGGCGGCGGGCGGCAUUGGGCAACGGCCAGGGUCGGGUGGUGGCCGGCGUUGGGCAGUAGCGGCCGAUGACGAGCGGCGGCGGCCGGCAGUUGGCGGUGGCUUCGGGCGAUUGGAGGUGGCCGCGGCAAGAGAGAUGAAUAAAAGAAAAAGAAAAAAGAAAAUUGCUUUAGAAAUUGUUCCCGAAAACAAGAAGCGACUUUUUUUUUUUUAUUUCUCAUUUCUGCUUCAAAUCUAUUCUCGGGCUAACUUUUUAUUCCAAGGAAUAGAAAAACAACUUGGCGUUACCAAAUGGAUUUCUGUUCUUUUUUUGUUCCGAGGAACAAAAGAAUAGAAAUCCGGAGGAACAAAAACGUUCUCAUGCGAAGCCUUAGGAACUAGCUUUUCGAGACAAUUACUACUCAUCCCCAACGUUUUUUUGGCAUUUCCCAACUUGCCAUCUAAACGUGUUGGUUAAUCUUCUACUACUGAACUUUUUCAAAGUAGGCAGCCAAGUAGAAAGAAGUCCUUUUAUUUGUCCCGAUGGGCCUUAACUAUUCAAUCAGCCCAAUUGAUUUGCCACUCUUGAACAUUGGGCUAAGCGAACGAAUUCGAGAUGGGCCAGCGUUCUUCUUGUAAUCUUCAAUUCUGGCCCUCACGUCCCAAGGGCUUCAAUUAGCUUGCAUCCUUCCAUCUCAAGAAAUUUGUGUUCAUUGCGAAUGUGUUUUCAAUUACUAAGCUUGAUUCUGGUCAGCGGGACUGGAAGAUGUGGGCUAUCGUGAUAGUUCAAGAAUUUUCAAAGAGGACAAUGCACCAAUUUCAAUUGGAAUUUCACUAGUUAAUUCUUCACAAUCACUAGCAUGGAGCUCUUCCAGAUUAUUUAACAUUCCAAUAGUACCGAACAAUUUCCUCAUUGGAGUAUUCUCCAUCGAUAUCACUUUCAAUUUCUUCAGAUUUCCAAUUGAAUCUAGCAACUCAGCAAUUUUAGUAUUGGAUAAAUUCAACUCCUGCAAAGACUCUAGCUUCCCAAUUGAGUCUAGGAGUUUUCUCAACUUAACGCACCCAAAGACUGAGAGACUCAAGUUUCACAAGCUUCCUAAUAGUCUCUGGAAGUGUGCUAAUUUGUCUGUACCUUAGAAUAAGGAAAUAUAUAAACUUCUUAUCACCAAUAGAAUUAGGAAGGCAUUCAAUUUGUAUGUUUGAUAGAUCCAACUCCUUCAAUGAUGUCAAUUUCUCAAAUGAACCCGGGAGUUUCAGAAAACAUCCACUAGAAGCAAGGAACUUCAGAUUCUUAAGCCUUCCAAUUUCUUUGGGCAAAUCCUUAAGAGAGAGGCACUCUUUAAGAUUUAAGUGAAUCAGGCGCUUUAGCUUCCCAAUGGAGGGGUCAAUCUCUACCAAGUUUAUGCAAUUAUAGAAACUCAGCCUCUCUAGACUGAAGCAUGCAGAGAAGUUUGGUGUUCUAGUUAUGCUUUUGCAACCCUUGAGGUUUAGAACUUUCAGAUUCUGUGCCAUCUAACAAAAAUGAUUCACCAUCAAUAGAAGAAAAUAGUAUAUAUUACAUCAUAUGCCAAUCAAAAUCAAAGCGAAUGCAUAUCUUACCUUGAUUAGGCUCCAUCCGCUCAGUCAUCUGUGAUGCUGCUUAUAAUGAUCUCAAAGACAACCAAAUUAUUCAUAGAUAGAUUGUUUACCUCAAGAUCAAGGGGCCUAGGAGAAUACCAAGAAAUCCACCUUAACUUCGAAAAAUCAUCCCAAAUUCUCUGGCAAAGGUUCCCUCCUCUAAUUCAAGGAACCUUAGGUUGGGCAACCUCCUAAGUUUGUCAUGCGUAAUUACAAAUGGUUGAUGAUCACUUCUAGUUAAUAUGAGUGCUUGAACUUUUUUCUUUCUUUGCCAAAGCGAACACAAUGAACAAGCAUGAAUUUGGAAAAUAUAUUUAUUAGUAAGAAUUUGACAAAUUUUCAAAUUCUUGUUUGGGGUAAAAGAAUCGAGAGGCCUCUAAGUGGGAAUGUAAACUCUUUUCUACACGUAUCCAACUCAUGAAAACAGGAAUUUUCUUUACCUACUUUGUUCUUACAAUGUCCACGGCUUCCUUACAAAUCCACACUUGGAUACACUCUCCAGGAUCAUUAAGCACUCCCUCUGAACAAUUUGCCUCCCAAGAUCUUUGAGCUAGUCAUGCAUCCAUAAUACAUCACCAUCAACAAUUCUUUACCAAAGACAUUUGCAUAAGAACUUGUAUCCCAGUCUCAGGAAAAAUUGCAACCUUCCCACAUGUAAAUUGCAUUUGUCUUUUUGGUGUUGUUGACAAAAAAAAUGCAAUGUCAAGAAAAAUCUCCUUUUCCUCAUCCUCUAAUGCUUCAUAACUAAUCAUCAACUACUAUCAGACAUCCUUAUGAGGUAUUCAUGCUAGCCUCUCCACAGUCUCUUUCCAUAUUUCUUCCGGUUGGCAAUAAAGAAAUGAGCCUAUGACCUCAAGAGCCAAAGGAAGCCCUUCGGUUGUGACAACAAUUUCUUAUGCAGGAAUACCGUAUUGAUAUGGUGGAGAAUCCUUUCUAAAAGCAUGUAUGCAGAAAAAUUCAGUUACUUUAAUUCGUAUAUCAAAUCCUCAUCCAAGACUUUUAGAGUAGCUUCAUUCUUGGUUGUAAUGAUUAUCCUACUUCCUGAACUAAACCAAUCUCAAUCCCCUGCUAACUGUUCUAGUUGUUCUUCCUUAUCAAUAUCAUCCAAAAUGAUGAGGACCUUUUUACUGUAAUCUUGUCCCAAUCUGGUUAAUCCCAUCAUUAAUGUCAUGAAUGUUGUCCACAAAUCUGGAGUCGAUGUUGACACCUAAAUUUUGGCGACCUAGUUAUUUAUUUAUUGCACAAAAAUUAGGGAUUAAUUCUUAACCCCUAAAAAAAAAGAAUUAAAUUGCGUAGCAUAUAGUUUUAGGUGCAUUUUUUAAUUUGCAUUUGCAUUGGACUAGUGACAGAUGAGUUCAAAUUGGUGGUUUUGAGCUUUAAAUUGACAGGUUGGACUAAGCCCACGAAGUGAACAAAUUAGCCCAAUUCCCUUUUUUUAUGACAAAAAAUUAUCUUGUGAGAAAUAGAGAUUUGAAAUUUUCCGAGAUAUUAUGGAGAUUUUUCAAUAUCCUAAGAUUGGGCAAGUGUGACAAAAAAUAUUGCAAGCUCAUCUUUGCAAGAUUUGAAAUUUGAGAAAAAUCUUAUUGUGACUUUGAAUCUUUGGCAAUGUGUGAUAAAAUCGGUGGAGAAUAUUCUUUUUUGCAAAUAAUUUAGAGGAGAUGUUGAAAAUAAAAAAGAAAUAUUGUGUUCGGAAAAAUCUUCAAGGAUGUUGAUUUGAAGAAGAAAAUAAAGCCCUAAUCCUUAGCUUAUAAAAGGGUUGCUCGCGUACGGAGCAAGGGGGGCUUUUCUUUCGGUUUCUAGAUAAAAAACUCAAGACAAAACGGAAAAAUUCUUUGUUUUUUCGGGGAGGGUCAAAACUCAAAAGUGAAUAGAGGGUUUUCCUUCUGUGGAAAGGUGCAACAGAGAAAAGAACAGAGAGAGGACGUGGGAAGUGAUGUGAGGGAGAUGUGAGGAGAGAGGGAGGAAAAAGAAGAAGAAGAAACGAAAAAAAGAAACAAGCUACUGUUUGUCUUCCUCGUGCAGCCGCUCGUCGACACUGCCGCGCCUCUAAACGCCGGCGUCUCCCUCUGCUGGCUACCGCCACUUCGCCUGCAACCUAACAAUGCCGUUGUCGCCACUUGUAGCAGCCCGCAAGCCCCCUCGCCGAGCCUCUGGCACGUCUCUGCCAUCGCCGCUGCUGCUCUUGCUCCGCCACUCGCUUGCCCUCGCAUUUGUCGUCGCCACUCUGCCUUUGCUUGUGCCUUCGCCCAAGCACCAGCACCCGGCUCACCUGCAAAUAUUAUUAAAGUUUCAUAGUGUUGUUAUUUCGUUUAAUUGGGAAUAAAGUAAUUUAGUAUAUAUAGAUACAUACUGCAAGGUCAGUGGAAGGAAAUUUAUUUUAUACUCUAUAUACAUGAUAUUUUACUUACAAGUAGUGACCUUGAUGCAUCUUUUGUCAUUUGCAUUGAGAUCCAUAAGGAUUGUUCUCGCCAUAUAUAUUGGAUUUAUCUCAGAGGACAUUAGCUGAUUGUAUUUUGGAAAUAUUCAAUAUACAUCAUUGCAAGUCAGGAAUUGCUCAUGUCAUUAAGGGUGAUGGACCGAAUCCAUUACACUGUCCUUAUUUAUAUAUUUGAGAAAAUCUAAUUUAAGGGUGUACCUUGUGUCAGUGCACUUAAAAGUAUAAUGUAUGCUCAAAUUUACACUAGACUAAAUAUCAUCUUUGCGAUAGGACUUCUAGGCAAAUAUUAAUCAAAUCCAGGACGUGAUCACUGAGUUGUUGUCGAGAAGGUUUUAAGGCUCUUAAGGACAAAAUAUUAUAUGUUAAUUUAUAGACAUAUUCAAUUCUUGCAGUUAGUAAGGUAUUUAUGUGUAAAUUUUGCUAGCCGUUAGGAUGACAUUCGAUCAAUAAUGAAAUAUAUAUAUAUAUAUUUAUGUUAGUAGGGAGUGCAGUAAAUAAAGUUCUAUGAUAUUUUCUAUUAUAUAAGCAGCAUUAAUGACAUUCUUUUAGGCUGUUACUUGAGCUAUUAGGCUUCGGAACCUCAUUAAGGAGUUGACAAUUUUUAACUUUAUGGAUUGACCCAUACGAUUGUAUUGAGACAAUAAAUUUGUAGUAUUAUUUAUUAACAACAGAGGUCUCAAGGGAUCUGAAUAUUUGGCAAUCAAAUUUUUUACCAUAAAGAAAUGGUACAGAAAGGUAACAUUAUACUAUAACAUAUUUUCACAGAUGAUAUGGCUGUAGAUCCACUAACUAAAGGACUUUGCUCUUCUGUUCUUGAAUGACAUGUCAUUAAUAUGAGUUUAAGAGCAUCAUAAGAUGCUGUUAUUUAGUGGGAGCUAUUUUUGGCUUUAUUAUAAUAAAGUCUACUUCUUUGCUCGUUAUACUUAGUAACGGUUUGAUAUGUAUCAACUUUUGCAUUCAACAAAGUAUUUUUGAAUGUGUUAUCAUUAUGUUGAAUACAUAUUGAUAAAAGUUUCAAAGUAUUGUAUAAUUCUUGAGUGAAGGCUAGAGCAUCCGGUUAUUAGUCUUGUGCAUAUGUCUUAUUAUACAUAAAUAAAGGUUAAUCAUAAGGACAAUGCAUAUGUGAGUUCAUUGAAACUAUAAAGACAUUCUCUAGUGACACAAGUUUUUUUGUGACGCUUAAAGUAAGAGAAUAAUGACUACCAAAUGAAAUCUCUUUAUAGAGAUGUUAUAUAUUUACCACACUAUCAUAUUGAAUCCAUAUCAAUAAAGUUAAAAGCACUCGUGACCAUGAAAAGCUCUAUAUGUAUACAUGCGCCAUGAUUCGAUAGUUGAGACUUUAUAGGAUGGGAUUGACUAUUAAGAAUUAUCUUUAAACCAAAGUGCGCACAUACAAUAAUAGUCCAAGUGGGAGAACGUAAGAGUUUUCCUAAUGUGGACUAUAUUAAUUGAUAUUGUAAUUUAUCGUUUUAUGGUUACUGUUUUACAUGAUUGGUCUAAAGUGAGAUAGAAGAUUUCUUAAUUAGUCUAAUAUGGGGCUGGGUAGUGUGGGCCGAGUUGAGCCUAGCCUGUAAUGAGAGGGCCUAGUUAGAAACUCUAUAAAUAUUGCUUAAGUCUCUCAUCUAAUCCUAAUUUUCACAAGUGUCAUCACAUAAGGAGCGUUAACCUAGCACUAAAUGGUGAGGGGGCCGUCUCAUUGAGCCAGUGGUAUAGAGGACAAUAGAAGAGAAGGACUUGUGCGUGGAUCAAUGUUUUUUUUUUCUUCCGCUUUAAGAACGAUAGAUCCCAAAACAGGUACGAUAAUAUUUCUACUCGAUCAUCUAUGCUCUUAUUUUGGUUAUGGAGAUCUUGGGAUUGCGCGGUUUGCAUCCAACAACCAAUACAUUAGCACUACUAAAUCCUAACCUUUAGGCCGCCGAAUUGCUUACUGGCCAAAUCGACAAGCCCUCCAUAAAUUGGAGGAAGAGAGCGACAGCUUGUACGAUGCCAUGUACAAACCGGAGGAAGCUAGCAACUUGGCCACCAAGGGGAAUGAGCACCUUGAAUCGGGCCUUCGUCAUUUCGUUCUUGGGUUCAAACGGCAUCUGGGUUUAAAGUGACUGGGUCAGGGUGGCGGUCUUGACGGAGUAAGGAGGGAAGCUUGGUUAUGGUUGUUAGGAAAUAGGCGUCGACAGGACGCAGUUCUCUUUUUUAUGUUUUAAACCUCCAUGUAUGGCAUUGGCAUGAAUGGAAGUCUAUGUUUCAGCAUCGGGUUUUUGCUCUUCGAUUCCUGCAUCUCUCACAUAAUUGGGUAAUAUUUCUUCAAAUAUUUCCCAUCGAUUGAACGUGGCAAUUCCCUGCCAUUGAUCUACAUUAGUUGAUAAGCAUUUCCGGUAAGGACAUCAGUGAUCAAGUAUGGACCUUCCCAUGUUGAUGACCAUUUACCAAAUUUUUCAUUAUCCAUGCUCUACGGCAAAAUGGUUUUCCAUACUAAAUCACCAAUGUCAAAACCUUUUAGCUUCACAUGUUUGUUGUAUGCCCUCGCAAACCAACUUAUCCAAAGCAGUGACUCUGCUUUCACCCAAUUCAUUGAAGUUUGCAUACAUCAGCUCAUUGUAUUCCUUCUUGGCCAUGUCACUCUGCAGCUUGACCCUUAACGACUGGACUGUGAUUUCAAAGGGAAGAACGGCUUCUUGUACGUUUACCGUAUGUUAACAUAUAUGGGCUAACUCCACAGCUUGACCUCCUUAACGUUCAAUAAUCCAUAACACUCUUGACAAUAAAGUAUCUCAUCCUCCUGGAUUAUCCUCUAAGUGUUUUUUGAUCAAGCUAAUGAUAAUUUUGCUAGAAGCUCGACUUGACCAUUAGCCUAAGCGUAAUAAGGUGUUGAGUAGAUCAUUUUAAUCCCUCUUGAUUUUGUGCAACACCUCUUGGCCUGUGAACAUUGUUUCCUAAUCAGCCGUUAUAGAUUCAGGGAUUUCAAAUCGAUAAAUGAUACGAUUUUCGAUAAAUUUCUUCACUGUCUUUUAUGUAACAUUUUUGUAUGAGGCUGCUUCAACCCAUUUUGUAAAGUAAUCGAUGGCAACCAAAAUAAAGCUAUGCUUCUUCAACAAAGGAGGAUAUAUUUUUCCUAUUAUAUCCAUAGCCCAGCCCCCAAAGUGGCCAAGGUUCGAUAAUAGGUUUCAUUACCGAUGCUGGCACAGGAUAGACAGGCCCAUGCUUCUAACAUGGUUCACAACCUUUAGCAUAAUCUAUGCAAUCUUGAGUAAUUGUUGGCCAGAAAUAACCAUGUUGAAGUGGCAACCAUUUCAUCCUUACUCCAGCUUGAUGUGCUCCACAUAUUACUUCAUGUACUUCAGCUAUUACUAACAUUGAUUCUUGUUUCCUUAAGCACCUUAAUAGUAAACCGUCUACAGUUUUUCGAUACAAUUGUCAUCAAUCAACAAAUGCUUAAUUGCUUUUCUCUUGAAAUUUUUGUCAUUGACAACUGGAUUCUUCAAAUAUUCGAUGAACCGGUUUCUCCAAUCUUGUUUUCCUGUGUUAUUGUUUUGAUUCUCUAUCAUCAUCACUCGAUUGUCUAUCGACGGCAAUACUUUGACUUAGGUGACAAUGUGGUUAGCGAGUUCUUUGGAUAUUUUAUACCGGAAUGCCAUUUGAGCUAAUUCAUUGGCUUCCGAAUUCUCAUUUAAUCUAAUAUGGACCAAGUCGGAAUCAGCAAAUGCUUUAAUAAUUCAUUUGCCAUCGUGUGAUGAGACAUGAUAUUUUUAUUAAGGCAUUGGUACUCUCCAAACAAUCGUUUUAUUACUAGCCGGGAGUCGCCUUUUAUUGUAACAAGUCGGGCUUUCAUGUCAGCUAAUAUAUUUAGCCCAACAAUUAAAGCAUCAUAUUUAGGAUGAUUAUUUGAACGCUCAAAAUCAAACUUGAACAUAAGCUUGGUUUUUUGUCCCCACGGAGAUAGCUCCUGCUGAUCCAAAUGCACUGGAACCAUCAAAAUAUAACGUCCAGGGAACCACUUAAGUGCAAUUCUCGCCUCCAACCUCCUUCUGAAUGCAUGAAUAUUUUGUAAUGAAGUCUGCCACUACCUGAUACUUCACUGCAUUGAGCUGUAAAUAAAUCAAAUUGAUUUCUGACAAUGCAAACGCCCACUUAACAUGUACUUAAUUACGUCUAUUUUACAUAUUACAUGUACCGUAAUAGGCAACUUAUAAUGACGUAAUUUAGUACAGGCAUAGUACAAGGACAGACAUAGUUUCUCGAUGGGAGUUUAUCUUGUCUCAACAUCAUUUAGCAUCUGGCUUAAAUAAUACACUGCCUGCUCUUUUCCCUCGUCAAUCUCUUGUGUCACCAUAUAUCUUAUUGGUAGUAUCGGUCACCGAGUAUUCCUUUAUUUGGUCAAAAGCACGGUAAUGCGUGUCUUCCCAUACAAAUUCUUCUUGAUUCUUUAGCUUCAAAAUGUGGGAAAAAUACUUCAAUUUUUCUAGACAAGUUAGAAAUAAACCGACGUGAGAAAUGUAUCUUCCCUAUUAUCAUUUGAAGCUAUUUUUUGGUAGUAUGUGGCGAUAAUUCCAGAAUAGCUCUUGCUGUGUUCCAAUCUAUUUCGAUUCCUCUUUGAUUGACUAGGAAUCCUAGAAAAUUACCAGCUCUAACACCAGCACAUUUCAACGGGUUCAUUUUCAAUUUAAAUUUCCGCAUUCUAAGGAAAGCUUUUUCUAAAUAAUUUAAAUGACUUAUCCGGUCUAACUUGGUGAUGACGUCAUCAAUGUUCACUUCCAUAAAAUGACCGAUUAUGUCAUGAAAAGUGAAAUUCACAGCUCUUUGGUAUGUGGCUCCAGUGUUCUUCAGGCCAAAUGGCAUAAAAAGCUAUUCAAAAGUGCCAAUUCCUCCCGGACACUCAAACGCUAUUUUAUAGACAUAUUCUUCUGUUAUCAAGAUCUAAUUAAAUCCAGUAUACCCGUCCAUUAGAGACAUAAUCUCGUUUCCCGACACUAAGUCAACAAGUAUGUCGGCCAUUUUUUAUACUCAUCUUUAGGAGUGGCCACAUUCAGGUCAUGAAAAUCGAUAAACUCUAAGGUGCAUAUGACAAAAUUUUUGUUUCUCUAUUUCUUUAUUUUGUUAUUUCCCGAAACAAGUUUGGAAUAGAAAUAAGUUUAGUAACACAAUUUCAUAUUUUAUUUUAUUUUUGGAACAUAUUUUUAUUCUAGAAAUGAAUUUAGAGCAGAAAUUAGAAGUUAAAAUUUUUAGCUUUUCUAUUUCUAGAACAAAAGUGAGAAAUGAAAACUUGUCUCAUUGUUCGCUCUCGUUACCGCCUCCCGUGGAACAUUGGAUGCCUACUGCCCACCACCAGAUGCUGACCACCGUCCAUCAAUUCCAACCGCCGGCCAUCACACCCUAGAAAUAGAAUUUUUAUUCAAUUAUUAAACAAAUUUCUGUUCUAGAAACAUAAAUUUUGAAUAGUUAGGGGUGCAUGACAAACUGCAAUUUCUGUUCCAGAAACAAUUUUUCUAUUCCAGACUUGUUUCUGGAAUAGAAAUUCGUUUGAUAAACUUAUCCCAUUUUUUUAUUUUUUUAUUUUAUUUCUGAGAUAGAUUCUUGUUCCAAAAAUAGGUUUAGAAUAGAAAUCAAAAGUAGAAAUUUUCUACUUCUCUAUUUCUGGAAUAGAAAUGAGAAAUAAAAAUUCUUUUCAUUGUUCGUCAACCAGUCCUUCAUCUGUAGUCGUUGACCACCGUCCGUCGGUUGUCGGCUGCCACCGGUCGCCGGUCGCAGGCCGCCACUAGUUGCCGAUCGCCAGCCGCCGCCGAUCGUUGUCCACCGCCGUCCGAAAAGAAAAAAAUUUGUGUCGUUAUCAAAUGAAUUUCUAUUUUUAGAGUAAAAAUUUUGUGUCGUUAUCAAAUGGUUAUUUUUUCUUACAAAUUCUUCUAAAAAUAGAAAUAGAAAAAUCUAUUUCUCUUGUAGAACCUAUUUCUGGAACAAAAUGGUUAUCAUUCACUCCCUUAUUAAACGUGUUUCUUUGCUCAGAAACUCAUCCAAUGAAUAGAAAUUGAUUUUUGUUCUAGAAAUUUUAUCAUACGCGCCAUAAACUUCCCAUUCUUCUUCUUAACUGACAUUAUGUUUGAGUGUCAUACAAUAUAUCACAUAGUUCUUAUAAAGUCUGCUACCCGUAGUCAUUCAAUCUCCUCUUUAAUUUUUUGAAUGACUUCUAGAGCAAGUGGCCUUGGUGCUCGUUUAUGUGGUCUGAAACCUCUGUUAAUUGGCAAUUGAAGCUCUACUACAUCUCUACCCAAUCCUAACAUUUCAUGAUAGUUCCAAGGAAAAGAGUCUUUGUAAUUUUCCAGUAAGCCUAUCAAUUGAGUUACAUAGAUGGGUCGACGAUCCACAUCGUUACCAAGAUUAACUUCAUCCAAAGGGUCUUAGGCCUCAAUUACUUUGAUGUCUUUCUUUAUGGGCGAUUCUUCAAACUCAAAUAUCCCAUUGAUAGCUUUAGGGUGCGCAUGACAAAAUUUCUGGAACAGAAAUUGAUUUCUCAAGUUAAAAAUUUUAAUUUCUGAUUUCUUCUUCAAAUCUAUUUCUGGAAUAGAAAUAUGUUCCAAAAAUAUAAAAAUCAAAUUGCGUUGUCAAACGAAUUUAUGUUUUAAACCUAUUCCGGGAAACAGAGAAAUAGAGAAAUAGAGAAGUAGAAAUUUUAUCAUGCGCGUCUUAAUUAGUAAACUUCUCGGCUUGUGCGGCCCUAUAAGCUGCGUACCUCCUAAUGAGGUCUUUUGAUAACAUAAAUUUCUCCAUACAUAGCCUUAUUUAAUUGUCCUGCCAGUUCAAACUUGGGGACCUACUCAAUAUUUUCCUCGUCGAAAUAGCAGAACAUGAUAUUCACGGUAUCAAUUUAUGGGGAUUUGCUAAUGCACCCAUUGUCCUUUAAUACCCCCGGCGACUUUUCGUUGUUUCCAAUGCAUGUGCCCAAGUCACAUGUGAUCGAAGAUUAGCCUUGACAUACUCAACUUUGUCUCCAUUCUAGAUUGCCAAUAUUUGAUGUAAUGUUGAAGGCACACAUUAGUCCCGUGGAUCCAUUCUCUUCCUAAUAAUAGAUUGUAUAAUCCAUCAACGUCGAGGACACAGAAGGAUGUCCUUGAGGUUUUGGAUCCAAUCGUUAAGUCAACAAUGAAUAUUCCUUUGACUUAUGAAACCUCUCCGGUAAAGUCUGAUAGUUGGAUCAUUAAGCAGAGAGACAGCAAUGGAGGGAUAGGCGCCAGCUGUCAUGCACAACCCUCCAGACCACACAAGACAGGUUAUGAAAGCGGACCAAACAGAGGAGAACAAUCAGGCUUGUACAGACGGAAGGAAAGGAACAUCGAGGAGAAGAGAGACACGGACGGAGGUUUCAUUCUAUAUUCGCGACCCUCCCGAGGCAAAUCUGAGGAAGUUUGACAGAUUGUCAACCCGUGCGGAAGAUCCCUCUCGCAAGGCGGUGCUUGCACUUGUCACGGACUCUCUCAAGCUUUAUUGAGCUCAAGUUGAUUUUUUCGCUGUAUUGUGCCAUUUGUUCUUAAGAACCGCCGCUAAUCUAUUAUGAACCGAAUAAGGGCCAAGUAAAAUGCGAGAUAUCAUUUUACUUUUGGACACAUAAGUAACUAAGUACAAGAGACUCCGCCAAAAUUCCAGGCCAAUCCCAUCGCUUGAUUAUGCUAGAAAUUAUCUAAUACCCAAUUUGGUAUAUUUUUUCUUCAAUGGAAAAACGUUUUGCAAUCUAUCAUUCAUUCAUUCAUUCUUCUUCUUCUUUUUAAUAUUUUCACAAAACAUGAAAAUCUAGAUCAUCAUGCAAGAGUUCUCAAACAACAAAAACACACCGAUAAUCAAAUAAAACAAAACAAUAAACAUAAAUAAAUUGUGGUAAAAGAAAGGAGGACAUUUGAAGUACCGGAAGUUUGUAUCGGAUCAUUUAAGUGCCAAUUUUUUUGAAAAACGAUCAUUUUAGUGUCAACUUUGAUAUGUUUGACUGAAAAUCCAAUGUGGCUUUCUUUUUUUAUUAGUUUCUUAAGCCGACAUGGCCCGCCGAAGGAUCCGGUCAACAUCCAAACCAUAAAAUGACGUCAUCUAGCAACUUUCCCUUGUAUAAGAAUCCUAAAUCCCUAAAUUGAAGGAGAACUCCUAAUUUCAAAUCCUAAUUGGCCAUCGAACCAAAAUUCACAUCCUAUUUUGGUUUGCCCCCCAAAAUUUCCAGAUUAAAACAACGGCGACUCAAAUUAAGCCUUAAUUUUUCUAGCCGAUCGAGUAAGGGAGAGAAGAUGACAAACCUAUGUGAGCAACAGUCACAAUGACGGUACAUGAGUGACGGCCAAUCAACGAGGAGGAGUAGCUCGUAGUGUCAUGCAAGAAGAGGAACUCAAAGGCCCAAUUUUGAUCCACUUUGUGCGAUGUCGUUUCUUUUGACCGAGCCACGUAGGAUGGAACUCUGAUGUCGUUUUUGACGUGUACGUGGACUUAAUUUUUACAAAUUAUGCCACGUCAUUUCUUUUAAUUAAAAAAGCUACUUAAUCAAUUUGGUUAGAAUAUCUAGUCAUUGGCACUUAAGGCUCUGUUUGAUAACGUUUCUAUUCCUAAUUUUUGUUUUUUUCUUCUCUAGAAUAAAAAAAAAAAAACAGAAAUCCAUUUGGUAACAUUAAUUAACUUUUUAUUCCCAAGAAUAGAAAAGUGACCGGGGAAUAGAUUUGAAACAAAAACGAAAAGUAAAAAAAAAAAAGAAAGUAGAUUCUUGUUCCUAGGAACAAUUUCUAGAAAUAAGUUAUUUUUUCUUUUCUUUUUCUAUUUUCUUCUUCCUUGCUGCCCCUCACCCCUAGCUAUUGCCCGUGCUAUUUGGCCACCAUCGCCCACUAGCUCGCCCUCGGUGGUCAACCGCCACCCCACGGAUCGCCGCUCAUGGCUUUGCCACUCGCUAACCACCGCCUCUUACCGCUUGUCACAAGCUGACCGCCUAUCACCGUAGCCAAUUGUUGCCGAUUGCCCCUCCCCACCUGUCAACUGACCACCACUUGCCGGUUGACCGCCAACCACUAACUGCCGUUGCUGCUCGCCACAACCCACCGCUGCCGCCUGCCACAACCCAUCGCCAAUGAUCCAUUGAGGCUGCCGCCCAUUGGCUGCUGUCGCCGCCCAUUGGUUGCUGUCGCCACCACCACCAUUGUCGAUGAUUGUCAACGCCGCCAACCGUUGACUGCUACCACCCAUUGUCAAUGAUUGUCAAUGCCGCCACCGCCAAUGACUGUUGCCAUUGCUUGCUGAUCGGCGGUCGAUUGCGGUAGUCAGCGUCGUUAGCGAUCAUCAACGACUGGGUCAGCAGUGAGUGACGAUGGUUGAUGGUGGUGGUUGGCGGCGGUAAGGAAGAAUAAAAAAAAUUAAAAGAAAUUUUACAUUACAAAAAAUUUUGCGAAUCGUACCAAACGUAUUCCUAUUCUUUUUUCAUUCCAAAAAUAGAAAUUUUAUAUGGUUACCAAACACAUUAUUUUAUUGAGAAAUUGUUCUGAGGGAUAGAAAUAGAAAAGACUAUUUCUAGAAAGAAAUUGUUUCUCGGAACAGAAACGUUACCAAACGGACUAUAAAUGAUCGUUUUUUCUUCGAUUUGGCACUUAAAUAAUCCGGCGAAAACUUAUAACACUGAAGGGAGUAUCGCAUAUAACUUUUGACAUUUUUAGUAUACUUCUCCAAACAGUAAAAUACAGAUUUUGAGCCAUGUCGGGCAACAUUGCCUUAUUAUCAAGCUUAGGACAGGACUCGUGGGCUCUACCUGGUAUUAAACAUGCAAUUAGUCAAGGUUAAGGAAUGCAAAUUUCUCUAAACUUUGAUAAUAAUGAAAUUUUAAACCUACUAGAUUGAAAUUAAAUUUAAAAUAAGCUAAAUCUUAUGAUGCAAUUCUAACCUAAUUGCAGUUUCAGGUUUUUUAUCUUUUGCAUUUCCAUUUUUUUUAUGUUUUCCUUUUUGUAAAAAACAAACUAGAAUCUUAAUCAAGCUAGUUAAGUGCCGGAAGAUAACAAACUCGAUAGAAGGCUAAGAAUAGAAUUUAAACAUGACGUAAACGUGCAGAUCGACCCGGAAAUGAUGCCAACUGCCAACUAGCAGAAGGGCGACCUCAGACCGCUUGAGGUACUCCGCAAGGCCGAGACAAGAGCUGGACGGCGGGUCAUUGGACGGUAUUUAUAUAUUAAACAACACCAAAACAAUCACUAACACGUUGUAGGGUAUGUAGAAGCGUUGUUGUGGUAACAUGAGAGAACUAUAAUAGAUGACUAAACACACACCCGAUAUGCUAGACUGCAUUACAAAUAUAACACUUAGAAUAAUCAUUCGAACACAAAUAUUACAAUAUACUUCUCUCUUGACACAUACAAAAUACUCACAACAAACUAGCUGAUACAAGCACAUACACUCAGCUUUUCUAUUUUCCCUUCUCGCUCACGAAGGGAUGACUCACUCACACAGACCAACUUUCUAUAGGCUGCGGUGCCUUUCUCUCUUGAAGUUCACCUUCGCACUUGGUGACUUCCUAUUCCGAAGCUCUCAUUGCUGGAGGCUUUCCCUAAAGCUCACAUACGUGCGGCUUCCCUGAAGCUCAUCUUUGCACCUGGUGGCUUCAUCUCUGGCCUGAGGUUCUCCGCCUGCGUGUGGCAUGAGGACCUCUCCCUAGCCUAAGGUUCUCUCUUUGACGUUCUCCGCGGUGGCUUGAGGCUAUUAAGCCUAAGGCCCUCACCUAGCCUAACUUCAAACGCUUCACCUCUAAGUCUUAUAUAAAGGCUGAGUUUUCACCUCUUUCAUUGGCGACUUUAGGAUGAAAGGAUCUGCCGCAACUUUUUCUUCAAGUCCAAGUACAAGUUAGCAAGUUGAACCUUGCUUUCUUUCUUCUUUUGACUGCUCUUUCACCAAUUUGUCAACAAUUGUGGGCUGCAUGUCCAGUAGUCGACUGCAUGGAGAAUGGACUUCUUUUUCUUCUUCUUGCAGACUUUCUGUAGAAUUCUCACGUGUGCAGUGGAGAAUUCUUUCUUUGCUUUCUUCAUGCUUGCGGCUUCUUGUUUUCAUAUUAGGUGUUGACUCCAACAGACGCCUCGACAUAUCUACGGGCCAUUGGGGCCAAUGAAGGCCAACCCAAGACAAUGCAAAAGUAGAUUUAGAAAAAAAAAAAAAAAAAGACUGCUAAACAACCCUUAUUCAGCAUGCCAAUAAAUCUGGACAGUAAGGGUGUGCAUGAUAAAAUUUCUACUUCUCUAUUUCUCUAUUCCGGAAAACAGGUUUGGAACAGAAAUUCAUUUGGUAAUGCAAUUCAAUUUUCUAUUUCUGGAAUACUUCUAUUCCAGAAAUAGAUUUGAAGAAAUCAUAAGCUAAAAUUUUUAACUUCUCAAUUUCUGAAAUAGAAAUUGAGAAAUCAAUUUCUGGCUAGAAAUUAAUUUUUGUUCCAAAAAUUUUGUCAUUCGCACCCUAAGUAUCGACGCACUCUUUGAGUUUGGGAACAUAUUAUAAUAAAAACACUUCCCCGAGGUAUGAUUUAGGGUUAUUAUUCAUUAAAGAGGAGGCCUUUUUUUUUUUUUUUCUAAAGGCUUGUACCAUGCUUGGGGGUUCAAAGGAAGUCUAUUGCCCCAUGGAUUUAGAGGUGUAUGGCUGGCCAAGGAGAUCCCAUCUUGGACUAAUUUGGUUCAAAUUUAAGGUGCCAUUGUUUCCCUAUCUGGUAUACCUAAAAAUAGCCUCAUUUGCUCGUUCAAUCUUUUCCUAUUGAAUCACCACCACAUGAGGGAGGGUUAACGAUGUGAAACAAAACGGGUGAUUAGAGGGUGGUCAUUAUUUGAACGAAUUUUGAAAUUAAAUGACGAUGGGCAUAGAAAGAUGAGAUACAUGAAUGCGAGUCCAUGCAAGGUGCAAUAUGCGAGUUCAUGCAAUAUCGAUGCUUUUGGUUAGGGAUCAAAUUCUGAAAGUAUAUGAUCCCUAAUUUUCUUAUGAAAUGCACAAAUAAUUUGUGAGCAAAAAUUUAGUUGUCAAUAUUAUAUUUAAAUUGAAAGAAGAACCGAAAAAGAUGAGUAGCAUGAAACGAAAAAUCAAUGGAAAAAUCAACGAUGUCACUGAAGUCCAAAUGCAAAGCAUCCUUUUCCUUCAGAUAGCCUAUGACCGCUUUGAUUUUGGCAGGGGAAUUCAUAAACUUGAUCUAGAAAUGAGGAGACACGUGUUAACUGAGAAUGAGAAUCUAUUGGUACCUCAGUAGCCUCUCAAAUUAUGCUGAAUCUAGAUGGGAAUUCAUUUCUGCUGUGACCAAUCAUAAAAGUGAUGCAGUUUUCUAAUUGACCAAUUUGCCAAAAAGUUGCAUAUACUGGAGCCCUUAAAAAUUUUGCCAUCUGGAAUUUGAGAAAAAAAUCUGUUAGAGAAAACUUCUUAACUGUUUUUGUUUUGAAGUUGACAAAACCUUUCCAAAAGUCUAGUCUAAAGACUUGCAGACUCAAAUGUUAUAGUAUGAAGAACUCCAGACUCUACUGUCAAAGUCUGAAGACUGCUAGACUUUAAUCUCAAAGUCUGACCAUAAUGACAGGUUCCAGACCGAAGAGUGAAGACUUAUCCAGAUGCAUGUUUAUUUUAAAGGAUUUGGUUCAUAUGGUUUGUAGAAUAUCUUAUGACUGGAUAUAGCAUCUUAUGAUCAAUUAUUCUUAUUGGAAUCAAUUUGGAUAAUCAUAUCUCUUGAAAGGUGAAGUAUACUUGGAAGAUUCUACUUAUGAAAAUCUAGAUCCUAAUUGUAUGGGCGAGCAGGAUUGAUGGACUUUCAUCACAUUCUUAAAAUGACUCGAGAUCUCCUUAAUUGAUUUUGUCCAAUAGGUAGAUUGGAAGAACUCCUUUGGAAAGUGCCAACGAUAGUGAAGGCAUGAAGGAGUAUUUAAGGCAGACUCUCCAGUUGUUCGAUGUAGUGUGUGAAAGAAAAAUUUCAAAGUUUGAAGCUUCCAAUUCUUUGCUAUUUCAAUUGUCGAGUUUAACUUGUACACAAAAGAGAGAGCAAACACUUGUGAGACUUUGGAAGAGUGUAGUAGAGUUUUUACACUAUGAAGUCAAGGACGUGAGACUGUAAAAUCUUUUUUGGUUCAUAGUGAAAUCCAGCCGGUAGGCUCUCAGUGCGGAAGAGUGGAUGUAGGCUUGAUCUAAACCGAAUCACUAUAAACCUUGUGCUUCUAUUCUCUUUCUCUGAACUUUUUACUUUAAUUCGUAGCUUUAUAUAACUAUUUAUAAUUAAUUACAUCUUCAGUCUAUUAUCUUCUAAAAGCAAUUCACUUUCAUUAAGUCUUACAAAAAUUUCUUUUAACACAUAUUCACCCCCUAGGUGUUCUUACUAGCCCUUUCAAUUGGUAUCAAAGCCGGUGUGCUCAUUUUAUUGAAGUGUUUUUACUUCUGAGUUAAAGAUCUAUGGCUAGUAUUUUGGCUUCAGGUUUGAUUGAAGGCCAAAGCAACACCAGACCUCCUUAUUUUUAUGGGAAGGAAUACAAUGCAUGGAAAAACAAGAUGAAGGCAUUCCUGAGAUCGAAAGAUCCCCCAGAAUGGGACAUAGUAGAAAAAAAGGGAUUAUUCCCAAAGCUACAUCCAUCUCAGAAAGAGGAAAAAAAGUUGCAGACGUUGUCGAAAUGGCACAAGAAGAAAUAACCAAGAGACAAGCUCUUGAUGCUAAAGCCAUUUACUCUUUAUACUGUGCCUUAUCUCUUACUGAGUAUAACAUAAUUUUAUUUUGUGAAACAACCAAAGAAGUCUGGGAUAGGUUGCACGUUACCUAUGAAGGAACUAAUUGAGUUAAAGAAACAAAAACCAAUAUUCUACUCGGACAGUAUGAAGCCUUCGAGAUGAAGCCGGGAGAAUCUAUCAUUGACAUGUUUAGUCAUUUUAUAGAGAUUGUAAACGGUAUAGCAUAUCAAAGACAACCAAUCUCAGGACCAAUGAAGGUCAAUAAAUUGCUGCGUGGACUCUCCAAAAACUGGAAUCACAUUAUGACUUUAAUAAGAGAAACCCAAAGGAUCAUGCCGCUCUCUGUAGAUGAACUAGUUGGCACACUUCAAUCAUAUUAAGUGGAGCAAAUCAAUGAGGAAGAAGAUCCUAAAGGUAAAAAGUUAAUUGCUUUAAAAUCUAAUGACGAUUCUGAUACAGAUUCAGAAGAUGAUAUAGACGAUGAAGAACUAGCACUCGUGAUAAGGAAAUUCAGAAAAUUGAAUAGAAAGAGAAGAAAAUUCAAACUGGAAGAAGCAAUGCACUCAAAAGUUUUAUGAAAAAUUAACCGAGGAUGAUGAAGUCAACAAAGAUGUGAUCUUCUUUGAAUGCAAGAAAAAUGGGCACAUCAGACCCAACUUUCCUUUGUUGAAGAAAAAGAAAUGAAGAACUGAGAAAUACAGAAAUGCUCUCAAAGCAGAGACAUGGAGCGAUACUAAAUGCGAAGAAAGUGAUGAAGAAUAUGCCAAUAUAUGUCUAAUGGAAAAUUCAGAAUCAAACUCAGACUCUGAAACAGAUUCAGAUUCAGACUCAGACAAUGGAAUCGAGGUUAGUAAUUUAAAAAUUCCUACUAAAGUCUCAAAGUACAUAGAUGAAUUUUGUCUCAGUCUCAAAACCUCUCUUAAAAGGAUUUCCGAGCUGAAGAGGGAGAAUUCUAUGCUUAAGCAACAUGAAACUUCUUGGAAAGAAAAGUUUGAAAAUCUAGACAAAAAUUUUGUCAAUUUGAAAGAAAAUGCAGAUUCUCUUUCGAAGGAAAAUAUUUUUUUUGAAAGAUGACAUUUCAAAUAUUACAAAAAGGUUUUCAAUAGGAUAUGAGAAAUUAGAAAAGAUUCUUUCGGUACAAAGACCUUAUUUCAAUAAAUUUGGUUUGGGUAUGAUACCAGAAACUAUUCAUUUAAUUGAUUUUCCAAAAGUAAAGGAAAGAAUCAAACAAAGACCUACAAAAACAUUUUACAGAAAUCAUUUUCAAAGAGUUUUUAUAAAACUUGUUGGCCGAAGUGCUCUCAAAUGCUCAAAGUGUAACGGCUUAGAACAUUUUGAGAAAGAAUGUCCCAUGGUUUGGAGAUCUGUUAAGAAGGAUUUGGCAGAGAUUAUAUUUAAAACUAACUCUCCUAGAUCCAAGAAAAUCCGGGUACCAAAUAAAUCUUGAUUUCUUUUUGUAAUUGCAGGUUACUAUUAAGAAAAAGAUCAAGUGGUAUUUGGAUAGUGGCUAUUCGAGACACAUGAUAGGAGAUUCAACUGUUUUAUAAAGCUUGUGCAAUUAAAUGGUGGAAAUAACAAAGGAAGAAUUGUUAGAUGUGGAACUGUGAAAAUUAGAAGUCUCACAAUCAACAAUGUUUCCUUGGUAGAAGGAUUGAAUUACAAUCUGCUCAGCAUUAGUCAACUGUGUGACACUGGAUUUAAAAUCAAUUUCUAAGAGGGAAUUUGUUCGGGAACUAGUAAAGAUUUUUCUCAAUCUUUCACUGGAUGAAGACAUUGGAAUAUUUAUCUUCUGGACAUAAAAUCAGAAAGCUCUCAGUGUCUAAUAUCCAUUCAAGAUGAAGCAAACCUUUGGCUUCGAAAGCUUGGCCAUGUUAAUAUAAAGCAGAUUGCCAAGAUCUCCCCUAAGAAAAUUGUUCGUGGACUUCCUAAUUUGACUUAUCAAAAAUCUAAUCUAUGCACACCAUGUGUUUUGGGAAAACUUGUUAGAAGUUCUUUCAAAUCUAUAAAUCAAGUUUCUACUAAUUGAGUUUUGCAGCUUCUACAUAUGGAUCUCUUUGGACCAACCAGAACUCAAAGCAUUGGUGGAAAGAGAUACUGCCUAGUAAUCGUGGAUGAUUAUUCUUGUUUUACUUAGGUUUACUUUUUGGCAAGUAAGUUUGAAACAUUUUCUCACAUUUCAAAGUUUGUCAAGAAAGUUCAGAAUGAGAAAGGUUAUGCUAUUUCAAGCAUAUGGACAGAUCAUGGAGGUGAGCUUCGUUAAAUUGUGUGAUGAAUCUGGUUUCCAGCAUGUUUCUCUUGUUCAUAUACUCUAGCACAGAAUGGGGUUGUGGAAAGAAAGAAUAAAUUUUUGCAGGAGAUGACAAGAACCCUUUUAAUUGAAAGCAAUAUUUCUUCUCGAUUUUGGGCUGAAGCAGUUUCUACAGCUUGCUAUAUUAUUAACAGAGUAUUUUUAAGGCUUAUUUUAGAGAAAACUCCUUAUAAAGUAUUUAAAGGGAAAAAGCCAAAUGUUUCUUAUUUUCAUGUGUUUGAUUGGAAAUGUUUUGUUUUGAAAAACGCAAAUGAUUGAACUGGUAAGUUUGAGGAAAAAUCAGACAAAUUUUUUUUCCUUGGCUACUCAACCUUAAGCAAAGCCUAAAGAAUAUUCAACAAGAAGACUCAGUCUAUGGAAGAGUCUAUGAACGUCAAAUUCCAAGACUCUAUGUAGAAUCAACUGAAUCAAAAUCAACUUGAAGAAUCUGAACCUACUCUAGACCUUACAAAGUCUACUUCCCCUGAAGUGGUUUAGACUUCUGAAGAUCAAUAACGAAUAGAAAUUGAAGACUCAACUAAAGUAGAAGAUUAACAGACUAUCAGACCAAACGGUAACUAGAAGCAUAAGUCUAGUCAUCCCAAAAAACUCAUCAUCGGCAACAUUGAUGAAGGGAUUCGCACCGGAUCCAAAAGGCGAGAAGAGUCUAGCGCUCUAGCACUUAUUUCUGAGAUAGAACUCAAAAGCAUAGAAGAAGCCUUAGCUGACGAAAGUUGGAUUGAACCUAUGCAAGAAGAGUUCAGACAGUUCAGCAUCAAUGAUGUUUGUGAACUAAUUCAUAAACCAAAAGGUAAAUCUAUUAUUGGAACUAAAUGGAUUUUCAAGAACAAAAUGGACGAGAAAGGAAAAGUAGUCAGAAACAAAACAAGACUCGUGGCCAAAGGAUAUACGCAAGAAGAAAUGAUAGACUAUGAUGAGACCUAUGCACCAGUGGCAAGGUUAGAAGUAAUUAGAUUAUUUCUUGCUUUUACUUAUUAUAAAAAUUUCAGGUUAUUUCAAAUGGACAUCAAAAGUACAUUCCUCAAUGGAUUUAUCUAAAAAGAAGUCUAUGUGGAAUAACCACCUGGAUUUGAAGAUCCAAAAAGGCCAGACUCAGUCUUCAGAUUGAAAAAGGCCCUAUAUGGAUUAAAGCAAGCACCUUGAGCCUGGUAUGACAUGUUAAGUAAAUUUCUAAUUCAAAAUGGUUUUGUUAAGGAAAUGUGAAUACUACUUUGUUCAUUAAAAGAGAAGGUAAAGAUUUUUUACUUGUUCAAAUCUAUAUUGAUGAUAUUAUCUUUGGAUCACCUAAUGAAAAUCUAUGUAAGAAGUUUUCUAAUUCUAUGCAAGAUGAAUUUGAGAUGAGCAUGAUGGGUGAAUUAACUUUCUUUCUCGGACUACAAGUCAAACAAUUGAAGAAAUGAACUUUCAUCCACUAAGAAAAAUAUGCAAAAGAUCUCAUCAAGAAGUUCGGAUUGGAGAAUUGCAAAAAGACUGAUAUACCAACGUCAAGUUCUUCGAAGCUAGAUAAAGAUGAAGGAGGAAAGAAAGUUGACUAUAAGCUUUACAGGAGUAUUAUUGGUUCACUUCUUUAUCUUACUACUUACAGACCUAACAUUUUGUUUAGUGUUUGUAUUUGUGCUAGAUUCUAAUCAGAUCCCAAAGAAUCUUAUCUAAGUGCUGUAAAACAGAUCAUCAAAUACAUUACAACUACUUCAAAGCUAGGUCUGUGGUAUUCCAAAGAAUGAGACUUUACUCUUCUUGGAUAUUUAGACGUAGAUUUAGCAGGUUGCAGAGUCAAUAGAAAGAGUACUUCAAAUACUUGUCAACUGCUGAGCAACAAGCUGGUGUCUUGGUUCUCAAGGAAGCAGAGUACUGUAGCUCUUUCAAUAGUAGAAGCUGAGUAUGUUGCUCUAGGAAGCUGUUAUUCUCAAAUCUUGUGGAUAAAGUAACAGCUAAGAGACUUUGGAAUCGAAGACUUAUGCAUCGAGAUCAAAUGCGACAACACCAGUGCCAUCAAUCUCACAAAGAAUCCAAUUCUUUAUUAAAGAGCAAAGCACAUAGAAAUUCGACAUCAUUCAUUAGAGAUCAUGUUCAGAAUGGAGAAGUUAUGAUACAGUUCACUCGAAGAAUCAAUUAGCAGACAUAUUUACAAAGCCACUGGAGAAAAGUCUAUUUGAGUCUAUUCGCACCAGACUGAACAUCAUAUAUUUUAUUAAUUUAAGCCUGAAGAUGAUCAGACUCAAAACGACCAAAGGUUACAACUGUAAAUAAAUUUCUUCUUGUAAGUAAUUUAAUUUUAGGAAGAAAUUUUGAAAAGGUAUGUUUAUUUUUGAAUCGUUACUUAAUUAUCUUAUUUUUAGAAAUCAUCAUUUUCGAGUUUUGAAUUUAUGGCAGUUUUUUAUUUUCAAAAGGCAGUUAUUCAUACCACCGUCCAUAACGACGCAGCUGGCUUGGGCUCUCUCCCCCUCACGAAGGGGAGGAGUUCGAAUCAUAGAGGCGUCGUUAGGGAUUUUUACCUGGAGUACUGUGGUGGUCGGUCCUGCAGUCGCUCCCCCAGGGGUUGCUCGUCGGCUGUCAGCUUACUAAGUUCCCAAGGUUACCAAAAAAAAAAAAAAAAAUGGAAGUUAUUAAUUUUCAAAAAGGUAGUUUUUACUUUCUCCUUUACGACGAUUCGUAUACCCUGUUUCAUCUGCUUUCUAUACUGUCGGUUUUAUUCUUCUCCGUUUUUACUCACAAACCCUAGAAUAUAGAACUCCACUUUCUCACACUUUCCCUCUAGUUUAAUCCAAAAAGAUUUCAUUUUUUUUUUUUGCUGCGAUCGAGUUCAAGAAAUCUCCCAAAGAAAGUGACAAUGUCUUCCCAAAGAAAGUCUUCUAGAAUUGCGAGCAGGGGACCACAACAUAUGCGUGAGGGUCCUACGCACCUUGAUUUGACCGAGGAAGAAAAUUCUCCACAACAGCAGCAGCAAAGUCAGCAACAACAUUUUCAACCGCAUCACUCUUCUCAACCUAGGACUCAAGUUCCUUCACGGCAACAAGCAGAAAAGGAAAUCAUUGAAAAUGUUGAACCCGUAAGGACUCUUAAGCCCGAAUUUCUCUUUAAACUCUACUAUAAGUUAAAUGAGGGUGGUACUGCAAUAACUUUCAUUGAUGAGUUUUUUAGCGAGAAAUGGUACAUAAAUGAAACUCAUUUUUUGAGGACAAUGAAAAGUAUGGGCAUUGUGCCUGUUGGUUUGGCUACAAGGGCUUUUGUAAAUUUUCCAAGUGAUCCACGGUUUGGAUCCUUUAAUCAGCCUGAAGGGAAAGAUGACGAUGAAAGGAUGUUCACAAAUUUUCAACCUAGAAUAGGCAUCGCUGCAAAUGUUCGUAGUGAAAGAACAGAUCUUUUUCGUUCUAAGGACCACAAGAGAACUUAUUCAAAAUUACUGAAGCGAGGGGUGAUGAACCCUAGAAGUGUGGACUUUGAUUUUCUUGAUUCGUUAAAAGUGAAACUGAGGGAGAAGUUUGCACUUCUUCGACUCGAACGAUUUUGCUCUGAGACGACUAUUGCUUACCCAGAACUUACAGCUUACUUCUAUUCAAAUCUAUCCUUUUUAGAUGUGAAUAGAUUCUCUUUUAUUAUUAGGGACAAAGAAUUUGUGGAUUACCAGCCGCUUAAUCUUUUCCUUCAAGAUGAUAAAUUCCCUUUACCUUCCAAAAACUCCAUUUUUGCUAGAUUAUCUAAGGCCCAAAUCUACUCCAAAUUUGAUCUCAAAGCCGAAUUUUGGCAAUUUGACAUUCAUCCUGAUGAUAGACCCAAAAUAUGGUUAUGUAUCCCAAACCAGCAUUUUCAUUGGAAAGUUCUUCCUUUUGGUUUAAAGGUUGCUUCAUCAUUAUUCCAAAAGGCCAUGUGUCGAAUUUUCCAGCAAAACCUGUCAAGCGCAACAGUAUACAUCGAUGAUAUCUUGCUCUACAGUUCUGAUGAGCAAUCACACUGCCAAAUUCUUGAGCAGUUCGCAGAAAUUGUGAAAAAGUAUGGAAUCAUGCUUUCCCAAAGAAAGAUGAAUAUUGCCCAGACAUAAAUUGAAUUUCUUGGUAUGCAUCUUAACAAAUGGACAUACUAUCCAGGGCCACACAUUACUUAAGAAUUGUUGAAAUUUCCUGAAGAGAAUUUUACAAGAAAACAAGUUCAAUACUUUCUUGGGAUAAUUAAUUAUCUCAGAGACUUUGUUCCAAAUAUUACAAAAUUGCUGAUUCCAUUGUAGACAAUGAUGAAAAAUAAUUUCCCACCUUAGGGAAAAUCUUAGACGAAAGCAGUCGCUAAACUUAAGGAGAUUAUGCAGGCUCUUCCUCCGUUGCAAAUCCCAUCAACAGGAAAGAGAAUUCUCCAGACUGAUGCCAGUGAUGAAUACUGGGCCACCAUCCUGUUUGAAGAAAUUGAUGGUAAGAGGCAUCUGUGUGCCUACAUAAGUGAAAAUUUUUCUCAAGCUAAAAUGCAUUAUCAUUCCAUUUUAAAAGAAAUUUUGGCAGUAAAAAAUUGGAUAAAAAAGUUUAAAUUCCAUCUCAUUGGCCAUCACUUCCUAGUAUAAUUGGAUAUGGCAUCUUUCCCUUAGAUGACCAAAUUCAAACAAAAGCAAGUUCCAAAUUCUCAACUGCUUCGAUGGGUUGAAUGGUUUUCAAAAUACUCUUUUGAAACCAAACAUAUUGCCGGGAAGAAAAAUGUGCUUGCUGAUUUCUUGUCAAGACCAAAAGCACCAGCAGAAAUCAAUAUGUACGUCAUGAGGCAUGCUUUUCAUAUGCUUCACCAUGGUGAGAAAUACAAGAUUGAGAAGAUAAAAGACUAGCCAAGCUGGCGAUACCCCCAGGAGAUCAUUGAGCAAAUCCAGAAAGACAGACUUACUGAAAAUCUGGAUAAACUCAUGUGGCAAUGCCACACAGAUCUGUUCAGAUUUAAUGGAGGUUCGAUUCUUUACCAUUUCGAAUUAAAUGCAAAUAAUGGUACUUAACCAAUAAGUACUUAAUAGCUAUUGAAAUUCCAACCAGAAGAUUCAUUGCUAACCUCACCAGGAUAUUUGGACUCGGCAUAGGAAAAAUUGAAAAAGAGUGAUAAAAACCUUUUAGAUUUCCUAACUGGUUUUAUCUUCCCACUCACUAGAAAUGACUCUUGCAAAAAGAACUAAGAACCACACAACCAAACCCUGAGGUCCAUACUAUUUUGUUCUUUCGACGACCAUGGGCUUUUCUAACAAAUAAUGACAACAUCAUCAAUGCCCCCUGAGUAUAGGUACCUCAUCCUAUAAACAUGUUCCACUCAAUGCAGAAGCUUGAGUUCACAAGUCCUAUCCAGGACCCGUUGGUUACUAUGAACACCAGUAUCGAGAACUCUAGAGAAUCUUAUACUAGGAAAACAAAACCAUGUACCUACCGCAUGGGAUCAUUAUGACCUAGCAUCGGAAGCUAAUGAAGCACUCCAAGAAUUUAGACAAACUACAAUAUCACAGGAGUACGAAAUGGCAGACACAGAUGACACUGCACAGUCUUCUCAAGACCCCUACGCUAAAUGGGGAGGUCAUCUCUCUCAAAAUCCCUAUGACCAAGGACCUUUGUCCUUAUCUCAAGGCAUGGAUACAUAUUUCUAUGCACAGCCAUCCAAUUGGCCUCAGCCAAGCAUUCAUGCUGACACUAUAAACGAUGACAAUAUAGACUGGGCACAAGAGGAAGCAUCUACAUCCACAUCAUACCAGCUGAACCAGAUUUUCUCACCAGAUGAUCUUGAAGCACUUGAGCAGAAAUAUGAUGAACAUCUCCUAGCAACAGUACAUAGCUCAGAUGACUCGGGCUAUGACUACAAUGCUCAUGAUGGACGAGACCGCUGAACAAGACCACUGUCCGUAAAAUUUCACUAUAGCAAGUUACUGUUCACUUUUUUACUGUAGCAAUAGGCUAGGAAAAUCAUUGUUCACUGUCACUGUUCAUACCAUGCAAAUAAUUCCCUACUGAGAUUUUCGGAAGUCUCUGUUUGUUUCAGGACUCGUAAGCUCGGUCCUUGUUUGUGUGUGACUUCUUAUUGCCUAUAAAGGGCAAUGGUGAUGUAAUGUGCUGAACAAAGUCCCUUGAAGUAAAGUGAGUGUUUUGUGAAAAUUCUCUCUAUGGCUUUCUAAACUCCUCUUUUUCUCCAGCUUGGUAGGAUCCUCUGAGAAAUGCAGCUCGGAUAGUUAGAAAUGUUACAAUCCUGGUUCUAUCUGAGUGUCUCUAGGCUUUGAACUAAAGGGCAUAGUAGUUUCUUGCUAAAAGGUUGUCCCUGAGGGCUUGAACGGGAGUUGUUCACCCGCUGUGGGAAGGCAUACCUGCAAGAAAUUGACUUCGUCCUCCUUGGUUCUAAAUCUAAGUCCAUACAAUGGUAUCAACACUUUAGCUGAUGUAAUUGGGGUGGAAAGAGAGUUUCCUGUUGGAGAAAACUUCCUUAUUUGUUUUGAAGUUGACAAAACGUUUCCAUCAGUCUUGUCUAAAGACUUGCAAACUCUUUCGUCAAAAUCUGAAGACGCCAAACCGCCAGACUAAAGAUUUAGAGUCUGCCCUCAUUGACAAUCGCUAGACUGUCGAAGAAGAUUUAUCCAGAAUCGAGUAUUUCUUUAAGGAUUUGAUUCGAGCGGCUAAAGAAGAUCUCACGGUUGGAGAUAGCAUCUCAAGAUCUAUUAUUCAUUUUGAAAUUAAUUCGAGUAAUUUGGAUCCGUUGAUUGGCGUAGUAUACUUAGAAUGUUCUACUUAUGGAAACCCAGAUCCCGAUUGUAUGGAUGAGCAAGAUCGGUGGGCUAUCAUCACAUUCUUUAAGUAACUCGAGAUCUCCCUAAUUGAUUAUGUCCAACGGGUAGAUUGGAAGAACUCCAUUGGAAGGUACCAACGAUUAUGAAGGCAUGGAGGAGUAUAUAAGGAAGACGCUCUAGUUAUUCGAGAGUGUGCGCGAUAGAUAAAUUCCAAAGUCUAAAGUUCCUUAUUCUUUGCUAAUUCAAUUGUUGAGCAUAAAUUUGCAUUCAAAAUAGAGUUUAGAUAUUUCAUAAGGCCUUGAGGAAGUGUAGCAGAGUCUCUACACUGUGGAAUCAAGGACGUGAGACUAUAACGACUCUUUUGAUUCAUAGUGAAAUCCAACCGGUUGACUGUCAGUGUGGGAGAGUGGACAUAGGCUUGGAUUAAGUCGAACCACUAUAAACCUUGUGUUUUUAUUCUCUUUCCUGAACCCUUUUACUUUGUUCGUAACUCUAUUUAAUCGUCAGAGUUUGAUUUUCUCUGCAAAGUCUAUUGUCAACCAGACUCGGGUUAAAAGGAAAAUUUUUAUACUAUAUUUUGCAAAUUUGCUUUCGCACCUAUUGACCCCCAUCUAGGUGCUCGUAUUAGCCAUUUCAAUUGGUAUCAGAGCCCGUGUACUCAUUUAAAUUAAAGUGUUUUUUUACUUAAGAGUUAACAAUCCAUAGCUAGUAUGUUAGCUCCAGUUUUGGUUGAAGGGCAAAGCAACGCCAGACCGCCUUAUUUUAAUGGAAAUGAAUACAGCAUAUGGAAAAAAAAUGAAAGCAUUCCUAAGAUCAAAAGAUCUUAUGGAGUGGGAUGUGGUAGACAAAGGAAUCAUUCUUAAAGCUACAACAGUCUCAAAAAGAGGAAAAGAAGUUACAGAGGCUAGCAAGAUAACUCAAGAAGAGAUGACAAAAAGACAAGCUCUUGAUGCAAAAACAAUUUAUUCUUUAUAUUGUGCAUUAUCUCCUAUUGAAUAUAACAUAAUAUUUUCUUGUGAAACGGCUAAAGAAGUCUGGGAUAGGCUGCACAUCACCUAUGAAGGAAUCGAUUGAGUGAAAGAAACCAGAAUCAAUAUUUUGCUCGGUCAAUAUGAAGCCUUUAAGAAGAAGCCAGUAGAAUCUAUCACUGACAUGUUUAGUCGUUUUACAGAAAUCGUGAAUGGUCUUGAGUAUCAAGGUUAACCAAUCUCAGGACCCAUGAAGGUUAACAAACUGCUACGUGGACUUUCCAAAGAUUGGAAUCACGUAAAGACCUCAAUAAGAGAAACACAAAGGAUCAUGCCACUCUCUAUUGACGAAUUGGUUGACACUCUUUAGUCUUAUGAAGUGGAGCAAAUAAAUGAAGAUGAAGAUCCCAAAGGUAAAAAAAUCCAUUGCUUUAAAAUCUAAUGAUGAUUAUGAUGUUACAAAUUUUGAAGACGAUAUGGACGAUGAAGAGCUUGGUCUCAUGAUAAGAAGGUUCAGAAAACUGAACAAAAAGGGAAGAAGACUCAAUUGGAAGAAACAAAGCUCUCAAAAGUUUCAAAAUAAAUCAGCUGAGGACGAUGAAUUCAAUAAAGAUGUGAUUUGUUUUGAAUGCAAGAAAAAAUGACACAUCAGACCCAACUGUCCUUUGUUGAAGAAAAAUAAAGGAAAAGCUGAGAAAUAUAGAAAGGCACUCAAAGCAGAAACUUGGAGUGAUACCGAAUGCGAAGAGAGUGAUGAUGAUUAUGCUAAUAUUUGUCUAAUGGCGCAAUCAGAAUCAAGUUCAGACUCUAAGACGGAUACAGACUCAGACUUAGACAGUGAAAUCGAGGUAAGCAAUUUAAAAAUUUCUACUAAAGUCUCUAAAUAUAUUGAUGAACUAUGUCUAAGUUUCAAAACCUCUUUUAAGAGGAUUUUCGAGCUAAAAAGGGAAAAUUCUGCAUUGAAGCAAUGGGAGAUUGUUUGAAAAGAAAAAGUCGAAAAUUUAGAUAAAAGUUUUAUUACUUUGAAAGAAAAUGCAAACUCUCUUUCAAAAGAAAAUAUACUUUUGGAAAAUGAUAUUUCAAGUAUUUCAAAAAGGAUUUCUAUAGGAUCUGAGAAAUUAGAAAAGAUUCUUUCAGCACAAAGACCUUACUUUAACAAAUCAGGAUUGGGAAUGACUUCUGAAACCAUUCCUCUAAUUGAUUUUCCAAAAGUAAAGGAAAGAAUCAAACAAACACCUACAAAAGACUUUUAUAGAAAUCAUUUUCAAAAAGUCUUUGUAAAACCCGUUGGCCGUAAUGCUCUUAAAUGUUCUAAGUGCAACAGCUCAGAACACAUUGAGAAAGAAUGUCCUUUGGUUUGGAGACCUAUUAAGAAGGAUUGGGCAAAGACCGUAUAUUGUACUAAUUCCAUUUGACCCAAGAAAGUAUGGGUACCAAAGAAAGCUUGAGUUUCUUUUUUAAAUGCAGGUCACUAUGAAGAAAAAUGUCAAAUGGUACUUGGAUAGUGGAUGCUCAAGACAUAUGAUAGGAGACUCAAGCUGUUUCAUAAAACUUAUGCAAGUUAAUGGUGGAAAAGUUUCUUUUGGUGAAAAUAGUAAAGGAAGAAUUGUCGGAUGUGGAAUAGUAAAGAUUGGAAGUCUCCCAAUCAACAACGUCUCUUUGGUAGAAUGACUCAAUUACAACUUGCUGAGUAUCAGCCAACUGUGCGACACAGGUUUCAAAAUCAAUUUUCAAGAAGGAACAUGUUCGGGAACCAGUAAAGACUUCUCUCAGAGUUUCACGGGGCGAAAACAUGGGAACAUCUAUCUCUUGGAUAUCAAACCAGAAAAAUCUCAAUAUCUAAUUUCAAUUCAAGAUGAAGCUAAUCUCUGGCAUAGAAAACUUGGCCAUAUCAACAUGAAGCAAAUAACCAAGAUCUCUGCAAAGAAGCUUGUUCGUGGACUGCCUAAUCUGACAUACCAAAAAUCUAAAUUAUGCACACCAUGCGUGUUGGGGAAACAUGUUAGAAAUUCUUUCAAACCAAUAAAUCAAAUUUCUACUAAUCGUGUGCUGCAGCUCCUACAUAUGGAUCUCUUUGGACCAACUAGGACUCAUAGCAUUGGUGGAAAGAAUUAUUGCCUAGUAAUAGUGGAUGAUUAUUCACGAUUUACUUGGGUAUACUUUCAGACUUUCUUAUUUUUUAAAGUUUGUUAAGAAAGUACAGAAUGAGAAAGGAUAUGUUAUCUCAAGUAUACAGACAGACCAUAGAGGCGAGUUUGAAAAUUAAGACUUUGCUAAAUUCUGUGAUAAAUCUGGUUUUCAGUAUAUGUUCUCCUCUCCAUACACUCCAGAACAAAAUGGAGUUGUGGAAAGGAAGAAUAGAUCAUUGCAAGAAAUGGCUAGAAUACUUUUAAUUGAAAGCAACAUUUCUUCUCGUUUUUGGGCUAAAGCAGUUUCUACAGCAUGUUAUAUUAUUAAUAGAGUCUUCUUAAGGCCUAUUCUGGAGAAAACUCCCUAUGAGUUGUUCAAAUGAAAGAAGCCAAUUGUUUCCUAUUUUCAUGUGUUUGGUUGCAAAUGUUUUAUAUUGAAAAAUGAAAAUGAUCGAAUUGGCAAGUUUGAAGAAAAAUCAGACGAAGGAUACUUCCUUGGAUAUUCAACCACCAGCAAAACCUAUAGAAUAUACAACAAAAAGACUCAAUCUGUGGAAGAAUCGAUGAACGUCAAAUUUCAAGACCUUAUACAAAAUCAAUCGAUCUAGACUCAACUUGAAGAAUAUGAACCUACUCCGGACUCUUUAAAGUCUAAAUCCCCUGAAGCAGCUCAGACUUCAAAAGGUCAGCAUUGAAUGAACGUUAAAGAAUCAAAUGAAGAAAAAGAUCAGCAAUCUGUCAGACCAAUCAGCAACUGGAAGCAUAAGUCCAAUAAUCCCAAAGAACUUAUUAUUGGUGACAUUUAUGAAGGGAUUCGUACAAGAUCCAAAAUGCAUGAAGAGUCUAGCGAUGUUGCUCUUAUUUCCGAAAUAUAACCCAAAAACAUAGAAGAAGCUUUAACUGAUGAAAGCUUGAUUGAAGCUAUGCAAGAAGAACUCAGGCAAUUCAGCAUUAACGAUGUAUGUGAAUUAACUCCUAAACCAAAAGGUAAAUUUGUUAUUGGAGCUAAAUGGGUUUUCGGGAACAAGAUGGACGAAAAAGGAAAAGUUAUAAGGAACAAAGAAGACUCGUGGCCAAAGGAUAUACGCAUGCAGAAGGGAUAAACUAUGAUGAGACUUACGCACUAGUAACGAGGUUAGAAGUAAUUAGAUUAUUACUUGUUAUAAGAAUUUCAGAUUAUUCCAAAUGGACGUUAAAAGUGCAUUCCUAAAUGGAUUUAUCCAAGAGUAAGUCUAUGUGGAACAACCUCCUGAUUUUGAAGACCCAAGAGAACCAGACUCUGUAUUCAGACUGAAAAAAGCGCUAUAUGGUCUAAAGCAAGCACCUCGAGCUUGGUAUGACAUGUUAAGUAAGUUUUUAAUCCAAAAUGGAUUUGUUAAAGGUAAAGUGGACACUGCUCUGUUUAAUAAAAGAGAGAAUAAAAAAUUUUUGCUUGUUCAAAUCUAUGUUUAUGAUAUUAUUUUUGGAUCACCUAACGAAAAUCUGUGCAAGAAAUUCUGUAAGUCUAUGCAGAAUGAAUUCGAGAUGAGCAUGAUGGGUGAACUAUCAUUCUUUCUCAGAUUACAAGUAAAACAAUUGAAAGAAGGGACUUUCAUUCACCAAGAAAAAUAUGCUAAAAAACUUGUUAAAAAGUUCAGUUUAGAGAAGUGCAAAAAGACUAAUAUACCAAUAUCAAGUUCUUCGAAGCUGGACAAAGAUGAAGGAUGAAAGAAAGUUGACCAGAAGCUGUACAUGAGUAUCAUUGGUUCACUCCUUUAUCUUAUUGCUUCUAGACCUGAUAUUUUGUUUAGUGUUUGCAUUUGCGCCAAAUUUCAAUCAGAUCCCAAAGAAUCUCAUCUAAGUGCUACGAAACGCAUCAUCAAAUACGUUGCAACAACCUCUAAUUUGGGUCUAUGGUAUCCUAAAGAAUGAGACUUUACUCUUCUUAGAUACUCAGACGCAUAUCUAGCAGGAUGCAGAGUUGAUAGAAAGUAGGGGUGUGCAACCGGACCGGGUUUACUCGGUUCCCGGUCCGGCCCACCCGGAAAACAGGGUCGGGAACCGGUUCCGGUUAAAACCGGGCCGGGAACCGGUUCCCAAAACGCAGACCCUAUUUAAACCGGUUCGGGAACCGGUUCCGAGGGAUUACCCACCCGGGAACCGGUUCGACCGGACCGGUUUGGGAACCGGUUGGAGAACCGGUUUUUAUGCCUAAAGCGAAACCCUAAUUUUAUUUCUUCCUUUACCUACAGAGGCGCAGACGCAAAGACUUCCAGCUCCUCUCCCGGUUCCCCUCACGCUCGCACCACCACUGCCAAGCUCCUCCUCCUCCCCCGCCCCGCCGCCCCCGCCGUCACCGUCACCGUCACCGUCGUCGUCACCCCCGACAACCUCCACCUGCUCGACCCCUUCCUCGCCUCUUCCUCCUCGCUCCAGCCUCUCGUCUUGCCGCGCCACACCCACCGCGGGUGCGCUUCGUCGCCAAAUUCCACGCCCUCCGCGACCUCCACCUCCCGCUCAUCUCCCAGUGGUUCGAGUCCCACCCCUCCCCGCCCUGCGCGGUCGUCUCCGACUUCUUCCUCGGGUGGACCCACCGCUUCGCCCGCGACCGCGGCGUCCCUCGAGUCGUCUUCUCGCCGUCCGGCGCGUUCGGGCUCUCCAUCGCCUUCGCCCUGUGCCGAGACCUCCUCCGGCCCGAUGAGGAGUCGACGGUCUCACCGCGCGCUAUUUCCCGAGCUCCCCUGCUACCGAUCUACCGCCGCCCCCCCUUCGCGAAGCUGCCGCUGCCUCGCUGCUCCGCCCGAGCCCCGUUACCGACGUCUGCUGGUUCGCUCACCACCUCUGGGCGCCACCGCCGCUGCGACCAGACGCCAAAAGCCGCCGUUCCUGCUGCGAUUCCGUCCUCAGCUCGUCCCGACUAGGCCCGCUUGCUCUCCAGGUCCCACUUUGUCUUCACCAGCCCUAAGCCCAGAGAGAAGGUACUAUAGCUUGAUUUGAGCGUUGUUGACAUGUGUGAGAUGAUGUGGAAAUUGAUGGUUAUAAUGCUUUUCGCAUGUUCAGAAGUGCGAAUUACUGUGAAGAAAGCUUGCAUUUUGCUCAUGAUUUAUUAUGUUGAUGUUAGAAUUUUGAUUAAAGUUUGUUGCUCAAUUGGGGUGGCUGUGUGAAGAGGCUGAUCUUUUUUGUGAUUGCAUGCUAGGAGAUGAAAAAGAAGCAAUUGGGUGAAGAAUUGAGGGUGAAAUCAGUAGUUACAAUUAAACUUUAAUUGCUUGGUGUCUCUAUAUAGUGUCUCUUGGCAUAUUAAUUGUGAACUUGAUUAGAUUCUAUUUAAUGAUAUCUAUGAUUGCUGAAGUCGAUAAGACCAGAUAUGGGAGAAUCUGUGAAGAACUUUAGCAUUUUUUAAUCAGCUUAUGAUCUUAUUAUGAACUGUCAAACCCACAUGAAAGUUCUAUGUUGAAUUUAGAGCAGCAAUAAGGAAGCAAAGGGAAUUAUAGAGAUUUGAUUUACUAUGAAAACUAAUAUGUUGUUUUCUUCAAGGGGAGUCCAAAUUUUAUACAUGUUCCCAAUGAGUUUGGUCGAAGGAUGUGCUUGGUCCGGCCUUUUUGUUUUACCAGAUAACUCAUCUAGACUUGCUUUUCUAAGGUUAAUUUUUAUGCAAAACAGGUUCCAAUAUAAACAGGGUCAACCCUGUUCCCGGACCGGAAAAACAGGGUGGGCCGGGAACAGGGUCCAAUGAAAACAGGGUAGGGAACAGGGUCCAGAAAAGGAGAACCGGUUAUAACAGGGUAGGGAACAGGGUCCAAGUCUAGACCCUACCCACCCUGGACCCGCUCACCCCUAAUAGAAAGAGCACAUCGGGAACUUGUCAAUUGCUUGGUAACAGAACAAUAUCUUGGUUUUCAAGAAAGCAAAGUACUGUAACUCUUUCAACAGCAGAAACGGAGUAUGUGACUCUUGGAAGUUGUUGUUCUCAAAUCUUAUGGAUAAAACAACAGCUAAGAGACUUUGGAAUCGAAGAUUCAUGCACUGAGAUCAAAUGUGACAACACCAGCACGAUUAAUCUCACAAAGAAUCCAAUUCUUCAUUCAAGAGCAAAGCAUAUAGAGAUUCGACAUCAUUUUAUUAGAGAUCAUGUUCAAAAUGGAGAAGUAUUGAUUCAAUUCAUGGACUCAAAGAAUCAGCUGGCGGACAUAUUUACAAAACCUCUGGAGAAAAAUCAAUUUGAGUAUAUUUGAUCCAAACUUAAUAUCUUAAAGUCUGAAGAAAUUCAGACUCAGGGAUAAAAGUCUAAAAAUGCUCAAACUCAUAAUAUCAAGAAUUAUGACUAUAAGUUAUUUCAGUUUUAAAAAUUUAUCUUUUGGAUAAAAAACCCGAAAAGGUACGUUUGUCUAUUAAUCUGCAAUUGAUUGAUGUUAUCUUCCCAAGUUUUUGUAAUUAUAGCAAUCAUUCCUUUUCGAAAAAGGAAAAAAAGAAGAAGAAGAAGGGAAGUUAUCUUUUUGAAAUAAAAGUUAUCUAUUUUCAAAAAGGCAGUUAUUUUUUUAAAAGACAUUUUCUAUUUUUCCUUUUAUGACGAUCCGUAUGCCCUAUUUCGAUUGCCUUAUAUAUUGAUCGUCUUCUUCACGAACCCUAGAAGCAAAGAACUUCACUUUCUUACUUUUUCUCUCUAGUUUAAUCCUUAAAGUUUUCAUCUUUGUCGUGAAUCGAGUUUGGAAACUCUCUCAAAGACUGUGAUAAUGUCUUCUCAAAGAAAGUCCUUAAGGAUCGCAAGCAGGGGACCACAGCAUAUGAGUGAGGGUCCUACACAUUUUGACCUAACCGAGGAAGAAGAAUCUCCAAGGCAACAGCGGAGUCCACAACAUUCUCAACCGCGUCAUUCUCCUCAGGCUAGACCACAGAGUGUUCAGCAACAACAAGCAGAGAAAAAAAUUAUUGAGAAUGUUGAACCUGUAAGAACUCUAAAGCCUGUUUUUACCUUCCUUGAAGAAUGGAAGUUCUCCAUUGAACUUUAUUAAUGAAUUUUUGAAAGAAAAGUGGUACCGAAAUGAAACCCAUUUUUUUACGAACGAUGAAACGUUUAGGAAUUGCUCCUGCGGGCUUGGCAGAAAAAGCUUUUGCAAAUAUUCCGAGUGAUCCAUGUGUUGGAGGACUUAGUCAACCUGAUGGAAAUGAUGAUAAAAAGAUGUUCCCUCAUUUUAAGCCCAGAAUGGGUGUUGCUGCUCAUAUUCGAGGAAAAAGGGCAGAUCUGUUUCGUUCUGAGGAACAUAAGCAACUUUACUCUAAAUUGUUGAAGCGAGGGUGAUGAACCCGAGGAGUGUGGAUUUUGAUUUUCUCGAUUCUUUGAACGUGAAGUUGCGAGAGAAAUUUACUUUACUUCAACUUGAACGAUUUUGCUUUGAAACAACAGUGGCUCAUCCAGAACUUACUGCGUAUUUCUAUUCCAAUCUAAGCUUUUUGGAUGAGAAUAGAUUUUCUUUCAAUGUUAGGGACCAGAAUUAUGUGGUUGAUAUGGACACUCUGGCUAAUGUGAUUGGAGUAGAGAGAGGGAUGUUCCAAUCAAUUAGUGUGUCUAUUGGUCGUGCGACUGUGGAGCUUGUUCGGGAUGGAAUGGCAGAAGGCCGAAUUUCUUACUUGAGGAUGAAUGCCUCAAAUGUCUUGCUUCACAAGAUUGUGAUUAACUGUCUAAGACCCAAAUCGACAUAAAAAACUGACGUCUCCAAUGUAGAAGCGAAGCUGAUGUAUGCUAUUAAUGCUGGUAAAAAGUUCUCUCUGCCACACACUAUCAUGUUUCACAUGUAUAGGUUAAUGGUGAAGGACAAUGGCCAACUCCCUUAUUCAGCACUUGUUACUCAGCUAUUUAGAAAUUUUAAUAUUUAGCCUCCCAAGAUUUUGUGUGUUCGAACCUGUGAUCAAAUGGUGGUGGGACUAAAGAUGGUUUCAAAAAUGCAUCUGAAUGAGCUAAACAAAGCUUUAGAGUGCUUUAAGGAGAAAACCCCUGUCAAGACUCAUCAAGACUAUGUGGCUACAAAACGGAAAGGCAAGAAACCCAUGAUAGUUCCAUCCAAGAAAAGAAGAGCACUCAUCUUGUAGGAUGAAGAAGAUGAGGAAGAUAUCACCAUUUCCGCUCUUGCAUUAAGGAACUUACAACGUUUUGUUCCAGAGAUAGAGGAGAGAGAGGAGCAAGACAGAGAAGAAAUAGAGCAGAGGAGUGAAGAAAGGGAAACGAUGAGGCAAGAAGCAGAGGAAGAAAGAACUGCAGAAGAAGAAGAAAGAGGAGAACAAGGUCAUCUAGUCACUGAAGAAGAGACUGAGCAUGAAAAGUACUUCUCUCCACCUGAAGGCACUGAAACAGGGGAAGCUGCUGAGAAAAGAGGUACUUCUUCACUUGCUUUUACUAGUGAUGAUGUUAGUCGUUCUCCUGCCGAUCCAGAAGAUGUAUAUGUCUCCCAAUUUCCUGAAGAAGAUCAUGAGGUUUCAUCUCCAAGUCUGGGUGCUCAUGCUGAAAUGCCAUCAUCUGCCAAUACUCCACAAACUGAUCAUGCUGAAGCAAGCAUUCAAACUGACAACUCAGCAGACUUUCGAAGAUUGCUUGAUGUUCUUAUGGAGAUGCUAGGCCAGAUUUAUGCCUUUGGAUGCAAAAUUCAGAAUAUGCAGAAUGCCAGUCAAGCCUCUUCAGUUUCUUUACACGAUCAAGUUCAGGCCCUUAAUCUUCAAGUUCAAGCAACUGCCAAGGGUGAGGAAAUAACACAACUGAAGGAGGAUCUAAGAAAAUUGGAGGAGACAGUCAAAUUGAUGGGAGAUUUCCAGCUUGUUUGCGUUCCAAAACAAUCUUAAUUUCAUCUAAAACUCCAUUUUGUCUCUACCUUUUUAAUGCUAACAAAAAAAGGGAGAAGUUAGUGCAGAUUUGUAGAUUUGACUUCUGUUUAACUUUUGUUUGACUUUAACUCUUGUUUGGUUGUGACUGGUUUGGACUGUGUUUUUUGGUUUGGAUUGUUUGAUCCUUUAAUGCUUGCAGUAUCUUAAGCGUUGUUGGUAUUCAUGGCAAAGAUAGUUGUUUUUACAGGACUAACUCAUUUCCUGUGGAUGCAAAUUUGAUACUAUCUUUAUCUUAAUCUAUUUAUCUUUUAUGAGAUACCCUUGUUUGCUUGAGUAUUAUCUUGCAUGUCAAAAGUAUCCAAAUCUGUAAGAAAGUUUUGUCACCAUAAAAAAAUGGGGAGAUUGUUGGAGAAAACUUCCUUAUUUGUUUUGAAGCUGACAAAACGUUUAUAUCAGUCUUGUUUGAAGACUUGCAGACUCUUUCGUCAAAGUCUGAAGAUCGCCAGACCGACAGACUCAAGAUUUAAAGUUUGCCCUCAUUGACCGUCUCUAGACCGUCGAAAAAGACUUAUCCAGAAUCGAGUAUUUCUUUAAGGAUUUGAUUCGAGCGGCUAAAGAAGAUCUCACGGCUGGAGAUAGCAUCUCAAGAUCUAUUAUUCGUAUUGAAAUUAAUUCGAGUAAUUUGGAUCCGUUGAUUGGCGUAGUAUACUUGGAAGGUUCUACUAAUGGAAACAUAGAUCCUCAUUGUAUGGGCGAGCAGGAUUGGUGGGCUAUCAUCACAUUUCUUAAGUAACUCGAGAUCUCUCUAAUUGAUUAUGUCCAACGGGUUGAUUAUAAGAACUCCUUUGGAAGGUGCCAACAGUUAUGAAGGCACGGAGGAGUAUAUAAGGAAGACGCUCUAGUUAUUCGAGAGCAUGUGCGAUAGAUAAAUUCCAAAGUCUGAAGUUCCUUGUUCUUUGCUAAUUCAAUUGUUGAGCAUAAAUUUGUACUCAAAAGAGAGUUUAGAUAUUUCGUGAGGCCUUGAGGAAGUGUAGCAGAGUCUCUACAUUGUGGAAUCAAGGACGUGAGACUGUAACGAUUUUUUUUAUUCAUAGUGAAAUCCAGCCGGUGGGCUGUCAAUGCGGGAGAGUAGACGUAGGCUUGGAUUAAGCCGAACCACUAUAAACAUUGUGUUCUUAUUCUCUUUCCUGAACUCUUUUACUUUAUUCGUAACUCUAUUUAAUUGUCAAAGUCUGAUUUUCUCUGCAAAGUCUAUUGUCAACCAGACUCAAGUUAAAAAGAAAAUUUUUAUAGUAUAUUUUGCAAAAUUUGCUUUCGCACCUAUUCACCCCCCUCUAGGUGCUCGUACUAGCCCUUUCAUUUUCAACCAAUCAGUGUGUUUGUUGAUCACGCUACUUUGGAGCUUGUUUGGAAUAGGAUUGCUGAAGGCAUGAUUUCUUACUCCAGAAUGACUGCCUCCAAUAUUUUACUUCAUAGAAUUGUGAUUAACUGUCUCAGACCGAAAUCCACUUCAAAAACUAAUGUCUCUUACUCUGAAGCGAAGCUGAUGUACGACAUCAACAUUGGCUACAAAUUGUCUCUACCUCACACUAUUCUCAUGCAUAUGUAUAGGACAGUGGUGAAGGACAAGGAGCAACUCCCUUAUUCUGCUCUUGUUACUCGAUUAUUUAGACAUUUCAACAUUCAGCCUCCUAAUAUUCUGUGUGUUCGAACCAUUGCUCCGAUGGUAGUUGGACUGAAGAUGGUUUCUAAGAUACGUCUCAAGGAGCUGAACAAGGUUUUGGAGAGCAUUAAGGUGAAGUCCCUUGUCAAGGCAAGCUAAGACUCUGCAGCAGGAAAAAGGAAAGGCAAAGAGCCUAUGAGCGCACCAAUCAAGAAGAGGAGAGCACUCAUUUUGCAGGAUGAAGAAGAUGAUGAUGACAUUACUCUCUCCGCUUUUGCCUUAAAGAAUUUACAGAGUUUUGUUAGCUUUCAAGAGCUAGAGGACCGAGAGCACAGAGAAAGAGAAGAGAUGGAGGAGAAAUGCAGAAAGAGGAGAGGAGAACAGAGGAAGAUGAAGGAAGAACAGAGGAAGAGAGAGGAAGAGAACAAGAAAAAGAAGAGAGUCAAGAUGAUUCUCUUGAGCCCACAUUUACUGACGACUCAGAGAAGUCAAGAAGUGGAACUGUUGGAGAAGGAAGAGACAAAAAUCACAUUUGUGUUGAAGAAGAGCAAGAACAAGAAGAAUGAUAUUUUUCUCCACCUAAAGGCAUAGAAACAGUGAGAGCUGUUGAUAAAAGAGGUACUUCUUCACUUGUUUUUAUUAGCGAUGAUGUUAGUUGUUCUCCUACCAAUCCAGAGGAUGUGUAUGCCUCUCAAACUACACGUGCUGAAACUAGUACUCAAACAAAUAAUACAAUAGUCUUUAAGAGACUGCUCGAGCUUCUUGUGGAGAUCAAAGCUCAGUUUUAUGGAUUGGAGUGUGAAUUUCAGAACAUGCAGUCAGCACAUCAAGCCACUUCAGUCUCACUGUACAAUCAGGUACAAGCCCUUAAGCUUCAAGUUCAAGCUAUUGUAAAGGGUGAGGAUAUUGAGCAACUGAAGGGGGAUCUGAAGAAGCUGGAGGAGACUGUCAAGUCUAUGGGGGAUUUUCAAAUCGUUUGCAUCCCCAAACAACCAUGAUUUUACUCAACUUUUUUAAAGCUUUUCUCUACUUUUUGUUGUUGACAAAAGUGGGGAGAGAGUUGUGCAGAUUUGACUUAUUUUUUGUUUUGGUUUGAUGACUUUUUGUUUGGUACUUUGGAAUGGUAUACUUUGGACUUCUGACUUUUUAGGUUUGAAUCUUUUUUACGCUUGCAGAAAAUAAAUGUGUGAUUUAGAUUAUGGAUUGAUAGUUAUUUAUCUUGCAUGAUUAACAUAUUUUAUGUGGUUGCAGAAUUGAUACUAUCCAGGCCCUAAUGAUUUAUUUGUAUAAGACAUCACGUUUUAAUCAAGUAUUGUUUUGCAGAACAACAAUUUACAAAUUUGCAAGAAAGUUUUGUCAUCAUUAAAAAGAGAGAGAUUGUUAGAAAAAACUCCAUAACUGUUUUGAAACUGACAAAACCUUUCCAAAAGCCUAGUCUGAAGACUUGCAGACUCAGUGUUAUAGUCUGAAGACUUGCAGACUCAGUGUUAUAGUCUGAAGAACUCCAGACUUUACUAUCAAAGUCUGAAGACCGUCAGACUUUAAUCUCAAAGUCUGACCAUACUGACAGGCUCCAGAUCAAAGAGUGAAGACUUAUCCAAAUGCAAGUUUAUCUUCAAGAAUUUGGUUCAUAUGGUUUGUGAAAGAUUUUAUGGCUGAAUAUAGCAUCUUAUAAUCAAUUCUUCUUAUUGGAAUCAAUUCGGAUAAUCAGAUCUCUUGAAAUGUGAAGUAUACUUGGAAGGUUCUACUUAUGAAAACCUAGAUCCUAAUUGUAUAGGCGAGCAGGAUUGAUGGACUUUCAUCACAUCCUAAAACGACNNNNNNNNNNNNNNNNNNNNNNNNNNNNNNNNNNNNNNNNNNNNNNNNNNNNNNNNNNNNNNNNNNNNNNNNNNNNNNNNNNNNNNNNNNNNNNNNNNNNNNNNNNNNNNNNNNNNNNNNNNNNNNNNNNNNNNNNNNNNNNNNNNNNNNNNNNNNNNNNNNNNNNNNNNNNNNNNNNNNNNNNNNNNNNNNNNNNNNNNNNNNNNNNNNNNNNNNNNNNNNNNNNNNNNNNNNNNNNNNNNNNNNNNNNNNNNNNNNNNNNNNNNNNNNNNNNNNNNNNNNNNNNNNNNNNNNNNNNNNNNNNNNNNNNNNNNNNNNNNNNNNNNNNNNNNNNNNNNNNNNNNNNNNNNNNNNNNNNNNNNNNNNNNNNNNNNNNNNNNNNNNNNNNNNNNNNNNNNNNNNUGCGGGAGAGUGGACGUGGGCUUGAUCUAAGCCGAAUUACUAUAAACCUUAUGUUUCUAUUCUCUUUCCCUGAACUUCUUAUUUAAAUUCGUAGCCUUAUAUAAUUGUUUAUAAUUAAUUACAUAUUUAGUCUAUUAUCUUCUAAAAGCAAUUCACUUUCAUUAAGUCUUACGAAAAUUUCUUUUAACACCUAUUCCCCCCUCUAGGUGUUCUUACUAACCCUUUCAAAAUCAACUGGUGCACAACUUUCCUUUUGGAAGAGACCGGUGUGAUCACCUGGAGUGGCUGCUUUUUGUUCACGGCGGUUGAUGUGGCCUCAACUUGUCUUCAAAGGGACUUCAAUAGAGUCAAGCUUGAAAUUGACUCCAAUAAAUUUGCCUUCUUCGCUUAUUCCUGUUUCUCCAUUAAGUUUUUCCACGGACAGCACCCGUCUUCCCUUUACAGGGUGGAUGCCAUGCACAGACAUCAGUUGAAACUGAGGAGAAUUCAGCAUCACGUGUCCGUAGAACGUGCCAUUACAUGCCUCAACACAUUCUGUACUUGCACGGAGUUCUCAGCCAGACAUCCACUAAUAUUCAGCUUUUCCAAGGAUGUUAAUUCUUCUAGGCCUUCAAUUUGAUGGAUCAUUUUGCAUUGUCUUAUCUCUAAAAGUUUCAGCAACUUCAAGUUUGAAAGAUCAGGUAAACUGUCAAGGUAAUUACAGUCAGAUAGAAUUAAACUUCUCAGUGAGGUCAGCCGGCCAACCCCGUGGAGAUUCUGUAUUUUGCAGUUCGAUAUAUCUAGCCUCUUCAGGGCUUUGAGACCUUCAAGCCCUUCAAUCUCUUCUAUUGCAGAAUGGUAGAGCUUGAACACUGAUAAGUUGUUUAAGCCCUGGACAGUCGGCAAUCUUUUCAAUGACGAACAACCUUGAAUUGAUAAAACUGACAACGUCUUGGGAAGCUCAGAUACUUCUUCAAGGCUCGAACCAGAAAGGACUAGCAUUUUGAGCUGAGUAAUUUCCUUCGGCUCAAACUUCAGCUUGAUAAUUUGUGAAAGAGACAAUUCUAGUUUUGUCAGUUUAGGAAACGAUAUUGAGAAGGAUGGUUUGCCAAUCAUUUGUUGCACAUUGGAUUCUGGCAUCAGCUUUUUUGAGGGAGGUCGGCACGCCUUCCGGUCCCCAUCACUUAGGCACAGCUCGUCCAAUUCCUUCAAAUCUUCAAGAAGGGGUAUCGCUUUCAUCCUCUUAGAACUCACACGCAGACAAAUUAGAGAAGGGGGAAGCUUUGGCAAUUCUUCAAUUUCAUUGCACUGAAUUAAAUCCAGGGUGUGAAGACCAGUGAUGGUGGAGAUUUCAGGGGGUAGGCUAGAUAUUCUGGAAUGCCCCAGCAUCAAUGAUCUCAGAUGACGUAGUCCCUUGAUAUUACCAGGAAUGGCCCCCUUCAAACUCCGACACCAGGAAGCAUGUAGUUCUUCGAGCUCAGUUAGAUUCUCAGUCUCCUUAGGAAAUGCUCGAACAAAGGAAGAAUCCAUUCUCAGCACUGUCAAGCUCUUCAGAUACCUUAUUGAAUUGGGGAGUCCAGAGAAACUAGUCCCCGAUAUAUCAAACUCCUUUAAUGACCACAUUCUACCGAUAGAAUCUGGAAGUUUCUUCAAACAAUGGCAAUCCCUCAAUGACAAGAGUCUUAGAUUAAGCAGCUCUCCCAGCGAGCUUGGGAGCUCAAGCAAUUUGGCACCGUCUAAUAAGAGCUCGGAGAGAGCAGUCAGGUAACUAAUUGACCUGGGCAGGUGAGUCAAUGGGAAGCACUUGAAGCCACUGAGAAUUUUGAGUUGCUUCAAAUUGCCUAUGGAGAUGGGGAUCUCCCGUACAGAAGUCCGGUCAAUAAAAAGCUCUUUCAGAGCUGUCGCACUACCUAGUUCCACUGGCAACCCGUUCAAUUGGGAGCAGAACUUCAAAUUCAGGGAAACUAAACGUUGCAAACUUCCAAUUGAAGGAUGUAGCUUCACCAAAUGAGAACAGCGUUCAAGAAUUAGGAUUUCCAAAUCUUUGUAACUGGAGAAAUCGGGAGUGAACAGUAAGUCAGGACACCCGGUAAGAUUCAAGACUUUCAAUUUCUCCAUCUGCAAAAGUCAAAAACAGAAAACAGACAUAUGGUCAAUUUGCAGAUAUAUAAUUCAAGAAAGCAAAUAUAAAACAACCAAAUGAAUACUAAACCACCUUGAUUUCACUCCAACCUCCCCAGUCUUCUGUGACUUUGCUCCAAGACAGAUCAAGAAUGACCAACUCUGUCAACACAAAAUUUUUUGCACUAAAAUCCAGAGGACACCUUUGCCAACAGAGCCACCUUAAACUAGCAAAUGCACCUCCAAAGUUUCCGGAAACUUUGGCAUUAUCCAACUUGAGAAACCGUAGUUCUGGCAUUAGCUGAAAAUAUUCAGCUGUGAAGUCAAAGAGGAGAGCUUCAACGUUUUCCAUUCCCUGCAUUUGACAAAGUAACAUAAUCAUCAGAAGCUGUAAACCCAAAUACCCAUCCGAUAAAAGGAUAUUUCCUUGCCCUACGUGCUAAAGUGUACAUAUAUGAUAUGAUUCCUUGAGAAUAUAUGGAGAAAAAAAAUGUAGCCCAUAUGUCGAGGUGUUUGUUUUGCCAAAAACAAACUGAACCAAAAGUGUUUACCUUCUCCUGUAUGUAAAAUUUUCUCCCAAUUGGAUCUCCAGAUCCCUCUUGCUCAAAAAUUCUUUUGCCAAGGCGUCUCAGCAAUCUGUGCAUCUGCAAUUCAUUGUUUUCUCCAAUUUUUGCCAGGGGCAUCAGAAUGCAACCAGAGGAUGGAUAACAAUUGGGCCACAAAUAUGAAGCAAUUCGGGCAUCCACACCAGAGAUAAAACAUGCUAUGUCCAGAAAUAUAUCUUUUUGCUGAUGAUCUAGUUCUCCGUUACAUAUAUCCAACAGCUCUUGAAGGCCAACCGUAGUCUUUUGAGAACUCAUCAGACGUGCUUUCAUUGACUUCUCCAUCAUUUCCCAUUCUUGUAUUGAUUUACCCCUCAAAAAUGAACCGACGACUUCAAUUGCUAAUGGUAGUUUCUCUGUAGCAUUGACAAUGCAGUUUGAGAGUCCAUCAUAAUCAGGUAUGGAAGAUUGCAUCCUGAAUGCAUGCUUGCAGAAAAGUUUAAAAGCUUGACCAUCAUCCAACUCAGUAACCAUGUAGGUAGGAGCCUUGUCGGAAUCGUACUCUUUGAGAAUUUCCUCAUUUUGAGAAGUCACAAUUAUUCGACUACCUGGACCAUACCAAUCAAGCUGGUCUCCUACAAUAGCAUGAAGAUCGGAUGGCUUUUCCACGGCAUUGACAACUAUUAGAACUUUCAUUUCACGAAAUAUAUCCACGAAAUCUUCUAUUGUUUCAUCAAAAGAAGAAUCUUCAUGAUCUCGCUCAAGGAUAUCACAAAUCAACUUAUUUUGCAAGAACUGAAUACCAUGAGAAUUUUGGGUGGUUCCUUCGACCUCUGCGAGAAAGCUACAACUGUCGAAACAAGAAGAGAUAUGGUCGUAUACAGCCUUGGCGAGAGUCUGCUUGCCAAUUCCAUCAGUUCCAUAUAUUCCAAUAAUGCGCACCUCAUCAUUGACUUUCAUCUCCAGUAAGUUGGUGAUUUGUUUUACACAAUCAUCAAUACCAACUACGUUUUGAACAGCUGCAAUUGCAUAAUAAUUCCUAUCUGAGGUUUCCACGUCUGCUGGUCGCUCUCCAGCUUCAUCUUCCAUUUUCUUCAUCCUCUGCAAGAAAAACAGAAUUUCACCUGAUCAGUCUCUCUCUUACAACAUUGCUUCAGUUCCCCACAUUGAUACAAGAUAUUCAUUUGUCAUCAAUUGUUUCUUGUCAAUGCAAAAAAAGUGCAAACACUUAUUCUAGCAUACUGUGAUACCUAAAUUGACAUCUAAUCUACUACAAUAUUAUUAAUAAGGAAAUUCAGCUAGUGAUUUGAUCUAAUUAUUAUAUUGGAAGUUGGAUCUGCUUAUUUACUGACCAGAUAUUUGAACUUUUAAGAAAACUUGAUAUGCACACCACAACAAUGGUCACUCUUAAUUAAAUUAAUUAUGCUCUAUUCUCUGAAGUGUAAAUGAGCAUUAUGGAAAUAGGACUGACAUCUUAAAAUUCAGAUGGUAGACUACUGUUAUCCUACUAAUGAUUCUCUUCUUUAUCGAAUUCGAGACAAAAGUAUGGAAUCGAUUAGUGUCAUUUAUUUUAUCACUGCAAAUAAAAGACAAUUCUUUUCGAAAAAUGACUUUUAGCAAAAUGUAUAUAAUUCAUAUUUUGAUGAAUAGAUACCUCUCUCGGAAGUAAUUUGCUUGGAGAAGACACUUCUCUUUGCAUCUUGAGUGGCGUACUUUCCUGAUGACGACCAUGUUCCAUCAUUUUCAAUAUUUUUUGCCACUCUGCUUCCUUUUUUCCAUAUAAAUUUGAGCCAAUCACUUUAAUGGCCAAAGGAAGCCCUCCUAUUCUUACAAUAAUUUCCUCAGAUAAUUUCAAGAAUGCAUUUGGAGGAGAGUUGCUUCUAAAGGCAUGCUUGCUAAAAAGUUGAAGAGCAUCCAUAUCGUUGAGUUCCUUAGCUUCAUAAAGCAAACACUGUUCAAAUUGAUCUUGGAAUCCACUUAAAACACUUUUGUCUCUUGUUGUAACCACUAUUCUACUUCCCGAACCAAACCAUUCUCCCUUUGGUCCCAAUGGCACGAGUUGCUUCCUUUGAUCUACAUCAUCGAGGACAAUAAGAACUUUCUUUCUACUGAAUCUAUCUCUGAUAAUAUUCAUGCAUUGAUCGAUGCUAGAAAGCUCAACUCCUACGUCUCCAAGGAUAUCAAAGACAAGCUGCCUCUGCAAGUUUAACAGACCAGAAUUUUGUGAUGCUCCUCGGAUAUCUGAAAUGAAGCUGCAACUCUCAAAAUCAGUAGAUAGUUUGUUGUAAACAAUCUUGGCAAGAGUUGUCUUGCCUAUUCCAGCCUUCCCCAAUAUUCCUAUGAGCCUUCUGUCCUCAGAUUCGACAUUCAGCAAAUCUACUACUUCAUUCGCUGAUUUGUCCAUUCCCACUAAAUGAUCGAAUACAUGAACACGAGGCACCUGAAGCUUAACCGACACUUCCCGCACAAUCAACUGUAUGAGUUCUCCGUGGCUAUGUCAGGACACACAACAUAAUCAAGUAAAUUAUAAGAUUGGUGGCAAAACUUGUAUACUUGCAAGAUCAAGCCAUAACAUGAAAUUACAAAAUUGAUGCUGGAACCAGUGAACAAAAGAAUAUAUACACGAUUCUCUAGUCUCGUUCAAUAUAGGACAGUAAAUUAUAAUGGUUAUGUCGAGAAGGUAAUCCUUGAAUCUUGAGAUAAUGGCGUGUAGAAUUCCAUGCGAUAUUCCAUCACAAUUUUUGGUCCAGAACAAAAAACAAAGUUGUGGUCUUCAAAUUAUAAUUUGUAUUCAAGCAAAAGAAACAGAGAAAAAAGGGUAGAUGGAGCUGAGUGAGUUAACAUACCCCAUGUUCUUGAUGUCCCAUCCCUUGAUUCUAGCAACUUCCUUAAGUGCCUUCGCCCAGCACUGCACAAUCUCAACCCCACGCUUUUUUUCAUGCAGAGAAAGUGCAUUGCUAUAUAAUUUGGUUUCAAGCUUCACAUCAGAAGGUUUCACGUCAUAAAAAAUGGGCAUAACCUCCAGUUUCUUGGUUUUCCUACACUCCAUCAUGUGUUCCAACUCGCGCAGGCACCAGCUACUGGAGGCGUAGCCUCUAGAGAGGAUGGGAAUGCAGAUUUUCGAGGCAUCAAUCGCCUGGAAAAUCUGUGGGCCGAUCUCUUCACCAGCAUCGAUCCCCUGCUUUCUAUGAAAACACAGAUUCCCUUACCUAGCAAGGCGUAAUAGAGGCUAUCUGUGAAGGUAAGGCGAGUAUCCGGUCCUCGAAAACUCAAGUACACGUCAAACUCAACUCCUGAUGAGCCUUGGCUUGUGCAUCUAGUUUCCGAAGAAUGGCUCCUUCUUUUCAUCUUAGCUGCACCUACUAAAACACUGAAAGUAAUCACAAAAGAUUUGACAUGCUUUUCUCGUCGAAGAACACAUGUAAAAUCACACCAUAUUUUAUAGUGAUUUUAUAAGACUUGUAUGAUGAAAAACGCAGUAUGAUGCAUUUAAGGAAGUUGUAAGAACUCCGUUUGGAACAGGGGUCGUAGAACGAUGGUCAGGUAGGAAAGCGAGGCUCGCUUUUAAUUUCCACUGUGCUGCAGCAUUGAUCAAGAGAAACGGCAGAGACCUGAAGGAUUAAGAAAUGGCCAAAGCCCCACAAGUUAAACGUAAUUGAGAAGAAGUCAAGUCGAGUAGUAGUCUCAAAAUAUGGAGGAGAGUGGGACAGGCUAGUCAGUCCCCAUCAAAUUUAAGAUCCCGAAUUCCAAAGUAUAUUUGCAAAAAUUACCGAGACUUUAGGAGUUAAAAAAAGAUCAAGGCUGGUGGAUGAGGCAAGAAUCAAAUGAAAUGUCUGAGAAAUGUAACUCUAUACAUGUGGCGGUGCACACCUCACCAAGCUCGGAAACAAAAAUCAACAUGGUAAUUUCAUUCUAAUCGCGUCACCUAAAUUCAGGUUUCUCAUUUUUUCAAUUGGUUACCUAACAAGUUAAUUUGAGAAUACUCCUUGAUCCAAUCUUUUUUAUUAUAGAAUUCCAUGAUGAAAACUUCUCAAUUAAUGGUGCUUAGAAUUGCACUGUCGUCCAGAAAAACAGACAAAAAUGAAUUAAGCCAUCAUCUUUGUCUUUUGCAUCCAAAAACAUUAUCAUUUUUCUCUAAAGUCUGCUCAAAUUCACAUCCAUAAUACCCAUCAUCUCAUCCAAAUUCAUCACAAAUAUAUUAGUUUUGGAUUUUUUAUAGUUAAAAAAUUAAUUUAGAAUAAAUUUAUCGUAAAUAUACUGAUUUGGAAUUUUUCGGGAUAUUAAUCUUUGAGUUUUAGAUAAUAAAAAAAAAACUUGAUAUUCACUAAACAUUUGUGGAUUUUUUUUUAAAGAAAUUAGGUCAGAAAAUAAUGCAGGCAUUAUUUAAAUACGAUAGGUAGUUAGGCCUUAUUUGAUUCGACAUUUGGAAUGGGCUUUUGGGCUCUAAAAGAAUUUGGCCAAAUGCAAACGAGUUUGAUUUAAUUUUUUGGACAACUUUAGCAAGAUGUAAUUGCAUCUCCAAAUAGCUCUAAGGGCCUUUACCGAAAAGCAACUAUGGAGGUACCUUGGGANNNNNNNNNNNNNNNNNNNNNNNNNNNNNNNNNNNNNNNNNNNNNNNNNNNNNNNNNNNNNNNNNNNNNNNNNNNNNNNNNNNNNNNNNNNNNNNNNNNNCCCAGUCUUGUUGAUAGAAGCUUAGUUAGUGGGUAAUCGAACAGCUUCACUUUUUGCAUCAAACAUUGGGGUGUUAAACGAGUUUAUAUUUACAAGUACUGUAACGUUGUAGGUGUGGCUUGUGAAAAAUAUGAUUCUUCGUUUCUAUCCCGCUGCUUUGUUGUAUGGAGAUUGUUUUACGUUUCUGCAUGUGCAAAAUAAUGAAUGGGUCGGCAACAAUUCCUAGGAUGUUGUAAAUUUUUAAAUCGACCAUUGAGGGAUGUGCAUGUGCCCGGGGUUUGGGUCGUGACAACAUUUGUCCAAAAUCGAAUCAAAUGGGACUUUAGUCACGUUUUUUUAGGGUUCAUACCCUGAAAAUUUUCAAACUGAUACAUCUGUGACAAAUUUGCUAUUUUUUUUUUAGCAUGAAAACUCCCAAACUGGUACACAUGUAACAAAUUUACCCCGAUUGACCGUAAAAAACCCUAAACUGGUACAUUUAUGACAAAUUUACCCCAAACUAAUUUAUUCGACCUUAAAAAAUCCAAAAUUGAUAAAUUUGUAACAAAUAUACCAUUCGCUAAACUGGAUUAAUACCACAAAAAAAUUACAAAAAUUGUAAAAUGUGAUAACAGAGCGUAAAAUCUUAAAUUGAUAUAUGUGACAUUUAACUUAAUAGUUUGACAGUAAAAUUUAACGAAAACUAACAUAAGGUAAAUUUGUUACAAAUGUACUAAUUUGAGGUAAAUUUGUUAAAAGCAUACCAGUUUAUAGUUUUUUAUGGUUAAAAAAAUAAUUUAUGGUAAAUUUAUCACAUGUGUACCAAAUUAGGAUUUUUUAGGUAUAUCAGUUUGAAGGUUUAUAUAUAUAGGUGUCGUGGUGGUGGGUCCUGCGCUAGCACCGUUCCGAGUUUACCUCACCGGCUACCGGUUGUAUAGAAGUUCCAAAAAAUACUAUUUUUUUUAUAAAGGCGUUAGGCGAUCCACAUGAAGGAACCAUUAAAUUUUGAUUGGAAAGUAAAGCAAAAGAGAACGUAUGUAAAAGCGGGUUGAUCUACUAGUCGCCAUGGAUCCUUUUCAUUAACUUUUCCUGGAUCCAAUCUGCAAGUGAGUACAAUAUUUAGCUAAGUCGCGCGCGUGCGGUGCGGUGGCGCGUGAGUAGUGAGCGGAGAGAGAGAGAGAGAAACAGACGUUGGGUCAUGUGGACGAGAAAAGACAGUGGCGGUGGGCGGUGGAAAAGAGGAUAAGGAUGAAAGUAAAAAGCCGAAAACAACUGGCUCCACUAGAAUUAAAUUAAAUUAAAAUAUUUUUGAUUUUUACAGUGGAGCUCACGUUUCGAUAAAGUGAAAUGCUAAUAUCAAGACAAAAUGCACUAAAUCUAAAAUGGACCCACAUUUUGAUAAAGUUGGAAAAUAAAAGGAAAAUUAAAAUGUUCACUAGAAGUACAAAAGUUCCCUCGUUAGGAGGCAAUCAAUUACUUCUUCUUUUUUUAACCUUGUCGGCCGAUACAAUUGUUUCGAUACUGAAUCCUAAUGAAUUGUUAUCAUAAAUCACAUUGAAAUCACGUUUUCGUCAAAUUAAACUUUUAUUACGUAGCCUAGCUAACCUCAUAAAUUAUAUCAUGUAGAAUUCAAAAUUCAUGGUGUAAAUAAUCGAAUAUGUCUCUUGCAUAUAAUUAACGCAAGGAGUUUCAUUCUUUGUCGAGGUAUCUAAAAAUUUGAGUCCCACAUGCUUAUAGAUGGAACCUUUCUUUUUGGAAUUUGUCAAAAUCUUCAAGCAACGAUUUUUUAUUUGAUUAAAUUAUUUGCUUUGCGUACAAAGUGAGCUAGGAACUAGCUUUUGGGGACAAUUACUACUCGCCCCCAACGAUUUUUGUGGAUUUUCUAACUUGCCAUCCAGAUGUGUUGGUUAAUCUUCUACUAUUCAAAGUGGGCAGCCAAGUAGAAAGAAGUCCUUUUGUUUUGAUGAGCCUUAGCUACCCAAACUGAUUUGCCUCUCUUGGAGAACGAAUUUGAGAUGGGCCAGCUUCCUCUUGCAAUCUUCAAUCCAGGCCCUCACGUCCCAAGGGCUUUGGUCAGCUUGCUUCCCUCUUCUCACGUUCCUUUCGGGGUUCCAUCUAAAAAAAAAUCGUGUUCAUCGCGAGUGCAUUGUCAAUAACUAGGCUUGAUUCUGAUCGGCGGGACUGGAAGAUGUGGGCAUUUCGUGCUUUCCGAAUAAACCACAGUACCCCCGCAAGUUCCUCAUUUGAAUGUAGGUCUAUGCUUGAUUCAAUGCAUUCCCUGAUCCAUUGAUCCAUUCUGGUAAUGUUCUGAUUUGAAAUUUGACUGUGUAGUCUCGAAUCCGACCAUAUGGCUGCUGUCCAAUGACAAAGGAGGAAGAUGUGCUCUGUUGUUUCUGGAGCUUCAUGACAUAAAGGGCACAUGGGGUCAGCUAAGAUUUUCCUCUUGAAGAGAUACUCUCUUGUGGGUAUAGCGUUUUGGUAUACGCUCCACACAAAGAAAUAAAUUUUGGGAGGGUGUUCAAUUUCCAGAUUUUCAUCCAACGUUUUGGGUGUAAGAUGAGAUAAUGAGGCUUGGUCUGUUUGUUGCCACCGGUUAGUUUGACUAUGGCCUGUUACUUGCAUUUUUAGCUGAGUUGAUUCCAGACUUGUUCCUAAUCCAUACCAGUAUAUCGUCUUCUGAAGUUGUGCGGGAUAUUUUUAUGUUCAGAUGUUCACAAAGUUUGCUCUAGUUAAUGAAAGUAAUAAACCACUAGGGUUUACCCGAGUGGCCACCCUUCCAACGUGGAAGGGAGAGGUGAGGGGUUCAAAUCCCCACCUUCUCAAGGGGGGAUUAGGGUGAGGACGCAUAAGUUUCAAAAGUGAGUUUCGACUCUCAUGCCCUACACGAAGCAGGGCAAAAGUCUGAGAGCGAGUGUUAAUGUAGAAAUAUAGUAGGAUUGACAAAAAAAAAUGAAAGUAAUAGAUUUACGUAGAAGAGAGGAGUUAGACCAAUUUUUGUUUUUUUUUUUUAAAGUAUUAGUAUUUUCAAACAAAAAAGAAAUGCUGAAAGUCUUACAGUAAUUUUUGAAAAGAUUUCCUAUCACUUUUUAAGGUUAUGAAAACAAGUCAGCAUUAUAUGCAAUGACUUUAAAUGAAUUGUUAUUUUAAAUUGAGUAAAAUUGAAUUAUAGCUUAUUGUGUUUAAGCGAAUAAAUUAGUCAAGAACACUUCAUAAUUGGUUCCAAAAAAUGACGAUGAGGACAAUGAGGUUGAAGAUGAUUCUUGUCAAAUCAAGGAAACUAGACCACUUCAUAUAGUGAAUUUAGCGUUUUGCACUAAAGCUCCGUUUGUUUUGCGAAAAAUAUGACGUUUAAGAAACUAUUUUCAAGAAAAUGAUAGUAUUUGUCGGUGUUAAGCUAAAAUUUAAAAAUAAACUAGAAAAUAUUUUCCACCAUUUGAUAUGAAAAAUUCGAUUCGAUCUUCCUCUAUGCAUUCAUUUUUAUAAAUUUUUUAUUUUAUUUUUUAUAUAAUUUUAUUUUUCUAAUAAAUUGAUUCUUUAAUUUUUAAUUUUCUUUCUAAAUUUUUCUUUUUUUCCUUUUAUUUUCUCUUCUCCUCCUCCUUCUUCGGUUGAUCGCCGGCUAUGACGACCGACCUAAGGCAAGCUCGAGUUCACUAGCCUUGAAAAGGCUCGCCAAUCUAGCGAGGCCCAAGGGCAGCAAGCUUAAGCUCGCCAAUCUGGUGAGGCACGAUAUCAAUAGUGCUUAGACUUUCGAUAGCAUCAUGAUUUUUAACACUAAGUGGUUCUUAUCAUUCAUGUCAAGGAAGAUUUGCACCAUUCCAGAGGAUCUUUAGCAUUUAGUGGGGCAAAAGAAUGCUCACUUAAGUGAGCAAAAAAAAAAAGAAUGCUUACUUAAGUGCCAAAAGUUGGCACAAAAAACACUUAAGUGCCAAAACUUAUGAAAGUAACACUUAAGUGCCAUUUUUUAUUUUUAAAAAAAUGGAUCAUUUGAGUGCCACAUUCGGUGAACCUCGUCAGAAAUCCUACAUGAUAUUUUUUUUUUUAUUAAUUUUCUCGCUUACAUGGCUCGCUGGCAAGCAAACUCAACAAAACACACAAGAAAACGAUGUCAUUUUGGUAUAAUUCAAAUUUUAAUAUAAUAAUUAAUUAAAUUAAAAUUUUAAAAAAUGAUUAUUUAAUUAUUUAAUUAUUUAAAAAAAAAAGUGGGGGGAGGAGAAGGAGGCAGGCAGCCGGCGGCUGAGGGCUCAACCCUCGUCGCCACCGUCGUCUCCCCUUCGUUGCCAGGAAGGUGGGGGAGUGUCGGCCGGGGCUGCCGAGCCUUGGCUAGGGGCCGACGGCCUUAGUCGACCGGCAACGAUGGCCUGCGUGCCCUUGCCUAGAUCUGGGGCGAGGGUCACGGCCCUCCCUCAGAUCAGUGANNNNNNNNNNNNNNNNNNNNNNNNNNNNNNNNNNNNNNNNNNNNNNNNNNNNNNNNNNNNNNNNNNNNNNNNNNNNNNNNNNNNNNNNNNNNNNNNNNNNNNNNNNNNNNNNNNNNNNNNNNNNNNNNNNNNNNNNNNNNNNNNNNNNNNNNNNNNNNNNNNNNNNNNNNNNNNNNNNNNNNNNNNNNNNNNNNNNNNNNNNNNNNNNNNNNNNNNNNNNNNNNNNNNNNNNNNNNNNNNNNNNNNNNNNNNNNNNNNNNNNNNNNNNNNNNNNNNNNNNNNNNNNNNNNNNNNNNNNNNNNNNNNNNNNNNNNNNNNNNNNNNNNNNNNNNNNNNNNNNNNNNNNNNNNNNNNNNNNNNNNNNNNNNNNNNNNNNNNNNNNNNNNNNNNNNNNNNNNNNNNNNNNNNNNNNNNNNNNNNNNNNNNNNNNNNNNNNNNNNNNNNNNNNNNNNNNNNNNNNNNNNNNNNNNNNNNNNNNNNNNNNNNNNNNNNNNNNNNNNNNNNNNNNNNNNNNNNNNNNNNNNNNNNNNNNNNNNNNNNNNNNNNNNNNNNNNNNNNNNNNNNNNNNNNNNNNNNNNNNNNNNNNNNNNNNNNNNNNNNNNNNNNNNNNNNNNNNNNNNNNNNNNNNNNNNNNNNNNNNNNNNNNNNNNNNNNNNNNNNNNNNNNNNNNNNNNNNNNNNNNNNNNNNNNNNNNNNNNNNNNNNNNNNNNNNNNNNNNNNNNNNNNNNNNNNNNNNNNNNNNNNNNNNNNNNNNNNNNNNNNNNNNNNNNNNNNNNNNNNNNNNNNNNNNNNNNNNNNNNNNNNNNNNNNNNNNNNNNNNNNNNNNNNNNNNNNNNNNNNNNNNNNNNNNNNNNNNNNNNNNNNNNNNNNNNNNNNNNNNNNNNNNNNNNNNNNNNNNNNNNNNNNNNNNNNNNNNNNNNNNNNNNNNNNNNNNNNNNNNNNNNNNNNNNNNNNNNNNNNNNNNNNNNNNNNNNNNNNNNNNNNNNNNNNNNNNNNNNNNNNNNNNNNNNNNNNNNNNNNNNNNNNNNNNNNNNNNNNNNNNNNNNNNNNNNNNNNNNNNNNNNNNNNNNNNNNNNNNNNNNNNNNNNNNNNNNNNNNNNNNNNNNNNNNNNNNNNNNNNNNNNNNNNNNNNNNNNNNNNNNNNNNNNNNNNNNNNNNNNNNNNNNNNNNNNNNNNNNNNNNNNNNNNNNNNNNNNNNNNNNNNNNNNNNNNNNNNNNNNNNNNNNNNNNNNNNNNNNNNNNNNNNNNNNNNNNNNNNNNNNNNNNNNNNNNNNNNNNNNNNNNNNNNNNNNNNNNNNNNNNNNNNNNNNNNNNNNNNNNNNNNNNNNNNNNNNNNNNNNNNNNNNNNNNNNNNNNNNNNNNNNNNNNNNNNNNNNNNNNNNNNNNNNNNNNNNNNNNNNNNNNNNNNNNNNNNNNNNNNNNNNNNNNNNNNNNNNNNNNNNNNNNNNNNNNNNNNNNNNNNNNNNNNNNNNNNNNNNNNNNNNNNNNNNNNNNNNNNNNNNNNNNNNNNNNNNNNNNNNNNNNNNNNNNNNNNNNNNNNNNNNNNNNNNNNNNNNNNNNNNNNNNNNNNNNNNNNNNNNNNNNNNNNNNNNNNNNNNNNNNNNNNNNNNNNNNNNNNNNNNNNNNNNNNNNNNNNNNNNNNNNNNNNNNNNNNNNNNNNNNNNNNNNNNNNNNNNNNNNNNNNNNNNNNNNNNNNNNNNNNNNNNNNNNNNNNNNNNNNNNNNNNNNNNNNNNNNNNNNNNNNNNNNNNNNNNNNNNNNNNNNNNNNNNNNNNNNNNNNNNNNNNNNNNNNNNNNNNNNNNNNNNNNNNNNNNNNNNNNNNNNNNNNNNNNNNNNNNNNNNNNNNNNNNNNNNNNNNNNNNNNNNNNNNNNNNNNNNNNNNNNNNNNNNNNNNNNNNNNNNNNNNNNNNNNNNNNNNNNNNNNNNNNNNNNNNNNNNNNNNNNNNNNNNNNNNNNNNNNNNNNNNNNNNNNNNNNNNNNNNNNNNNNNNNNNNNNNNNNNNNNNNNNNNNNNNNNNNNNNNNNNNNNNNNNNNNNNNNNNNNNNNNNNNNNNNNNNNNNNNNNNNNNNNNNNNNNNNNNNNNNNNNNNNNNNNNNNNNNNNNNNNNNNNNNNNNNNNNNNNNNNNNNNNNNNNNNNNNNNNNNNNNNNNNNNNNNNNNNNNNNNNNNNNNNNNNNNNNNNNNNNNNNNNNNNNNNNNNNNNNNNNNNNNNNNNNNNNNNNNNNNNNNNNNNNNNNNNNNNNNNNNNNNNNNNNNNNNNNNNNNNNNNNNNNNNNNNNNNNNNNNNNNNNNNNNNNNNNNNNNNNNNNNNNNNNNNNNNNNNNNNNNNNNNNNNNNNNNNNNNNNNNNNNNNNNNNNNNNNNNNNNNNNNNNNNNNNNNNNNNNNNNNNNNNNNNNNNNNNNNNNNNNNNNNNNNNNNNNNNNNNNNNNNNNNNNNNNNNNNNNNNNNNNNNNNNNNNNNNNNNNNNNNNNNNNNNNNNNNNNNNNNNNNNNNNNNNNNNNNNNNNNNNNNNNNNNNNNNNNNNNNNNNNNNNNNNNNNNNNNNNNNNNNNNNNNNNNNNNNNNNNNNNNNNNNNNNNNNNNNNNNNNNNNNNNNNNNNNNNNNNNNNNNNNNNNNNNNNNNNNNNNNNNNNNNNNNNNNNNNNNNNNNNNNNNNNNNNNNNNNNNNNNNNNNNNNNNNNNNNNNNNNNNNNNNNNNNNNNNNNNNNNNNNNNNNNNNNNNNNNNNNNNNNNNNNNNNNNNNNNNNNNNNNNNNNNNNNNNNNNNNNNNNNNNNNNNNNNNNNNNNNNNNNNNNNNNNNNNNNNNNNNNNNNNNNNNNNNNNNNNNNNNNNNNNNNNNNNNNNNNNNNNNNNNNNNNNNNNNNNNNNNNNNNNNNNNNNNNNNNNNNNNNNNNNNNNNNNNNNNNNNNNNNNNNNNNNNNNNNNNNNNNNNNNNNNNNNNNNNNNNNNNNNNNNNNNNNNNNNNNNNNNNNNNNNNNNNNNNNNNNNNNNNNNNNNNNNNNNNNNNNNNNNNNNNNNNNNNNNNNNNNNNNNNNNNNNNNNNNNNNNNNNNNNNNNNNNNNNNNNNNNNNNNNNNNNNNNNNNNNNNNNNNNNNNNNNNNNNNNNNNNNNNNNNNNNNNNNNNNNNNNNNNNNNNNNNNNNNNNNNNNNNNNNNNNNNNNNNNNNNNNNNNNNNNNNNNNNNNNNNNNNNNNNNNNNNNNNNNNNNNNNNNNNNNNNNNNNNNNNNNNNNNNNNNNNNNNNNNNNNNNNNNNNNNNNNNNNNNNNNNNNNNNNNNNNNNNNNNNNNNNNNNNNNNNNNNNNNNNNNNNNNNNNNNNNNNNNNNNNNNNNNNNNNNNNNNNNNNNNNNNNNNNNNNNNNNNNNNNNNNNNNNNNNNNNNNNNNNNNNNNNNNNNNNNNNNNNNNNNNNNNNNNNNNNNNNNNNNNNNNNNNNNNNNNNNNNNNNNNNNNNNNNNNNNNNNNNNNNNNNNNNNNNNNNNNNNNNNNNNNNNNNNNNNNNNNNNNNNNNNNNNNNNNNNNNNNNNNNNNNNNNNNNNNNNNNNNNNNNNNNNNNNNNNNNNNNNNNNNNNNNNNNNNNNNNNNNNNNNNNNNNNNNNNNNNNNNNNNNNNNNNNNNNNNNNNNNNNNNNNNNNNNNNNNNNNNNNNNNNNNNNNNNNNNNNNNNNNNNNNNNNNNNNNNNNNNNNNNNNNNNNNNNNNNNNNNNNNNNNNNNNNNNNNNNNNNNNNNNNNNNNNNNNNNNNNNNNNNNNNNNNNNNNNNNNNNNNNNNNNNNNNNNNNNNNNNNNNNNNNNNNNNNNNNNNNNNNNNNNNNNNNNNNNNNNNNNNNNNNNNNNNNNNNNNNNNNNNNNNNNNNNNNNNNNNNNNNNNNNNNNNNNNNNNNNNNNNNNNNNNNNNNNNNNNNNNNNNNNNNNNNNNNNNNNNNNNNNNNNNNNNNNNNNNNNNNNNNNNNNNNNNNNNNNNNNNNNNNNNNNNNNNNNNNNNNNNNNNNNNNNNNNNNNNNNNNNNNNNNNNNNNNNNNNNNNNNNNNNNNNNNNNNNNNNNNNNNNNNNNNNNNNNNNNNNNNNNNNNNNNNNNNNNNNNNNNNNNNNNNNNNNNNNNNNNNNNNNNNNNNNNNNNNNNNNNNNNNNNNNNNNNNNNNNNNNNNNNNNNNNNNNNNNNNNNNNNNNNNNNNNNNNNNNNNNNNNNNNNNNNNNNNNNNNNNNNNNNNNNNNNNNNNNNNNNNNNNNNNNNNNNNNNNNNNNNNNNNNNNNNNNNNNNNNNNNNNNNNNNNNNNNNNNNNNNNNNNNNNNNNNNNNNNNNNNNNNNNNNNNNNNNNNNNNNNNNNNNNNNNNNNNNNNNNNNNNNNNNNNNNNNNNNNNNNNNNNNNNNNNNNNNNNNNNNNNNNNNNNNNNNNNNNNNNNNNNNNNNNNNNNNNNNNNNNNNNNNNNNNNNNNNNNNNNNNNNNNNNNNNNNNNNNNNNNNNNNNNNNNNNNNNNNNNNNNNNNNNNNNNNNNNNNNNNNNNNNNNNNNNNNNNNNNNNNNNNNNNNNNNNNNNNNNNNNNNNNNNNNNNNNNNNNNNNNNNNNNNNNNNNNNNNNNNNNNNNNNNNNNNNNNNNNNNNNNNNNNNNNNNNNNNNNNNNNNNNNNNNNNNNNNNNNNNNNNNNNNNNNNNNNNNNNNNNNNNNNNNNNNNNNNNNNNNNNNNNNNNNNNNNNNNNNNNNNNNNNNNNNNNNNNNNNNNNNNNNNNNNNNNNNNNNNNNNNNNNNNNNNNNNNNNNNNNNNNNNNNNNNNNNNNNNNNNNNNNNNNNNNNNNNNNNNNNNNNNNNNNNNNNNNNNNNNNNNNNNNNNNNNNNNNNNNNNNNNNNNNNNNNNNNNNNNNNNNNNNNNNNNNNNNNNNNNNNNNNNNNNNNNNNNNNNNNNNNNNNNNNNNNNNNNNNNNNNNNNNNNNNNNNNNNNNNNNNNNNNNNNNNNNNNNNNNNNNNNNNNNNNNNNNNNNNNNNNNNNNNNNNNNNNNNNNNNNNNNNNNNNNNNNNNNNNNNNNNNNNNNNNNNNNNNNNNNNNNNNNNNNNNNNNNNNNNNNNNNNNNNNNNNNNNNNNNNNNNNNNNNNNNNNNNNNNNNNNNNNNNNNNNNNNNNNNNNNNNNNNNNNNNNNNNNNNNNNNNNNNNNNNNNNNNNNNNNNNNNNNNNNNNNNNNNNNNUUCUGGUCUUGCCCAUUGUUGAAGAUAUGCGAGAAUCAGACCGAAGAUCAUGAUCAACCAAUCAAAGAUUACAGGAGAUUAUAUUUGUUUAAUUAUGUCAAUCUGUGAUUGGGUUUGAUUUAAUGUAUCUUCAUUUUAAUUUCCUUAGUUAGACAUUCAUUGUAUUAUAAACAGAAGCUUAUACAAUGUAAAUACACACAACUGAAUAUACAAAAAUUUACAGGUCGUUCUCUCAAUUCUUGGCCUAUUUUUCAAACUCUGACACCCAUCCAACACUCAUAUGAUGUGGACUAAUGAGUGGUCACAUAAAAACGGAUCAUAAUAUAAUAAGAAAACAAGAGUAAUGACGAACUUUGCUUGAUGAGGAAAAAAAAAAGACUUUUCAGUGGCAGUAGCAUAUAAAGAUGAUGAAAUAAACUGGCACGUGGUUCUCCUAAGUUGUUCGGUUGAAUAGGAUCCUUCAAAUAUAAUUGAGGAAAAAUGGUCACCUUGGUUACGACCGUAUUCGGUCCUAAAUUUUUUAAUUUUAUUAAUAUAAUCUUAAAUUUUUUUAUAAAAGAUUAAUAUAGUUAUUCUAGUCAAUUUUGAUUUGAAAAUACUGAUGUGACAGUCUAAUAUGUAAAUUUUUUAAUUUUCCUAAUUAUUUUUGUUUUUUUUCUUUGAUGGUUACUGUAUCUUGUUCCUUGUUCCUAUACUGUUAUAUCUCUGGGUGAACUCCUUCAUCUUUCCUCUACUUUCAUCAUUCAAUACCGGCAAAGUGGUCCAGAAAGAAAAAUCCGAAGCCUACUCCCAGCAUAUUCCCAGAUCAUUCCUUCCUCACGACUUACCCCAUCAAACGUUUUGGAAGGAAAACUCCGGUCGCUGAAAACGACCUAGAUGGAGAAGACCGGCUCCUCAAGAUGAUAAUCGGCAUCAAAUUCACGGUCGAAUUAGGUGGCCCGGGGUACGUUUCGACCAAACAUGGCUCUUGAUUUGUGGUUUGUGGACGGUAGCUUUUCGGUCGGGGCGGGGCUUGACUUUAGAGCCGUUUGUGUCGAUGCUUGAAAGCAACGGCACGCGAGGACUUAUGGUUCAGCAGGAUAACGAUGUGGACGAGAUGGGGUGCAAGGUAUCAUUCGCUCAGUCCUUUCAUUGAGGAACAGAAGGAACGUUUCUCGUACGUUUCUCGUUUCCCACGUGAGGGUGUAAGAACCAGAAAUCGUUCAUCUUGUUCUCUCAACUCGUCCGGCUAAAGAGGGAGAAAGAAAGAGGUGAAAGGAACCUCUGGAAUCUGGAUGGGAGAGGACCGAGGCGAGACUUCGCUCCUAAACAACCGAGUGAGGCUGGUAUUCCCCGAACGGCCGCAGCGACCUUAGAUUGAGGUCGCCGAGCCUCCUCCAAGGUCGUGGAAGCUUCGUCGUCCAUGGCCGCUUGACUUUAGAUUCGCAGUCGUAAUCCACGGAAGCCAUGGACUUGUCCAUGGCAGCUCGACCAUGAAGCUUGUUGGCCGCAAGUCUCGUGAAGGUUUCUCUCGUCCUCACCCCUUCCUACAGCUUCAAACAUGGAAAUCUCGCUUCAUUUUUCAAAAAUGAAAAGUGAAGAAGAUGAACAGUAAAAGAUAAUAUAAGUAGAAAAAUCGGAAAAAAAAAAUGAAAACGAUGCAUUUUCAAUUGAGUUUAUCCACACUGCGCCUCAGAACGGUUCACAAGCCAAAAUUUGCCGGAAGAAUUAUAGUGGAAUUUUACAAAAAAACUUACAAUUAGAUUGGUAAAAUUAUAAAAUUUAAAACUAAAUUGACAUCCGUACAAUAAAUUUAAAACUAAUUAGAUAAUUCUUUCUAUAAAUCAAGUUCAGUCGUAUACUACUUUGCGUGAAUAGAAAAUAUAGGCACAAUUACUGCUAGUAAACCUUAUUUAAUUUUUUUGGCGCACAAGGCAACACAAGCCAAUGCAUCAUUUAGAAAGAUCAUUUUGUAUUAAAAUCUUUUAGGGAAAAGUACCAAAAAAGUCAUAACCUAUUACAUUGGUACCAAUUCAAUCCUAAACUUUUCAAUUUGACCAAUUCAGUCCUAAACCUUUUAAUAUUUGUACCAAUUUAGUCCAUCCGACCAAUUUUGGCCGGCUGGCGUUGACGUGGACGUCUGCCCGCGGCAAGGCCAAGGUGAGGCUGGCCUCACCCAGAUCUAGGCUAAGUCGCCUUGCCCGUAGCCCUGGUUGAGGCCAAGCGAGGGCCGUGACCCUUUUUGGCGGCUGGCGAGGGCUUCGCGGCCCUCACCUCUGCCCUGGCGAUGGCCGACAUGGCCUCACCAGCCGCGGGCGAGGCUGGCCUCGCUCAAAUCCGGGUGAAGCCACCUCGUCGGCGGCCUGGGAGAGGUCGGACGAGGGCCGCAACCCUCACCGACGGCAGGUGAGGGCUUCGCGGCCCUCGCCCAGUGGUCGGUGAGCCUCACCGGAGGCUCGCCAGCCACCGCCAGGAAGAAGAAGGUAGAAAAGAAAAAAGAAAAAAAAUUAAUUAAAAAUUAAUAAAAAAAUCAUAAAAAUUGCCACGUUAGUGUCCGGCCGACGUCCACGUCAGCACCAGCCAGCCAAAAUUGGCCGGAUGGACUGAAUUGGUACUAAUAUGAAAAUGUUUAGGACUGAAUCGGUCCAAUUGAAAAGUUUAGAACUGAAUUGGUACAAAUGCAAUAGGUUUAGGAUUUUUUUGGUACUUUUCCCAAAUCUUUUACCAUCUCCGGCCAAAUUCUCUUCUAGUUUCGAGAUUACAAAGAAUUUUGUUAUCCAAUUUGCACAAUUUCGGCAAUGAAGUAAGAGUUUCGGCUCUCGACGACGAGUGUAAUCUCUAGCUUCCUUAUUCAGCCUUCUCUAUCCUUAGUCUCGUAAUCACAUGAGCUUCAUAAGUUCGCUUGUGCAAUGAAAUACAGUUGCUUGCGUCUUCUUCUAAAUACCACAAUGGAUUUCUUUAUUCUCCUCUUCUUCUCCGGGAAACUCAAUUCUUUUCAUGGCCAGAGGUGUAACCGCAAUGCUGUCGAGAAACUUAGGGCCUAUUUGUUAAAAAAAAAUUCUGUACCUCGGAACAUCAUUUUCUAUCUAUUUGUUUCAGGCAAUGCAAAAAAGAAUAGAAACGUAUUUGGUAAAACUUUUGUUCUGGGGAAUAGAUUUGGAACAGAAAUAAAAAAAUAUAAAAUAUUAUAUUCUUAUUCCCAGUAACAAUUUCUAGAAUCAAUUUUUCUCUUUCUUCUUUUUUCUUAUCUUUAUUUUCUUUUUCUUCUUGGCAACCUGCCAGAUGAGGGCCAGCAACUUUGCUGGAGCAUCACCAGCCCCCAGAGACAACUAGGCAUGCGAGGCUAGUCAACGGAGCUUCGCCAUGGCUGGGUGGCCAGGUGGGGCAAGGUCAAGCCUUGCCGAUGGCCUGGCGAGGCCGAGCUUGCCCAGCCAUCGGUGAGGCCGGUGAGGUUGAAGAAGGAAAAAAAGAAAAGAAAAAAAAAGAGAAAUAUAAUAAAAACAUUUAAAAAUUAAAAGAAACAACAAAAUUAUACAAUUUUACCCAAACGCAUUUCUAUUCUAGAAAUAGAAAUUUUUUGCAUUUACCAAGCACGUUCUUAUACUAAGAAAUUAUUUCUAGGAACAGAAAAAAAAAAUCAUUUCUUAUUAAAAAUUGUUUUUCGGAACAUGAUUAUUACCAAACGCGCCCUUAAUAUAUUGGCCGCAUUGAUACACUCAUUGAUACACUCAAUAGUUUAAAUACCAUACCACUUCACAAUUAUCACAUCUUCCUCCACCCUUCUCUUAUAAUUUUAGGAAGAUGACAGAAGCUAUGUCUCCUCUUCCUUGACCGUGAUCACAACAAAGUGCUCACGCUGUUUGAAGAUGUCAUGUUUUGCUGGGUGCACUCCUCUAGAAAGCUUUGUUCGCACCGCACGACAAGACCAACUGCACCAUGCCUCUGCUUCUUCACUCGGCCUUAUGGGACAAACACGAUCACUCCAUCAAUUCGUCAAUAGUCCAGGCCAACAACUCUAAAUCCUCGACUCUUUAAUUACCAAAGCACUAUGCAGAAGUUGCUUGGAACCUAUGCAUGUGCUUCUUUGACUUGACUUGAUAUUCCUAUUAAUUUUAAGAAAUAGAAAAGAAAAUCAUUGAGACUGUCUUCAAGACACAUUCAAAUAAAUUUAUCAUUUUCAAUACACAUCCGACCUCACUUUUCAAAAUAUUUCUCUAUUUCUCUCUAAACAAUUUCCCAAACUAGGCUUCUCCAUGCCACGUCAUGCCUAAAGAUGACCUAAUCAUACCCUCCCAUCCUAGUCAUUUUUUCUGGUCUUAAAUUGAUAUUUGUUAACAUUUUACAUUCCUUUUAAUUCAAUGUCGCCUUACAAAUUUCCGGCCAAUGAGUUCUCUAUGAUUGAAUAGUUUUUUUUUUGGUAAUGUAAGCAUUGUAUUAACUUUUAACCAAACAUGGCUAUACAGUAGGGGUCUCGGCACCAAAACUUACACUCAUAAUGGCAUACAAGUCAUAACGAGUGGAAGGGUGCUGAGAAAAAAAAAUUAAAAGGGAAGACAAUCACGGACAACCCUCAACAAAAUUACAAAGAGGGAAUAGACACCGCCGAAGAGAAGAUAGUGGGGUCGAGUCCCUAACUUCUUUGGAUAUUUCUGUUUUUCGGUUUGUCGAGAACGUGAUUGAAGGUAAGUACCUUAUCCUUCACAGCUUUGAUGAAAUGUUUUUUCAUUGCAAGAAUGAACAUGGCUUGGCCCCGGAAGAGUAUGUCAUUCCGCAUCUUCCAAAUGGUGUGGCAUAGAGCACCGAAAGAGUACCUCGCAAUACUUUGAUAAAAGUCACUGCCCGGGAUACACUUGAUGGCCCGCUAAAGAUUGUCCAUCCACCCCUUGUUAUGCCAAGGAAGGUUGCAUCUAGCAACCCAAAACAUGGCAAGACCAGCCGUAAUGUGGCAAUCAAAAAAUAGAUGAUCAAUCGAAUUCAGUCUAGAGUUACAAAAAACAUAAGAAGCAUAAGCAAUUCUACCAUAGGAUAGUAGAAGGACAUGGGUAGGUAGUCGAUGCUUGGUUGUGAGCCAAAGGUGGACCUGGUACCAUGGGAUAAGAGUUUUGUUCCAUACAAAGUAGCACCACGGGACAAAAUUUCUCUUGGGACGGAUGGCUUGUCAAGCCAACGCCGCUGAGCACACUCGAAGAAUGCUCCAGCCAAGUCAAACAGUCGGGGUUCUGAGAUAAUGCUGGGAUAGGAAGCAUCCACGACUCCAAAAUGGCCUUGGUGGCUUGGCCUGGAAUUGAGAAUAAAUCAGCAACCAUAGCUUGCCUGGGUAGACCCAAACAGUAGAUGUGGUUAUCCGUGAAGAUCGUAUUCAAAGGUCCCCUAGGGUGCCAAGGGUUGAACCAAAGGGACACCAAUAGGCCAUCACCCACCUGCCAUUUAAAGGACUUCUGGAAGUCCCUUCGUAGAUCAAGUAAUUUUCUCCAAGCCUAGGAACAAAAUCUUGACUUAGAGACUACCCAAAAGUUCUUAUUUUUUAAGUGAACAAAAUGGAUCCACCUGCACCAAAAUGAUUCCUUAUCUGUGAAAAGGAUCCAUAUGUGUUUCAACAUGGCUGCGGUAUUACAGUCACAGAGUUUCCAAAUACCGAGUCCUCCUUCUUCUUUGAGGAGGCAAACUUCAUCCCAGGCUACUUUCGCACCACCCGUUCCAAGUCCCGGGCCUUUCCAUAAGAAUUGACGGAAUAUUUGUUCAAUUCGGUCCAGAACCACUCUAGGUAGUAUAAAGAUAUUAGCCCGGUAGACAUGCAUUGAGUAGAGGACUGACUUGAUUAGUUGUAAUCGACCCGCGAAGGAUAGGAAUCUCUGAGCCCAUGAUUGCACUCUAGCCGUAAUGAGAUUGAUGAGGGCACUAUAAUCCGCCUUGCCAAGGCUAGAUGUAACGAUCAGGACUCCCAAAUACCGGACUGGCAAGGUUCCUUCCCAGAGACCGAGAGAAUGGAGAAUUUGGGAUCGAGUGCUAUCCCCACCACCCGAGAGGAAGACUUCGCUCUUGUUCAAAUUAGGCUUUAAACCACUCGAGGAGGAGAAGGUGGCAAGACCAUCUUUUAAAAGAGUGAGCGAAGUUAUAUUUUCCUCACAUCAUCUGCGAAAACAUCUAUGAUUGAAUAGUUUGUUUAGUGAUAUGUUCUCUUUUUUAUUUCUUUGUUUGAUGAACUGUUUAAUAUUUGUGUUAAUGCUCAGUGGAUGAAGGGUCAAAGUAGAUAAUAUGUAGAAGGAUAAUAAGUGCUUUCUAUAAUACUUCAACAGUGCUUCGGGAGAGAACGUAUUUAAGAAUUAAUUCAUCUUUUCUUCCACCUCUGACCCAAUUUCAUCAACCAAACCAUUUUUGCUUGUGUAACUGCUAAUUUUCAGAAUUGCUUCCUAAAUCAUUUCACAUGAUGAAUGCACUUUUCUUUUUGAUAUCGUGGUUCCAAAAAUUAGUAAAAACAAAUUUUCAUGAGUUGAGAAAUCUUAAUCCUUGCUUACAUUCAAAAGUUAGGCAUGAUAGGCUGGCUCUUUCUGAAAUUGCAUGGUCCCAUUUGGUCUUAUGAUUUUUCCUUCUUCUUCUCCUUUUUUCAUCCUUGAGAAAGAAUUUGCUGGUCUGGAAAGAGGAACUUUAAAACCAACGGAGAAUGAAUAAGGAAUAAACUAGAGAUCUAUUUGCUUGCAAGAUGGAGUAUGAUGUCUAUUAGAGAAAUUAAAGGUUCACGUGCUGUUAAAUUAGGAGUGAAAGCUUCAUCCUUCUAUGUAUGGCCCUCUCCUUUGGAACUUAUUGGAUACUCAUUUACUUGUAAUUACUGCAGAUCUUUAACGUAAUAAUCACAAUAUAAUAGUAGUUAAUUUUAUUUCAAAAAUGCUAGCACAAGAAAAAAAGAUUCAUUAUCCAAUUAUAGUGUUUAUUAUUAGAAAGAACGCAGUAAGAAAUUAAUUUGUAAUUACUAAUCAUGUAAAAAGAUUGAUAAUUUGUACAUGGUAGUAUAGAAAGGAAAAAAGAUACUAAAAUCAAUCUUUUAGAUCAUUUAUUCGAAUGUAACCAUUUUAUGAUGUCCUCUUUUUUACGAUAUGACUUUCUUAUAACCUAAAACGCACUGUGAUACAAAUUUAUACAAAUGUUAAUAUGAAGGACAAUGAAAAGUGCAGGGAAAUAUAAGUGUACACAUAUGAAGCGUCAGGUGAGAAUAUGUUACUUCCUAAUGUCAAAGAGGAAAAGAAAAAUAAUAGAAAUCGCAGUUCAAGAGCCAUUUUGUCUUCUCCUAACUAGACCUGAGUAGGUCCUUAAACUGCUCAAAAGAAAACAAAGGGAGAAUCUCCCAGGGGUGAGAGUCCCCAUUUCCCUGUAUUCCCGGGGGGGCAGAAAAGUUUCCCCUCAACAUGGGCUUGCAGCUACCGGGGUAACGGUAGGUGAAGCAACUCACAGUGAUGAGGAUGCUGACCCCUUAAGUGGGAGGCUACCCUCAGACCAUGCAAGGGUCUUCGGACCUGCAGAGAAGCUGACUUAAAUGUCAAGUCAUCCAACCUGACGCUCCUCUGUACCCAGGUUGGAUGACUUGACUUCCACUAUGUUAUUCGAUUUGGCUCCUCAAAUAACAAUCCACCUCAUUAUUGUACAACAGCACUAUAUAAAAGAUGAUAAAUGAAAGUAAUUAUCAAUUAAGAAAAUGCUAAUUCUGUGGUAAAGGACUGUUGAACCGGAGGGGACUGGGCAGAGACCCCAACUGACUAAUACUUAACCGGUUUAUAUAUAGAAGUUAUUAGAUGCCAAAAAAUUAUUCUUAAUCGUCAGAAAGGAAUAUGGAUCAUUGCGAAAAUAGCAACGGAAGAGAAUGUAGGUGGAUUAGAAUUCAUUUAUUCAAGCAAAAUGUAUUGCAUAAAUUAUUUAUAUUAAAAUAUAAUAAAAGUCGAAAUUGACCGUAAUGAGUAUAGCAAUUUAUACAUGCUAAUCAACAGCAUUAAUUGUUUGACAUUAAAAAAAAAUUAAUCGCAACAAAUCGCCAAUUACAGAUUCGAUUGGCUCUUAAACAAAAUCAGCAUUAAUGACUCAAUGACCAAAAAAAGUAGGAACCUUUAACUUUUUUAAUUAUUACAAUACUUUUGCCUUUUUCAAUGAACAUGUAUUUUUUUUUUUUUUAGUAAUGUGAAGAGGAGAAGAAGAAAAUUUAAGACCUUUACCAAAAAAAGAAAAAGAAAAAUUAAGAUGUGGCUCGACAAAAAGCUCUGUUCUCCAGGUUUUGUUAUUAUUUAUAGAUGUAUAGAUGGAUACAGAGCAUGUUUCCCAUCACCAUGAACCCGGAUUCUAUCCAGAGGUGCGAGGGAAGAAAAUCGAAUAAGAAGAGGAGAAGAGAACAUUGUAUGAAAAGUAUCCUUCUCCAAGCAGCAGAUCAAUUCAAAGAGCAUCUCUCUCUCAGCAUCGCAAUCAUCCUACUCAAUUUCACGAUCACGAGCGCACUCUCUUUUAGUUCCUUCUAAUUAGAUGUCCCUCAAAUCCAUUUCACAUCGACAUCCUAUAAUGAAUUCCUGGAGAUUCGGGAACCGAUGACUUGAUCAACUUGAACGAAUAAAAGCAAAUUUGGAGGCGGUGCUGGGGACGAAUCUCACAAGCAGAGCUGAAAAAGGUAAAGGCUGGUGAUGGUUCACAUCCGCGGAGUCCUUGCAACAUUGCACAUGGAUGCUGGACCUUCUUUUUCUUCUCUGUCUUCUCUUUCUCAUCAUGAUCGAAGAGCUGAGUGGCAGUGGACGGCUUAUGGAUGCAUCCUAC
rnacentral:lncRNA from 1 species